rnacentral:lncRNA from 1 species
UUCUGCCAUAGAAACAAACUCAUUUCGGGGAGAACCAGCUAGCUCUGGGUUCGAGUGGCAUUUCACCCCUAACCACAACUCAUCCGCUGAUUCUUCAACAUCAGUCGGUUCGGACCUCUGCUUAGUUUCAUCCAAGCUUCAUCCUGGUCAUGGAUAGAUCACCCAGGUUCGGGUCCAUAAGCAGUGACAAUCGCCCUAUGAAGACUCGCUUUCGCUACGGCUCCGGUGGGUUCCAUUCCCUUAACCAAGCCACUGCCUAUGAGUCGCCGGCUCAUUCUUCAACAGGCACGCGGUCAGAGAUCACUUUCCCCUCCGGGAGCUCAGCACGGUUUCACGUUCUAUUUCACUACCCACUGGGGGUUCUUUUCACCUUUCCCUCACGGUACUACUUCGCUAUCGGUCACCCAGGAGUAUUUAGCCUUGCAAGGUGGUCCUUUCCUUGCUGAUUCACACGGGAUUCCACGUGCCCCAUGCUACUCGGGUCAGAGCGUAAGCUAGUGAUGCUUUCGGCUACUGGACUUUAGCCAUCUAGGGUGCGGCACUCAACCGCUUCGCCUAGCAGCACAACGCUUGUAUUGCUCUCCCACAACCCCGUUUUCACGGUUUAGGCUGCUCCCAUUUCGCUCGCCGCUACUACGGUACGGGUACGGGAAUCGCUUUUGCUUUCUUUUCCUCUGGCUACUAAGAUGUUUCAGUUCGCCAGGUUGUCUCUUGCCUGCUCAUGGAUUCAGCAGGCAGUUCAAAAGGUUGACCUAUUUGGGAAUCUCCGGAUCUAUGCUUAUUUUCAACUCCCCGAAGCAUUUCGUCGCUUGCUACGCCCUUCCUCGUCUCUGGGUGCCUAGGUAUCCACCGCAAGCCUUUCCUCUUUUGAACCUCGCCAUUAACGUUAAGGCUAUGCCAUCCUAAGGUGCUACUAAAUGGAAGGAUCUUAUCAACGUCCAUGAAUGCGAAAUCAUAGAUCGAACUGACGAAUUGGCAACCUUCGGUGCUAUCAUAGUAUCCGCUAAGUUCACGGGCUGGAGAUAAGCGGACUCGAACCGCUGACAUCCGCCACAGGGUAAACCACCGCCUCUCAGGCCUCCCCGACGGGUUCUACCAUAGAGGACAACGAUAGGCAAUAACUCCCCCCCGAACACAGCUUACAACUUUCAUCGUACUGUGCUCUCCAAAGAGCAACUCUUCUCAAAAUCCCAAAACAAAAGGUGCUGAGUUGGAAUCCCAUUCUAAGGAUUCUUGUGGUUCCGGGGCGAUCCAGUCACCCGGAGAAGAUUUCUUUUCUUUGCUGAUUCCUCUCAAUGAAAUUUGCCAUGUUGCACUAAGUUACUUACGGAUGUAUGCAUGCAGUCCGGGAACACUUUGGGGUGAACACCCAUCCGAACAAGUAGGGUCAAUAGUUCAGCAUUUAGGCCGUAACAUUUAGCAAAAAACUAAUCUUAAACCCAACAAGUGCUCUCCGAACCAAGCUAGAUAGUCUCCUAUCACUAGGCUCACCAACCAACCUGGACUUUGAUUCUUUCUUAUUAUUCUAACCGGAUAUAAAAACCAUAAGGAUUGUUUCCAGCCAAGAGUUCCCAUAUGACAUAAGCGCUCUUGGGUGGGCCCUCAUUCGCCAGGUCUUUGAGUGCCCGUCGUACCACGUGGUUGGUACACUAGGCUGAUCGAUACUUUACGAUACUUAACUUAACUUUACGAUACUUUGAGGAUCUGGCACCUGCGCCCGACUCGGUCUGCCAGUGAAUUUUGGCUCUACGUCCGGUCGUGCGUGGUAUGUUCGCGAUUCGUACAAAUGGAAGGCAUCGCGUACGUUAACCUUCCUUUAUUGGGCUGGGCCAUUCCAUCUUUGAGAAGGGGCCCAAUCUCGUAUUUGAUGGUCGGCGUGGCAAUAUGCUUAGCUUCGUAGACAGGUUUCCCAGCCGUUGCAAAGACUUCGCGAGAACGGUCAGGGGCGCGAUUCGCCAAGCUAGGGCAAACAAAGCCGUCCGGCCCUACCAGAUUAAGAAUGCGAAGGCCUUUCCUUCGAAAGGAGAAAAAAAAAAGAGCUAUGCUAUUGACCGACCCUUUCGUACUUACUUCGAAUCAAUAGGCCUAUCAUUUUUCAUGAGGCGGGCCAAAUAGAGAAUGAAAUGCAAAAAUAGGGGAAGGGGGGGAUGGUCGCGCCUUUUCUUUUGUUUAAGGGCUGCUCGCCUUACUAAAGUACCAAAGGCUUUCACGGCUGACACCCCUACCUUAGAAUCUAAGCCCUUUGAAGCGCCAGUAGUUGUAGCAGUGGGUAAGGCUUUCGUUCAACUCGCUCCGGGUUCCGAUCUAUAUGACCUCUAGACAGUACAAAGUACACCUCUUCCGUAGAGGCAAGCUGGUAGUAACCUAACCUUUUAGAGUCGGGGGAGCCGAGCCCUUAACUCUAUCAAUAGAUAAAUCUUCGUGCGUGGCGUGAGUUGGAAUCCUAGAAAAGAUCGAUUGAGACUCCCUCCCCGGUUCCACGAAGAUCUCUACGUACUUGUCUAGUCCAGGACAACUGAGAUCUUCCGGUCUGCGUGCGUGGGAGCAGCUGAAACAAAGAAGAGUCUGGUCCGCUCUUCAUUCAGGCCCCCCCCCGCCUUACAAAUGGGCCGUCCCCCUUAAUGAAUCGAAUGGUCCUUCGACCCUCGUUUGAGCCGGCAUAGAUGAAAUCUCAUGAGACCCGCCCAGCCCACUAUUACUACAAAAAAGCCCUGCCCUGGCACCUUCGCUAGACGGAGAGUAAGCGACUUCUAUUAGCACCGGACCGUCGAGUCGAAUUGAUCGUGUCAUGUGCAACGCCCAUCAAUGGUGGUUCAUUAAUGUCCAUAGAUUGAGACUCCUUCCCCCUUCCCUUAUACGCAAAAGAUCGAGAGGGGCCCGAACCAAACCGAGAACGUAAACAGAAUUCGACUCACUCUCGUAUGGCUCGCCCUCGAGCCCUGGGCGAGUCGGCCGGGUCUUCCCUUUUGUUCUGUUUCCGCCACGAUAAAGACGCACGGAAGAACUAUGGUAUGCCCAGCGCGUGGAGGAUCCGUUGAGAGUGUCCCUUGUCUCGGUAGGGAACAGUACCUAUUGUCUUGAAAAAGAAAGGUCAGUGCUACGGUCCCCUAUUGUUUGAUCCAAUAUUGACCGGUGCGGAUCACGUUCUACUACCUCCGGUCCGUGGUUCGACCUCCCGUAGUGGUCCUUGCUUUUCUUUUUGAAAGCUCCGCGGGGCCAAUUUUGCGUACUUGCUCAGUGUGCCCCCUUUCGUCGAGUGCCCCGCCCGGUUCACAGGGCUGUUGGCCUACCAAGCAAGCACUUGCCCACAGCUCCUGCCGCCUGCCAAGCGGGCUCCGCGCUCGUUAUCCUGACUGUUCUCUCCGCUGGGCCCUUUCCUAUUGCUCUAACCAUAAGCUAUGGCAAUUCCAGCUCGCACCCACUCUGGCCCGCCCAGCGAGGCCUGAGUGAGCUCAGUGGUCAGCCCCUGACGUUAGGGGUCUUUCGCUUUUGCCAGAUCUAUAGAGAUAUUACGAGUCCUCCGUCCUAGAUUCCCUCGCCGCGGCCAUCUGGUUCACCGGUACUACCAAAAAGUCUCAUGCUUACGUUACUGUGACUGAUAUAUAAGUAUGAUCUCGGACUACGAAGACCCAGUCGUGCUUCUGGUUUCCAUUCUCAUCAUCAUAUUGAAGGAAACUCCUCGUGCUCUGCCAUAAGAACUUGGAGUCCGUAUCAUGGUGAAGGUAAGGUAACGCUGUGAUUCUUGCUCAAAAAACUGACCGAACACGUUCGAGUUAUUGGCUCGUCCGACCCGGCAGCAUUCAUGAGUCGCUCGUUCAACUGUCCCUCGGAGACACGGUCGAGAAGUGCCAUGCAUGGUCGCCCCCCCCCCGUCCUUUCUUUCUCUCGGUCCCACCAGGGCGGGCCCCUCUGGGGUAAUAAAGAAAUGGAUAAAAAAAGGGGACUUCUGCUACGGGCUAUGCCACCCAUUACUUUACUUAUGAGGGAAGUCGCAUCCGUCCCAUCGCAAGCACCUACAAUGUUAUGAUCACAUUGGUUUACCCUUUUUUGGUAGUUCAACGGACGGUCGCCCCUCCAACAAGAAAAGGUAGAAAUAUGGAAACUUCUCUGCCAUUUAGAUCGGAGAAUUUAUAGAGGAAAUCGGGUUUUAAAUUUCCAGAAACCACACGAUUAUAUAGCCAAAGGGAAUACGCCGCGCCUAAAAUCAUCCCAAGCGCUGCUAAUGUGGCUACUAAGCUAUUUCUUUGGAAAGCUCCUACUAAGAUUAGAAAUUCCCCGAUAAAGCUGCUAGUGCCGGGUAAACUCAUAUUGGCUAAAGUGAAAAAGAAGAAAAUGGUAGAGAAAUUCGGCAUGGUGCUCACUAAACCUCCAUAAUAUCUAACAAGUCGAGUCUUAUGUCGGUCAUAUAGAACACCAACACAUAGAAAAAGGGCUGAAGAAACCAGUCCAUGACUUAACAUAAGUAAAAUGCUACCUCCAAUUCCCGGUAUGUUCGAUAGAGCCUAAUAUUCCCCCGGAGUACGCCGCUUACCCCCCGAACCGUACAAGAUAGUUACCACCUAUCAUACGGCUUUCUAACUCCACUUCUUUUUCUGGUUGUUCCGCUCUGUCGGAUCAAUGGUAGUCUCAGAGAUCUGGUAACCUCCGAUAUUUUUUACAACACGCUUCCUGCUUCCGUUUUGAGUUGCGCAUCUUUCUCCCCGGGGCAUACUAUAGUAUCACAUCGUAGACCCCCACCCCAACUCUAUCUUCCUUAUCAGUGAACCGGAACAUAGUGCAUAGGUACUCUUCGAUGCUGCGAGGACGAGACGAGGUGACAUACUACGAUCACGCACUGAAGUUCUGCCCUUCGGCUCGGCAUAUGGAACCUCUCAACUGCUCCCUCGGGAUAGGUAGGCCCAUCCCCCACCCCUCCUUUCCCGAGAGGCGGCCGGGCUGUGUUUCCCCAGCGGCCACCCAGUGGCGGCAGAAAACGAAAAAGGGUGGGCUCCGCGCAGUUCGCGUUUUAUUGUAAUUGUAAAGAGAGAGCUUUUCAUUCUCUUAUAGAAGCCCGCGUCCACGCGGGUAAAGCCCUGCGAAGCUGCAGGGAGCACUGAGCAAUGAGGGGAUGAGGGCGACUCACGGGUUGGACCACAGGCAAAAGUCCUUCCACGGCAAGAGAAGGGUGACCGGAACAAGAAAAGGGAGCUAGUCGUUGGAGGGAAGACAAGGCUCGUUCCGUGCGACUCCACAGAAGAGUACGCGCGCUAGAAAAGGCAGCCAGCUUAAAAACGCUAGCUAGCUACUUUUGUAGCCUUUUUUAGUUUGGUUGCCUACGCUUGCUCUCCGGGGCGCGCUACGGCAACACCCCCUGCUUGCUUCUUUCUGUUCGACGCGGAGCUCGCAGCCUCCCCACCCUUGCUUAGCGUUCCACUUGUGAUCCUGGAGGAUUUGGAGAAAUGCGCCCGACCAUGAAGAAUGGAUUUUAGCUUUUCUUUCAUGUGAACGGCCCUAUCUUGUAAAGAAUGGUUUUUCGUGCUAUAGACCACGUUGAGAAAGACCAACCAACAACACAAAUAAAGACCGUUCCAUUUGGGUACCUCGAAAGGGAGGUGCUCUUUAUGAUGCUACGGACGGCUGUCCGAAGUGCAUGCAAUGACGGGCUCAGAUAGGAUAGGAUUGUGCGCGCCGGGCCCUUCGGGUGUCCAUAUUUUGGCCGACCUUAGCGUAGGCCCGGUUAUGCGGCCGUAAUAUUUUUAUACCUUCCACCGCUGUUACGCCAGAAAUCCAAGGUUCCACACGAGCUCCUGUUCUGCGGCGUGGUGGCAGGACCGCUAGGGGAUUGGCUCCGGGUGUAGGUAGGGUCAAAUCCGCAGGGGUCAUGCAAAUACAUAGGCCCCUUCCCUUCUGCCGAGUUGUUUAGAAGGCGCUUUCCGUUCUACGGUCCCUCGGACCGAAGGGUUAGGCAGGUAGUACGGGCCCUCUGACUUCCAGCUAUGUGCUGUGUGCGACUCCCGCGAAGCGAAUGAAGGGAAGCUCUUCGAGCUUUCUCCGCCAGCGGCUUAUGUAGUGGUCGGCAUUCCUACGUGCUCCGACUGAUCCCCACUGGAGAUGAGGGGUCUUUGAAACUGUCGUGACGCUUUGGUGACGAAGGUCACCGGGGUGACUAUGGAAGGAUUCCGUGGUAGUCUCUGACUCCCUCCAACUCAAUCAAUAUCAAGAACAUGUCGUGAGCAUGGGGGUUUGGCCGACUACUAAACUCUAUACUAUUGGCUAGGGCUAGGCUAGUUAUAGCUUCUAUAGUGAGUGGCCCUUCCGCUUUGAUCUAGUUGUAGUUUGUACUGUACUAAAUUGAACACAUAUCAAAGAAAGGCGAUCAAUCAAUAAAAUAAGUAGUUGCCCUUCUCCGGCCCGGGAAAAGCUGCGAACUCGUUAUAAACUAGGGGCUUUUUUAUUCAUGGUCGCUACUGUUGUAUUGUAUAUUGUCGGGGGAAGCUACUGCUUCUACGACAGCUCCGCUUCCUCGUCUUGCUUCUACUUUGCUUGUUUGCGCGAAGGCUUAGAGUCCUUUUCGCUAGGUCCAAAUUCGUCAAAGCGAAAGAUCUGAUCCAACGGAAAUCCCGCAUAUUAAGCGCUGCUGAUAUGUGGCUACUAGGCGCGAUCAUCUCACAUGCCAUAAAAAAAAUACUUCUUUUUUCGUCAUAUAAAGAUAGAAUAGAUAUGGAUAGAGAGACAUUCUAUUGAUUCGCGAAAUGGCUCGUCGAUCCAAAUGAAUCAUUCUUCUGGUCUCUCUCUGCCCCCCGCCCCAAAACUGACCCACGACACAGCGCCCAUUCGUUUCGCGCGCGGGAAGGCAACGAAGUUCAGUUCAAAAGACCGCAGCGGAGUGGAGCAGCCGCGACACGAAGUUCCUUACCUUAGCUGGAUCUCGCUGGUGCCACCUAAACGGUAGGUAUAGGCGGCGGAUGUAUGACGUUUGGAGUUGUCGUUCGUGCACCUGUCCCCAAUAGAAGAAUGAGUGAUCCCUUCCCCUGCGGAUCAUGGCCUUACCACUAGGUCCCCGAUGGCCUGCGGGGGAUUCGGUAUAGCAGCUUACGUUCGUUUGCGCUGCGCGUUCCCGCUGGACUGGACACGUGUUAGCUGUAGGAAGUAUGGUUACGAAAGUGACUUCGGUUCGCCAGUUCAGGCUCAACUCCUCGCUUUACGUUAGCGGACUUACAGGUCGGGCCGGGGCUCCACGCUCUUUCUUUCUGUGUGGGACGAUGCCGGGGAAUGUGUCGAGGCGGCGAACAACAACAAGACAACUAACUACAUUUGCUUUUUCCCUCCAUGAGAUGAGCCAGUGCAUUGGACCGAUGGAUAAUAGAACUGAGCAGGCCAAAAAAGCGCUUGGGCGCUCUACAUACGAUGUAGACUCCAUCAGAUACAUAUCGAUUUCUUUAUGAUGGAUCCAGAAUAGAUAGAUAUCUUGUAUCAUCAAUAGAUAGAAAGAGGUCAACCCUUAUUAUUGAUAGAUUCCCUUUCGAUCUAUCAGAACAGAUCAGGCCAUCUAUCAAUCGAUUUGAAAGGUUCAUCUCGCUUUUCGUUCAUUUCAGCCACGCGCCGCCACAAUAAGAAAGAAGCAAGCGAAACAGCUAGAAGCGCUCGCUUCGCCGCGCCCAACUAUUCGGAAAGCCAACCGAAAGAUUCGAUUCGGACUUCGUAGAGCCGGUGCUGCUGCUGUCUGCGUGGGGCCCCACUCCCGUCCCGGGGCGCUAAGGGGUUUUGUUUUAGGAACAGACGGCGGUGUUUUGCUGACGCCUCGAAUCGACGCUUUUGUUGCGACAUGCUAAGUUUUCUCCCCUAUUGCUAGUAGGUUGAUGGGUCGCACGCCCGGCACACAUGUUUUGGCCUUGCUUGUGUGUCCAUAACUCAAAAUAGGUGACCUAACGGCCGCCGCCCGACUAAACAUACCAAUAGUCACCAAAUUCAUAUGGGCUACUGAGGAGUAGGCAAUGAUCUUCUUAAGAUCGAUCUGUCUUAAAGUGGUCAAGGAAGUAUAUAUUAUAGCAAUCGCACUUAGAGUAUAAAUGAAAGGAGUGAAACAAAGUGUCGCUUCGGGAAACAUGGGUAUUGAAAAUCUUAAAAACCCGUAGGUUCCCAAUUUUAAAAGAAUUCCUGCCAAGAUGACGGAUCCAGCCGUAGGUGCCUCUACAUGGGCUUCGGGUAACCAAAUAUGAACUGGUACCAUAGGCACUUUGACGGCAAAAGAGGCGAAAAAGGCAAUCCAUAGAAGGAUUUGGCGCCGCUCACUAAAUUCUGUGGUUAAUAAAAUUUGUAAAUCGGUGGUUCCUGUUUGGAGAAGAAUCAACAGAAUAGCUAAUAGCAUAAAAACGGAUCCAAGUAAAGUAUAUAGGAAAAACUGAUAUGCUGCCUUGAUCUUUCUUUGUCUCGAACCCCAUACCCCUAUAAUGAUGGUAGAGUCAGGGGUGGCCCCAAAGCGGAAUUGACCGGUGGUGGUUGGUCGAAGCUCCAGUGGGUAGCCACUCCCUUCUCAGGGAACCGUACGUGAGACUUCCGCAUCAUACGGCUCCGUCCCGAGCUUCCGUCGUCGGCCCUUGUCAUUAGACCACUAUGCUUGUCUUUUCCGCCUUGACUCUCGAAUCUUUUGCUUCUCGGGUGGUGGCGAACAAUGCAGCUUGCGUUGCGGGAGAUGCCCGCCCGUCGGGCCCGGCCUGCUUCCUGCCCGAAGAAGGCUAGCCGGACUAGUGGUAGGGGACCCGACCGUAAAAAACCCUACCUUUCGAACCCGCCCGUUCGUUAUAUCUAUAGAUAGAGAGAGAUCCGUGAAAGUCAUUGCCUUAUGUUAUGGUCGCCCCCCACGGCCUUUACGCAACUACGACUACUGUGAUGUGAGCGGUUCUAUUGGUUUGAUCUUUCCGGCCUCCACUUGUACGAAGAUGCAUGCAUAAAGGGACCCGCCCCUUUAUUUAUCUUUAUUAGGACAGGACCCUACCCUAUUCUCGAACCCUCUGCCGAGCUCUACCCUGCCCGCAUUUAUUUGGAAGGGGGCCAAAGAAAUGUCUCCACCUGCUGCCAACAGUCUUUCUUCGGAAUUCUACUGAACGGGUCGAUCCUCCCCUCCGUUUGUUUUAGCAACUUAUCCUAAGGUCUCUUCGCCAAGAACUCUCCGGCAACGACAGAGGAACUAACCUGCCUGCUGUGGCGGGGCGGCUUUAAACAACAAUAAGACCUGGACGAUUAUCCCUACCCUCGGUAGCUUACGAGUUUACGUCCAUCCCUGGUCGGGUACAGUUUCCUUUAUUUUUAUCCCUUGUAGCCGUUACCCGAAUUCGCGCAAGUGUGUCCACACCCCCCCUGACUUGACGAGGAAUCCAUUCUCGCGAACAAACACACCCCCCUACACACACCUAGGAGCACCCCUUCCUGCAUAUCCAUACAAGACCUGAGUAGGCGGGUCGAGGUCCUACGAGGUACCCACUACUCGGAGUACCCUCCCACCAAAAAAAGAUGUGUGGUUCGGUGGUUCGACCAGAAAUGCUAUGCUUACGCACAAGACUACCCCUCUUCCCGAAAGCUUCGCGGGGACCUUGACUACUUUACGACGACGGGGGACCGCCCGUAGGGGGUUUACUGCACAAGGCCCCUGCAGAGGAAAAGCUUGAUCCCAGCGAAUAGAAGAUGCUCAGCUCCGCACAACAUAGGGAUUGGCACGCUUUCGGAAAGAACAUAGAAUAGUAGAGGAUCCAGCAUGCAGGACACGGCGAUCAUUAGAAAUUCACGAAUUAGAAAUGCUGUAAUAUACUCUUUCCCAAAACUUCUCAUACCAGACCAACCCACUGAAAUGCAAAUAGGGAUCAGAAAUGUGGUCAAUAUCACGAAGAAUAAUGAAAGACCGUCUAUACCCAUAUACAAAUGGAUGUUUUCAUAAGGAAGCCAUCGAAGGCUUUCCACAAAUUGAGAAUUGGCCGUAGAAGGAUCGAAUUGUAUCCGAGGAACAGGGGGAUACAAAAAAGUAAUAAGAGAAACGCACAGACCAAUCAAUCGUAUCGGUCUUAUUGAAGAAUUUGGAAUGAAAAGAGGAGUAAUGCUUCCUAGCACGGGACAGAGAAUAGGACCACUUAGAUCGAAAUAGCAUUCACUGAAAUGUUCUAACAUAGAGUAGAAUCGAACAUUGAAAAGAUUAGUUGACAACAGUCAAUCAGGCGCCAAAUUACUAAACAAUAGGGGUCUUUCUGUGCAAGUCAGCUGAACACCGUAAUUGAUGAGUGAGUAGGUGGGUUAGGUGCACCCCUCGCCCAGUGGGAAGUCAUGAGGCUAGCCCCCCUGAAUGAAGAAGUAGUGGGGCCCCCUGCCCGCCCACGUAUGCGCCUUUAUUUAGAUUCUAACUAAAUAUUAUACUGAACUUUAUCCGGGAAUCUUUCUAAAGAAUCCAUCUGGCAAAACGCAAUUUGUCGAUUUCAAUUUAAGGUACACCUUACCUUGCCUUUUUCAGGUAGCUUUGUUACGCCUAUUCAGCUAGGUGGGGCAUUGGUCAUAGCCGAAGUCGAAGGAAAAAAAUAAGGUAAUGAGAUGAUGGUGUCAUCAAGAAGUUUUCGACGAACGUAGUAGCAAAUGAAACUCUUGCAUGAAAGACCGGAUUUGACGCAAGAUGAAUUUGGGGUUUUAAAAAUGAAACCCGCGAUCAGAAAGUCACCAACGGAGCCAUACAAUCUAUCUAGUAGUGUGCCAUGGCACGGUACUCCGCUUCGGCAGUGGAAGGAGCAACUGUCUAUUGCUUUUAUCUCAUCCAAGAUAAGAUAGUGGAGAGUCUCCCCAAAAAAUAGAGAAGCCUGUAGUUGAGCACCUAUCUGAAGGCCCAAUCGGCAUCAGUAGUUGCACGCAACUCUAAAGAAGACGAUGACGGAAAAAAGGACGGCUCGAGAAAAGGUACCUCGAAUAUAUCUAAGAAUCCGAUGAACUGCUGCAAAGUGAACUGACCGGGGGGCAGCGCAGCCAUGAAAGGCUGACUUUCUUAAGAAAAGCCAUCUGGGCAAGAGAUCGUCAGAUAAACCAAACUGCCGACCUACUGUCUGUACUGCGUCGGAUCAGAUAAUGGUGAGCCAUCAGUCGGACGGAGUUUAACGUAAAGCUCCAAGGGAGUGUCAACAGUCUUCUCAUCAUUGAGUUGAGCUCGAGUGAUCAAGUCAUGACGUUAUUUGAUCUGAGAUACCAAAUAUCCACGAGGAGAAUGUGCGAUGCGACCUCCAAGCCAAGAAAAGGCUUAGGGCGCGUCAGCGCCUUCAUAGCAAAUAAUUGAUGAAGGCGACACUCGAUCAGCGAUAUGGUAACGGAGUAAUCACCAGUCAGUUUGAUAUCAUCAACAUACAACAACAGAAUAGCACGUCCUCGAGGAUAAACUGAUACGAACAUGGCCGAAUCAUGAUCACUCCGAGCAAACCCUGCCUGGAUAACCACUGUGCUGAACUUCAAAAACCGACGCUAUCGGGGCUUGUUGAGACCAUAGAUCGCUUUGCGUAAAGGACAGACAAGAGAAGAAGUCAGAAGGGCAGGUUCUCUUUCAUCCGUCUUUUCUAGGUGCGCAUCUCUAUCUACUAAAAGUAGGGGUGGUUGCCAUAGAUAGAUUGGGUCAUUCGUAACCUGAGCAAUAACCGAUGCUACUACAGCAAUAACGGAAAUAACCGAUGCUACAGCAGAAACUACAGCUAUACGUGGCGGCCCCACACGCAGCUUUGUUUAACAAGCAUCACCCUUCCUUUCUUUUCAAAUGCUUCCUCAGUCAAUCAGCAGCUUAUUCGAUUCCUAUUCUUAUUAAACAUCUGAUAUAGAUGGUGGGAACAAUGAAGCAGAUUCUUCAUCUGUAGGUUGCAAUCCGUAUGAUUUCUUCUCGAUCUCCUGCUUGUGUUUCACCUCGCACCUAAGCAUCACGUUCCUAGGGACAGAGACAUCUGCGCUCUAAGGCAAUCAUAGUAUAGUAUAGUAUAGUAUAGUACUGCCAGCAUGGUUACAUCGUUCUGCGGGCAAGCUAAGCUUCAACUUAAAAGUCACCUGAUUUGGGCCAAAGGAGUAGGAACAGCUGCUGGGGAAGCACCAUUACCAUCUAUGGGAGGUUGAAUAGCUGCAUAAGUAGUAGUAGGAGCAUGGGCACUGGGAAAAGAUGAAAUCGAUCCAGCUCUGGUAACAAAGCAGUAGGCAAGGCGGAACCUCCUCUACUAAAAUACGAAUACGAAUACGAAUACCCUACUUCCGAGGAGAAAGGACAUCCCUCAAUCACGGGACAAUCCUCCACUCCAGGGCAAAGGUACUUCCAAAGCAGACAAGGUUCAUCUGCGCAUGAAAGGAAUGAAACAAAUUCAAUAGAUUCAAUAGGGUCAUCCCCACCGAGAUCGGUACCUAUCUAGAUCCCCAGCUUCGACAAGGCGUCCUCCUUCGCAUUUUGCGACCAUUCCCACGAGGACUACGAUUCGGAUUCUCCAAUUUCAUCCCCAAUUACACCUCUUAAGAGGAAGGGACGGCCCUCUAUCCGGUGUGGGUUCCUACGAAUUAUUGUAUGGUUUCGGAUCCUGGUCCCUCUGCCCUUGCUUUUUGUUAUUCCAUAGGGGUAUGGAUUGAAGUAAUCACUAAUCCAGGAAAGAUGGAUCUUUAGCUAGCUCUACGGCAAAGCCAAUACGCCAUGUAUCAAAACAAUAGGGAUAGGGGUAAUUGUAUACCACCUACGAAUAGGAAUAUCCUGGGUUUAGUAAUAAAUCGAAUUUCAUCAAUUCUAAGCACGGUAACGGCAGUGCUCCUAUCCAACGGCCGGGGAUCUAUUCGAUUUAUCAAUUUGCUAAUGCCGAAAAGCUUAGGUUGUUAUUUCAUCGUCUUGCGCUAAAAAGGCACCCUCCUAUUAUGCUAAGGCCAGGGACGGAUAACGGCAAAGCGGAACAGCAAUAGCGAAAGCAGGUACAGUAACGGCGCUAUCCCUAAGCGGCUAUGGCGAAUCAAAAUAGAUAAAUUUAGAGCGUUGCGAAUUUCCUUCUAAGGAAAGAUCCUACCAAUCACGGCUUCCUAGCUUAGGGCACCUUCCUUGCUACGAAAACGGAUUACUCUACGGGAUUCGGCUCCAAUUGAUCGGCCGAAGACACCUAUUGUUUCGGAUUUUAUAGUUGCCAUUGGAAAAAAAGGAUUGCGCUAGUCUUGCGUCGGAUAAACGGCUCCUCGGUGGAGUAACGGUUCUAAGGUAGCUAAAUACGCCGCUACUGUGUGGUACAGUACUUUACUUUUCUUCCAAGUUUUCUGCUCGUAACGAUUCCUUUGAGGAAAGGAGAGAGAUUCGAGUUGCUUUAACCCUUGGGGAGCAUAGUUCAGGAACGACUGAGUUCGAUCUGAUCAUUUGGUUCGGAAAAACAGAUACGAAUCUUUGAACGGAAGCCGAGUAAAGGCAGUUCAAAGCAAAGGACCUCUCCCUCUGACUAGGAUGGUAGCUAGCUUCACUCCAAAAAGAAAUGUAGUAAAUGUGGGGGCUAAGGUUUCACCGUCGGUAAGAUUGGGCUCGCUGAACCCGUCUCUCCCCCUGAUUGGGAUCUGAAUGGAAGGGUGGGUUAAAAAACCAUGGCCAGCCCCCCUCAAUAAAUAUCGCCAGUAGGUUACUGAUGGGAUGCUAGCUGCCGGUAUACAGGAAAACCGUGGUGCAGAGGACGAGCAAGAAGACUGUGCUAACACAUAUCCCUUCAAUUUAUUGGUUCUACAGAAGAUGUAUGAUAAAGAGCUGGCAUUAAGUCAUCCAACGCGCUCAGGCUUUGUAUUAUAAGAGGAAAGACUCUCGCCAGUAUAGAUUGAACGUAUGGCGCUUGCUUACAAGACAGCUACUGAAAAAGGCUACUUCUUCAAUCUGCUGAAUGCCCUAUUCCAUAUGAAGUCUAUCUUUCCCAAGCGUAUACUUUUGUUCUAUAAGCAAAUAAAGCAUACUUCUUUUGCGGAUCAAGCAGUCUUCUACCUUGGUGGGUAGCGGAGAAUCAAAGAAAGGAAUAACGCUAGCUAGCGUCGAUUAACUCACUUAACUAGAUGCGAUGCGCACAACCAAGAGGUAGGCGUGUUGCUCUCAGAGAUUCACUGAGUCUGGGGCUGGGGUCCUCUUUCUGCUCGUGCUGCUUGCUAAUCAAUCUACUAGUGCAAAUCCACCAGGGCUCUACUUUCUUCUAACUCUACAUGAGACAUGAGCAAAUGUGGGUCAGCUUCCUCAACUAUACUCUAACUUAGAUUCUCUAUUUGCGGAAAUCUAUUCCUUUCUUACUCAGGUGGUACUACUUGAUAAGCAACUCUCAUAUCUUGUCUUCUCUGUUCGAUGAUGCCUGCCGAGGGACUGACUCCUCUUCUCCUUAGCCUGCCGGUACAGCUCCUUCUGUUCUCGUGCAUAAGCUGAGUCUUUGCUUGGGUAGGGCUAUGGAAAUAGGUAAGAUACUAGAUAAGUCAACUCGAUAUUCCUUUCUUUUCUUUCUGAGGGAAGAGUUAAUGAAUGUCAGAAGCUUAUUGCCUUCUGGCUGGAAUAUAGGGAAAGUAAACAUAGGACCACAGAUGAGUACAUAUAGGCAUUGGCAUAGGUACAGUACAGUGGAGAUCAUUGAUUGGGGUCAAGUCUACCAGCACUCACCUAGAAUCUGUCAUAUUAGUUUAUGAAGUAAAGAAAGAAUGAGUUAAAGUAGGUGUACUUUUGACAUAUUCACAAAGAGUAUCAACCAAUAGGAAAGGAAUAGGCGGCUAGGAGUUUGUUGCUUGGGACGACUAUCAUCUAUCUGUCUUAGGUUAUGUAUUCCUUUAGUGAUUGGAAUAGGACGAGGAGUCUAACUAAGGAGUAUAAUGGAAUUGCUUGUCAACCAUAGGCUUCUUCUACGGAGCUUAGGAGAACUAGAAUCUGAGGAAAAGAAGAAAUGUCUAUCCUUGGGGAUAGAGCAAGGUCCUAUAGCGAGACAUUCUUUCUCUUCCGAAAUCGUAAUGGGUUAGAUAAGUUCCUGCCUCAACAGUCCGGAUUGAAGUCUGGUCAAGAGAAGAGGUUCGGUCAAGGGUGAAGGAGUCGAAUUAGAAUACCGUUGAGAUGACUAAGCACCCAUUCCAUGUCAGAGUUUUUUAAGAAAGCUCUAAGCCCAGUUGAAGCUUAAAGCAAAGAUAGGAUUGAGCUAGAAAAGGCUUUUUUGAAUGUAGGGCGAACCCCCCUCCCCUAGUCAUCGAGGAGGGGAGGUAGCUUAUUGACCAACUGUAUAGGGUAGGCAGGCUGAGUUCCCUUUCGCUUGAUGCAAUGUCAAUUCUAAAUCAAGCAAUUGAUGGAAUCAAAAGAGGGAACGAAAGUAAAUGAGAAAUUACUUUUCACUCGGAAUUCUUUAUUCAUUUGAAAAUGAGACUCUCACUCGCCUUUUUCUUUUCUUAUCCCCUAAUCUACUACUUCAAAGCAGUGUUUCUGCAGUGUUCCUAAGAUGAGCUAUGUCUGGUUUAGUGUCAACUAAUCUUUAACCCUUUGAUGGUAGAGGGGAGUAACUCGCUUUUAGCCCUCUACAACUGAAGUUCUCAUGUACUUAAAUAACAAACAAGAUUGAAUAGGCCACAAGGCCAGAGAAAAGGUAGGUUAAUUGUUCUAGGAUUGGUUGUCUCAUUGACAAGUGAUGGGAGUAUCAGGGUUUCGAUACCCAUGGCAACGUGGAACAAGCGAAAGAAAGAGCCAUGAAAGCCUAAACCUGAACUGCAGAUCCUAGAAGAAAGGUAGCGUAGUCUUGUGGAAAUAUGCCCAUAAGAAUUCCAAGAACAAUCAAAUAAGUAGUGAAUUCCCAUAAGGAAGAGAAGACACCCUAAACUCUAAAGUACUAACUAAACUAGAUCUAGAUAAAGUACUGACUAAACUAGAUAGGCCCUAGCCUUCGCUAGGUUAGGGUUGCGAUUGUGAUAAUCCGGGUCAGUCGAGGCUGGUAAAGUAACUAAGUUGCAAAGAAAACCUCAGAUAGACUAGCUUAGGAAAUGGUGAAGCUUUAGAAUUACCAAUGGAUAAACUGAUAUGGGACUGAAACCGAUUUCCAUAGUUCUGAGGCAUGGGAGAAGUGGAUUCAAUGGGGAUGAUGAUGGCCCGAGAUAAGAAUGGGAAGUUGAUCAAGAGUGCUGGCCGUGUUGAUGCCGUUGAGUUGCCAGAGAAGAGUUCAUUGCCCUAACGGGAAUUUGCAGAAAUUCUGCGAUACCUGAUACUUGAAACUCGAUCUAUUUCACCGUACUUCUACUAAUACUAAAGCUAAGCCUAAUAUUGCAAUGAAGCUAAGAAUGAGUCAGUUGUGCUACUGCUUCCAUUCCUCGCAUUCAGCUUGAAGAGCCAUAUUGAACAACUAUAAAGAGCAUCUACCACUGCUCGGAUUAGCCUCCCUCCUAUCAUUCUCAUAAGGAUUGGCUUCCGCUUACUUUAGGUCUUGACUUCCUAUCGGGAUAGACAGCUCAGAUUACAUGCUUUAGAUUGAAGCUACUGCUCCUCUUUCUUUCAUUAUCUCUUAUUCUGCAUCCUAUCCACCAUAGAAUACUCUCUUCCAGUCCUUUGAUCAUAUAGCCAUCCAUCUUUCAUCAAUGAAAUUGUUCCGUAUGGGUAGCAAAUAAACAUAUCAGAAGAGCCAACCCGAAAGCACUUGCUUCAAAGAAGAAGCUGUUACCAAGAAAUUCCUGUUUCAAGUCUGUAUAUCUCGAUAGAACCAAUUCCAAUCCAGGUAGUGUGAACAGAGGAUGUGGAAGUUCUGUUUCCUUGCCUUGGCUCUAGAAGUCAAGUCCUGUCGGCGGACAUAAGACGGAACCCCGGUGGUUUGAAGGCACGUAGCCACUGUGUCUAAGAUUGAGCAGGCGGGUACGGUUUCGGAAAUGACAUAUUGAAUAGGUCUGUAUACCCUCAAGGGAGUUCGUUCCAUAGAGAUCUGCCUUCUAAAAAGCUUUGCUCAUUCUGCAAACUACUCCCACCAGUCACUGAGCUAGAGACUGGCACGAGAUGUUGUGUUGGUUUAUUAGAACCAUACCAAGUUCCUAAGAUUACAAGAUUCAUAACUAGCGUGAUCAACGAGACCUCCUCGACAUUAUAAGGUUCUCAAUCAGUUCAGUAAAGUACGAGCGCCAGGAUAGAUUCCUUCUCACUAAUAAGCUCCUGCGGCCAGAAAACUCAUUUUUGCGGGAUUGUUAACCCCUUUCUGAACCAACCUUUGGAAAGCUCUUCGCAGCAUGGAAAUAUUCACCCGAGACUGAAAUGGAGGCAUAAGUAGGCCAGCUUACACUAAAUGCUCCGGAUAUUCUUAUAUCAAUCCUAAAAACGAACUGUUGAUGUGUAAGCCAACACCUUGUGAACGUCGUAUACUCGGUAGUGACAGUUGGAAAGCUAGCAAGCAAGUCAAUAAAAUAGGAAUGCCCCUUCCAACCUCAAAAACCUUUGAAAGCUGGUGAAUUACAUCUAGCUAGCCGGGAAAGCAUUCCCCUCCUACGACUAGGAUAGUGCUAUUAGUAAGUAUUCGUCCCUCCGCUAACUAAACAGCUCACAGUUCUCUAUCAGUCCCUAAGCCUAUGCCUUCUUCUGUCAAUCUUGUACUUACUGUGAAGUACAGCAAGGCAAGAAGAUUCCCAAUAAAGUCCAAUGCGUCCUCUCAUGCGUGACAUACAUUCCAAGCCCAGACAUGUUGUACCUUAGGGCUGAACAACUAGUAAUGCAAUCAGACUCUUGAGCCCAGUUCCUAGUAAAUGCUUUAGGCCCGGGACCUAAACAAGAUGCCCAAAUAAGAACAUCCACGCCCAUACUUUAUAUAUAUUAUAUAUAUAUAGUGGAAAAAGCCCAUACUUUAGAGUUACUGCUUCAGGAUAGCUAUUCCUCUCCGACUUACUUUUCUGAUCUGAGAUAGGGUUACCCCGGUACUAUCAAUAGCGAAGUAACUGAUUGCUUGGGAGCAUUUGUUGGCAUGUCAUAGAGAGCCAAUCAGAGAGUGCAAGUACGAGUUCAAUUUUCCAUGUGAUGAGUAGCGGCGGUAUCACAUAAAGAGACAGGCUCCACAAGAACAUUCGUUCCUAGGUGCAUGACUUGGAGGGGAGCUCCUUCUUGCUAAGAGUGCCAGUGGAUUCUCCUCCUAUUCCUCGACUCUUUAUUAAGGAGACAGACCGGUAAUCUCGCUUCUGAUAAAAGAUCGGCUAUUCCCCUAAGAAAGCAAAGGGGUAUUCUUCCUUCAUAGAUUCCCGAUGCCGAGCUACUCUUGAUAGGCUUUCCAAGACCAAGUUUAUAGAAUGAUCCCUUGCACAUUGAGCAAGACAGUGUAUUCUUUAGGUUGGAGUAAGAUCAAUGGAGCCGAAAGUAAAGCAUCGGUAGUGAGGCUUUCCUCCAUGAGGAAUUAAUCCUUUGGUCGUCAAUGGGAACUUUAAGACGAGAGCCAAUGUGUCCAAACUUCCGGCUGAAUUGUUGCUUUCUAGUGGCCGACCAUCCUUUCCAGACCUUCUCUAGAGCUCUUCAAUCCUUCCUCCUAAGAUAAGAUAAGAUAAGAUCCAGGCUAACUUUUUCAAGCAAUGGAAUGACUGGUAGGCGAUCUCAGGCUCGCUCGUCGUUGGGUAGUUUCCGAUAGUUCUAUCACCAUUCCAGGCUCUUCGCAUAUAGAGAACUCGAAGGUGGUCGAUGUAAUAGAGCAGGCCUGAGGCCAUUACGUACUUUCUUUGUUUAAGUUAUUAUUGAGAGGGUCUUUCAAUGAUAGCUAUACACAAUGAGCGCUGUUUUCUACAUGCGAGAUGAGAGCGGAUAAGGCUAAAAAGAGAAAAAGCAGGGCUUGGCUUAUUCUAUUCAUCUGCACCACCUGACAGAGAUUCUUUCACAGCCUCGUUCAGCUAGUAGAAUUCUUUAUAGAUCUCGUUCUUUUCACUUUCUGGGCUGAGACCGUCCAAUUUCAUUCUUGCCUGGGAUCGGAACUCACACUCGAUCCCUACUCUUUCCUCGUACUUCACAGGUUUUCGAGGCCGAGGGUGAACUGGACUCGCAUUCACUUGCUGGGAAAAAGAGAGUGGAUCAGGCUACGACUGAGGCUGAGGAUAGGUCACAGGACGGAUGAGGUAAAGUAUUCCAAAACGGAGGAUUCCAACCCGAGGAAGUAGGUCAACCACCUGCUCCGUGGAAGUAGUUAGGGGAUAAGCCCAAGGAGGAUAGGCCUAUGGGAUUUCCACAAUGAGUCCUAGUACCAGGUAGGUUAAGGCGUAAUAAGUCAAAGAGGUCUUAGCGGAACUCGAUAAAAAGGAGGGAUGUGACUCAUCAAAGGAAGUUGCCGACUCGGGUAGGUAAGCAAGAAAGUAGACUCCUUCAUCGGCCAGGGUACUCCUGAAAUCUAUCUCAGUAGGGAAAAGAGGAGUUAUGGUAUAGAGAAUUCUGACCUAAAUGGAUGCAUUGAUUAGGGUCUUUGUCCCGCAUCCUUACGAAUACAAGAGUGGUUUUUUUUGGGUAUAGCAGGACUUGAACCUGCGACCAUUAGGUUAAAAGCCCAAUGCUCUACCAACUGAGCUAUACACCCUAUUUUACAAGAAGGCUUGGUGCGGAAAAGAAAAGAGGGUGGCCUGGCCCCUUUUCUUCUUAUCAUAUCACAAGGGCGCGGCUCUGUAUGGGGCUCGUACUGCGGAGCAAGUCUGGGAGUCCUUUCCACUCAUUGAGGAUUCUAUCUAAAAAAGAAGGUCAACGGGGGAGACUACAGUAGCUCGAACUCAGACUAUCUACGAAAAAGCUAAAACUCCCUUGUCUUCAACUAUGAACUUACAUCUAUCGAUAACACGGGCUUCUUAGGUCAAUCACAUCCCCAGGAACUUCUAACUGGCCUAGCAAGGACGGGCAUCUUUCAUCAAUUGAUUCGAUUUAACGAGAGGCUCGGAGAUGGUAUACGUAGAAUAGGGGAAAGUAAAGACAAACUUCGGUCAAUUUACGUUUUCAAAACUACAGCUAUCUUGCCUAGAGUCCCAGAGCUUAACGGAACUCUUGUUUACUAUAAGAAUAAGAAUAAGAAUAAGAGCCCACCGCUUUAGAAGUGCUUUCCUCUCUCUUUCUUUCGAACCAUAAACUCCGAAGCGGUUUCACUUUACCAUACUGGAGAAGGGCUUCACUCGCGCCUUGGGGACUGAACUAGAGUACAGAACUAGCUUCCUCUGUACAUAUUGUUUUCGGGUAAUAAUACUAUCAUUGAGAAAGAAUAGAUAACGACUAUCAGGCAUAUGACUGAUUUCUAUAUGGGUGUGGGCUCAUACUCUCAUUUUAUCCUUGCUCGCGGAAUACGUCACUUAAAAUAAGCUAUUGACGUCUUAGUUCCGACCUUGUCUCCUUUCUUUCUUUUGUUCACCGGUGCAAGGCAAGGGCGGAGCUCUCUUAUGUUCAUCUUCCACGCCUGUCUGCAUCCCAAGCACUAAAUGAGUGAAAUCCAAUCCCGGAAAAAGGCUCUCUUGCAUCUUUUGCUUCCCCACCCGGCCUCUAUUCUAGAUUCACCGUCUUCGGAUGCAUCAGUUUAUUAUGCUUAUGCCUAAUCUUAAUACUGGCUAGUUACUUCAAUUACCUUACCCCUCCUUUUAAGGAGGUUUCAGAGCACCCAGUCACAGCUCGUCACAAGAAAUGAUGGUCGAGUCCCCGUGCAUGAAGUCAGUGGAUUCGAGUGAACUGACCGUACUACAAAUCGACAUACUUGAGGAAGCUUCUUACUAAACCAAAGAAAGGGCAGCUCCAGUUGUGUUGUCGAUUCCCUUCUCCCGAGAGCUUUCACACUAUACUUCUACGAGUACGAGAAGGUUUUAUUGAAAACGUUCGAAAACCAUAGGGAAAGUAACAAAUCUUUCUUGGCACGUGCCCCUGCUCCUGGUCUUCGAACUAGUCAUUAAUGGUCGGCAACAUAGGUACCCUUUUUCGGUAUGCGUUGCGAACACUUUCAUUUUUAGCGUCUCAUCUUCUCUGGAGAAGCUCAAAUCGAACGGAUAGAGCAGAUGGUCCAACUACAGAACUUCUUCUUUUUCAUUACUUCCAUGGUCGUGCCCCGUGGCACGGCAGCACCCGUACUAUUGAAAUGGUUCGUCAGUAGAGAUGUUCCCACUGGUGCCUCUUCUUCCAAUGGUACUAUAAUUCCUAUUCCUAUCUCUUUAUUCCCUUUUUUGGUCUAUCUACAUUCAAGGAAAUUCAUACGCUCCAUGGACAGAGCAAAAAGUGGAGUGUUGGUCAAAGCAAGCCGCCCUAUUCUAUUACCAGACAAAAUUGGGAGAAGCUCAUCCGCUAGAAAUGCUUUAUUUCGUUUCGUUCCCGUUCUUCAUUUCCUUAUUAUCGAAUCCAUGGGGGACUUGUCAUAUUUAGAAUCUUUCUGCGGUCUGCUCUGUUUACAAUUCUUUCGUACUCUCUUCUCUUUACCACGCGAUAGGUCAGCGAAGCGUGAGCGGGCGCUCCGAAGUAAAGGCCAAACACUUCGGCCUAAGGGGAAUGAGCAACAAAAUGACAAGAUGAGGUGCCCCGGGCACCCCCAUAUAGAAAGAAGGGUCGAAGGUUUUGGGCCUGUAGCUUUCCCCGCCCCCCCCUCGUCGAGUGGUGCUUGUUUGGGGGGUGUGCCACCUGAAAUCGGGCUUGAAGCUCUCGCCUUACCAACGAGCCGACUGUUGAUGGCUGUUGGUCACGACUACUACAAAAAAGUGAAGAUGAAUCUUUCUAUUUCACAUGGAGGAGUGUGCAUCUUUAUGUUGGGUGUUCUUCUGUCGUGCGACCCGAUGGCUUAUGUGCGACCUGUGGCCCACGCCUCCUAUUCUAUUUGUUCAGGGCGGGCGGCGUGAACUCUGAUUCGAUCCGGGUAUUCAAUCCCGCCGCUGAGAUGCUCAGUUGACUCCUUAACCUUGAUAGGAAGAUGGCUUAUUCCUAAAUUCGUGCAUAAGGGUAAGGAACUUUGGAUGAAUUAAUGCGAAUGGGUGUAAGCCUCGCAGCUCGGAAACACCCAGUGCUGACCACACUGAGAGACACGAAAGCGCAGGUAAUGCCAGUUGGCGAAGUGGCGUUAAGCAUCCCUAGCGGUACGCAAAGAGAGGUCGUGAUGAUAUCAUCUACGUCCGUACCGCUCCUCGUGGAGUAGAUCCCGCAUCCAACCAACCCUUUUUUUACCAGGGAACGGGAGAAUUCCCACUACCGCAGGCAGGCCAGCCGGGCCGUGAGCGCGGUGGGAACGGGCUUCCCAAAAAGCGAGCCCCGGCCCGGGUCAGCAUAGAAUGGGGGGGGGGACGGCCCUAAUGUUGUGUUGGCCGGGUUGCGGGCGGAUAAAAGCGGACGUGGGGACUCGGGUCGGGGCACAGCGUAACUAAGAUAAGAGAGCCAUUCCAUUUAGUGCGAGACAGAAUGGGCGGGCACAAGCGGUCUGGUGUCCGAGCCGAUUGGUCAGACGACGACUACUGCACAUAUUAUAUUAGCCGCCUAUCCCGGAAUGGACUGGGAUGGAAACGCGAAGCAACAAGCAAGGGAUGAGCGCUUUGUUGCUAAAGCGCAUACGUUUUCUUGGUUUGUUUUUUGGGGGUGGGGCAAUAAGCUUGCUUCUUCACAAGCUUAUCCCCGCCCCCUUUCCUGUCCGUCCCGACCGGCAGCAGUUGGGUCUCCCCAUCUCUCCUCAACUUCCCCGGUCUUCGGCCCGAGCUGUAUGAGGCAGAAACUCGUCCCACGUACGGUUCGGAGGCCGAGCCCCACCCCUGCAAUAAUGGUGCAGCUUAGGUCAACUAAUACGAAUAAGAUACAGUUCACUCAACGAUUGCCUUUGGGUCCCGAACUCCAUAUGGGGAAGGAACGUUGUUGUUUGCGAGGUCUCGAUCAUUUACAUGGACCCACUUCUCAUUCCAUUUGUGGGAAUUUUAUGAUUUAUAAACCGUCCCCAACGAGCGAAAGGUUCAUGUUUGAACAUGAUGAAUCACUUCGUGCCGACCUGUUGCCCAUAAACUUUCCUGCCUCAUAUGAGAAUGGAAAACUGGAAGAUUUUCUGAUGAAGAAUCACGAACAUAAGAAUUUCUGGUUUAGCAUGUUCCCAGAAAGAAGAUACUACUGGUCGCGAGAAACGAGGAGCACGACUGAAGUGGCUAUACAUACAAAUCCAUUGACGGAUCUAUAUGCUCCGAUUGGAACUGGAAGUUCCAGAACUGGCGGCUGGUAUACCACCAUAAUGAAAUUGCCUUUUAUUUUUAGUAUUCGGAUAGGAUUUCUGUUGGCUUCAUCGGGAGGCUCGCGUAGUUUGUUACGUCAACUCCAAAAGGAUAAGUUGCAUUGGAAUCGAGAAAGUUUCGUUCAUAAUUGCAUAAAAGGAGUCAAAAUAGUGGCUGCGGCGCGUCGAGGGUUGAUAUCGAAUAACCUUUCGAGCCUUCCCCAAUGGAUCUCUAUCCUCCUUUGAAACCAGUAGAAGUUCACUGACCAUCCCUGUCAAACAUAACCCAAGGUAGGAUCGAGAGGAGAAGAAUAGGACUCUUGCUAGUAUCAUAACCUCUCGAUGGGAGAAUGAAACCAUUAGAUUAGUGGAAAGAAGAAAGAAUGGGAAGAAAGCAGCCAUGGGCAAGCUUUAAUUAAUAUAAAUAAGUAGGAGUUACAGCCUUUAAAUUAGAGUGAAACGAGCCUUUGACGUAGUCAGAAAUUCUACUGCCCUUUCUCUUCUUUCUUUUUUAUUUUUUAUUCUAGUUUUUUAUACUAUACGUAUAAUCACCUUUCCGGGGAAGGGGUAACAUAGACGGAGGCACAUGUAGACAGAUACAGACUUUUGAAAUCUUUUGCCUAAGCGAAGUAGAUAAGUAUGAGGGAAGAAGUAUUUUAUUGUCCAGCAUGAUCGGUUUCAUAAGUCCAGUUGUGCCAGAAGCUAGAGUUGCCUUUAUUAGUGGAUAAGGGUGGGUUAGGCAUGACAUUCUUAAUCGUAGACAAGGCGCGCUGCGGAAGAGCUUGAUUGCUAACUAAUUGCUUGCUUUUAACCAGUGACUGACUUACACGGCUACUACUUUCCUGAGUACCGCUUCAGAAUCGUUCCUACUUUCCUUUUUAAAGGUCUUCCUCUCUCUACUAGGAUUGACUCGCUUAGAAGUCGAGGGGGUCCCAUUUCCAUUCCUUUGCCAAAGACCCUAACGACAGCUUGAACUACCUCAAAGAUUUGUCUCAUUGAUCCGAAAAGAAAGGAAAGAAGAGGAUUCCUGGGAAGGAUAGAGUAUAUCAGCAGGUUCAUCGCACAGCUCACUCCAAAAAGGAUUUGAGUGGAAGGUUGAGCGCCCCUUAACGUUUAGAAGUAUCCUUUUUUCAACGGUUAGAAACCUUUCUAUUCUAAGACGGCUAGGCUAAGUCGAGGGCAGACACAACAGGUCACGAAGAGCUAGAGGAUAUAGAAUUCCUAUUUACCGGGAAGAAAAGCGGAAGGAAACAUCGGCUCUUCCGAGAUCUUAUGUAAGGAAUACUAGUUCUCUAAAAAGUAGAGCUAAAAGAUCUUCAAGAAAUGUCUUUCCCGCGGAAGACUCUAACUCCUCAUAGCAUUACGCUAAUCCGCAAAUAUCGAAUGAUGCUUCGACAGAUUCAGUCAUCCAUUCAGCUUUGAAAUCGGAGACAAGGAAAACUACUUCAUAGAAAUAGAAAUAGAAGCGCCGCGGAUCAAUAUAGAGAUGCGAACCAAUAUCCUUUUCCUGGUGGACUCUGAAGUACUCGUCUUUUGCACAAGGCCUCGUGUCAAAUAACAUCCAACCACGUCCACGUCCUCCUACCUCGCCCAUUUGCGGAGAUCAUCUACAUUUUGCUUCGUGUCGAGCUCUAAUCCAAACGUUUUCCUUCGGGAGGGCAUUGCUGCUUUCUUUCUGUAGUGAGGCUGGCUCUUAAAAAUGAGCUAAACUCUGAUAGAUUUAAAGGUAAAUUUAGGUAUUCUUAUCUUAUAUGUAUCGAGUGAUUGUGAAGCGCAUUCAACGCGCUAGAUAUGAACAAGGCUUGUUAGCAUUGGCACGUGCAUAUGUUGGGUAUGAUAUUUACUUUCCAGCAUUGAUUUAUUUUAGAGGGCGCAUCUAUCGUGCAGGAAUACUACACUUUCACGAGCGGGACUUUGCUAAAUGUCUAAUAUCUUUUCCUAUUGGUAGUGGUGAUGUUAAGUUCACAGGAAAAGAAGACAAGGAAGAAGCUACUACUUAUAUGAUUGAGCAAGCUGUGGGUUUCCAUCAUCAUUUGGCUUUGCCCUUCCUCCUCGUUUUUCUUUGAGAUUGGCAAUCUUAUCCACUUUUUUACUUUGCUCCACACAGAUGAAGGCAAGCUUGUCUUCGCUCUAUCUUACCAGGAAAGUAGGAAAUACACACCCCUGUUGGUUAAAGCAGACUCGUAUGCCUAUUCUGAUGCGGAGGGAUCAGCCACCUCUUUCUGUUCGAAAGAUUCCAGACCUGACUUAAAGCCCUCUUUCACAAGACAUUUGGUUGAUCAGGAUUUGGUAAACCUAGAGAUCUGAUUCUGGGAUAGGGUAAAUCUGUUCUUUCUGCUUCUGCCUAUGCUUGUCUUUUAGCAUUCGCCUAUGCGGAUUGAGAUAGAUAUUGAUAUCUAUCUGGGCGAAAGAGCACAAAAGGGAGUGGUUUGGCCGCUAAGAACUUAACUCCUAGGCGAUGGAAAUAUAGAAUCUAUGUAUGGCUCAGCCAUCUCUUCUUGAACUUGCUGUGGAACUUCUCUAUCUUUGUCAUUAAAGGCUAUGUAUCCCUUUCCCUCAUUAGUACUCAAGCACUAGAACCGCUUACUGAUUCAACGACGGUUACUGAUAUGCCAUGUUGAUCGUCAUUUCUCGUUGAAUGGUUCUCCCUCCUGUAGCUCUGUGGGCAUUCAAACCAGAGUUUAUGCGGUUGGCUAUGUCCCUUCUAGAACUGCUGUUUUUAGCAAUUGACAGAAAAAGUUCCGUAAUCGUCCUAUUUUUUCGUCCUUGUGGAAGCGAGAAAUGCGUAAUUAAUAAAUAUAGUGAUGUGAUGAUUCCAUGAAUCUCAGAAAAGGUAGGGGUCAAGGACCUUAUGGGACUGCAAUCGUGCCUGCCAAUUGGGGAAGGACGCGGGCCUGGCAACCGCUCGGCUCUAGUAAGGGAAACAGGUAUGUCUCACAUCAUUGCUCGAAGACUGGAAAAACAGCAAGUUAGCUCAGUUGGGUAGAGUGCUGGUCUGUCACGCCAGAAGUCGCGGGUUCGAACCCCGUUUUCCCCGCACGAUCUGAAACUAAUAGAAUAGAAGGGGCCAUAAACAGGAGAGUCUUGACCAAUUCAUUUGGUGUAGUUGAAAUAACGGAAUUGGAAGUUGUUCGGUCAAGUAUAGGAAAUUAAUAUAAGAAUGAAUAACUUUCUCAAUGGUUUAUUUUUUGUCUUUUAUUUAUCUUAAUAUUCAUUCCAUUCAGGCCAUUCGCAAGCAAGCACGAAAAAGCUUCUAUUUCUAAACGGAAACGCCCAGCCCAAUACAUCGAAACUCAUUACCCAUGGGCAAAGAAAGCCAGUCGAGAAAAAAAAAGAAAACAAACAUGGUUUAGCGGAUUCGGAAUUGUAACCAAGCAUCCUGGGUUCUAUACCCGAUUCAACACUAGAGCAUGCAGCCGAUCCUGGAUACAGAACUAUAGAAAGUGUGCAGUGAGGGAUCUUUAUUGGUAGCCAGUCUUUCACUUCCGCCUCUCCACUCCCAUGCCUUUCUUGGUCGGACCAACCCAACCGGCGAUUUCCGACAAGUCUUUCUGCUUAGAGCAAGAAGCGGAACAAAAAUCAAGCUUUCUUUAUUUUCAUUUAUGGAUAACCAAUCCAUUUUCAAAUAUAGUUGGGAGAUUUUACCCAAGAAAUGGGUACAUAAAAUGAAAAGAUCGGAACAUGGGAAUAGAUCUUAUACCAAUACUGACUACCCAUUUCCAUUGUUGUGCUUUCUAAAAUGGCAUACCUAUACAAGGGUUCAAGUUUCGAUCGAUAUUUGCGGAGUGGAUCAUCCCUCUCGAAAACGCAGAUUUGAAGUUGUCCAUAAUUUACUGAGUACUCGGUAUAACUCACGCAUUCGUGUACAAACAAGUGCGGACGAAGUAACACGAAUAUCUCCGGUAGUCAGUCCAUUUCCAUCAGCCGGCCGGUGGGAGCGAGAAGUAUGGGAUAUGUCUGGUGUUUCUUCCAUCAAUCAUCCGGAUUUACGCCGUAUAUCAACUGAUUAUGGUUUCGAGGGUCAUCCAUUACGAAAAGACUUUCCUCUGAGUGGAUAUGUGGAAGUACGCUAUGAUGAUCCAGAGAAACGUGUGGUUUCUGAACCCAUUGAGAUGACCCAAGAAUUUCGCUAUUUUGAUUUUGCUAGUCCUUGGGAACAGCGUAGCGACGGAUAAUUCCGAAUCUACAUAGGUCUAGUCCAGGGGAGGGGACAAAUCAAUAGGAAAUGCUAUUUGCUUCUUAAUCUUAAGACUUAAGAUAAGAAGAAGAACUUUUUAAAAAUGAAAGAGUCGGAUAUCAUAUCAUUUCUUCAAAUAAGGAAGAAGAAGUGUUAUCGAAGGAUUUCCUUCCAUUCUUCCUAGUAUGGAAGAAGUCAAGAAAAAGUACUGCGUCUCGAUCUAUACGAAAGGGCACAGGUUUUUUCUUUUGGUUUCAUUGAUAGCAGAAGAGUACGCUAGCUAGCGGAGCCUGAAAACGCUUGCUUGCGCCCCACCCCUACGCUACGGAAACUAUUGCCUAUGCUUGCUGCUCGCUCAGUGUCAGUAGAAGGGAAGAAAAGAUGGUCACUCCUUUUAGGAACAUGGCGAGCCUUACUUACGACUGUUGCACUUCACUCGCAGCUCGUUCAUUCACUUGCUCAUGAACUCGCAGCUUCGCCAGAAGCGACUAGUCGCCUCCUUUCCUCCGCCGAAAGAUGCUUAGCUUAGCCAGACGAAGGAGGGGAGCUGGGGAAGGCCGACGAUGGCAAUGAGGGGGAAGCUGUCGUAGAAGCUUUGCCCCUUGCUUUACAUAAAUUGUUAUGAACUUACUAAAUGACCUUAUUUAUUCUCCCGGAACGCUAGCAAAUCUAAUAGUUCCAUCUGCUCUUCUUAACUUAACUUAAGAAUAAGAACGAAGGCCGCCAUCCUUCUUAUUCAGGAACCCUUUGUUUGAGGAGGGCGUAUCCCAGGGAAGGGGAGAGUGGCCGAGCGGUCAAAAGCGACAGACUGUAAAUCUGUUGAAGGUUUUCUACGUAGGUUCGAAUCCUGCCUCUCCCACUUGUUGUAGACUUAAGAGAAGAGAAAGUAGGCGGAAGCCUAGGAGGGCCAACCGAGCGAAGCUCUUUCUUUUUUUGGCCGUGCCGUGAAGUGCAAUUUUAUCGUAUGCGUUUUAGAGAGGUUGUCGAAAAAGACGAUCUAUAGAGAUUCCCCAUCUAUAUCCAAUCGAGAAUAGAAGCGAGUCCAGUUAGUACGGACUUGGGGAAGAGUGGUGGAGCAACUAUUGGUUGGUCGGAGAGGGCGAAGAAAACAUGACUCUGGUGGGCGUAAAAGAGCAAAACCUUAACGAUGUGUGAGCGUUAGCGAGUCUGUCCUUUCUUUCUAUCUAGCUGGUACCAACAAAACAAGUCUGUUCUAGCUUUCUCGUGGACAAGAUGGCAAAAAUUCAUCUUUCCUUUGAUUUCUUGGUGGUACAGACGGCCGAGCUCCUGCGAGGGGUAGGGUAGAUGAGUACCGAGCGGAAGAAGAAACCGGAUUGAUUGAGAAAGCAGACCGUCCAGAAGCAAGGUUAGGAUACCGUCCACCCGAAGAGUACGGGGAUGGAGGGAGGAAAGUGGGAAUAAACCGUCUGUCAGGUAGGACUGGUGGUAGAGAGGGUAUAGAUGGUAGAUCAACUCUGUUUAUGGUGGGGGAAAAGAAACUCUUCUGAUCGGACAGGAGUCGAAUUAGCCCUCUUUCUAUCGCUACGCCCGUUUUGUGCCGUCUAUUUUCUUUGGUAACUCAAUUUAAUUUCUUUUCAGAAACCUAAUAAGCCAUGCCUGCAACUAGUUAUUAAGCAAGGGUAGUCAACUCCACUCUUUUCGCCAGAAGUCUUAUUUUUAAGAUGGAAAAGAAGGACAGAUAUAUCUUGACUAGUACAUCCGCCUUGCCAUCCAAAUCAUUAAUCUAUUUAUUUUAUUAGUAUUCUGCGUGGAUAUCCCGACCUUGUUAAGGAUAGAGGUAGGGGUAGGUGUUGGGCAUGCGGAGACUUAAGACCUUCGUAGGCAAUCAGGUAUGGCUUUGGUUAAGUGAAUUUACGACUCCAUCUUCACCAGUAGCCAAGGUAGGCAUAAUACGCGUGAGCUCUUUCAAGUCUUUCGUGCGGGUAUACGUUGAGCUAGUCCUCGUACUCCUUUUCUUAGCUCUUUUAGAAAGAAUCUUAUUUUUCAUCGUGUCAGGUCCUGGAUGUAGACUCGGCUAUGGUAGGAUCGACCUAAUUGUGAUCAUUCUCCGCUUCGUUCGCUGAUCUCUUGCUAUUGCUUUUUCUCUCUAGCCUUGUCAGGCUGGGCCUAGGGUUUCCAUUCCUAAGGCUUUUUCUGUUUCAAAGUCCGACUGCUAGAAUUCUUAUAAUGAAAGUCUUCCUAGCACGGACUAUGGCUGCUUAUUAAUUAAGUAAGGGAAAACAUCUUACCAUAGGAUCGAUCAUAAGGCCUAGGUCUUUCUUCAAAGAUAAGUACUGACCUUUCCUACUGUGUCAAAGCACUUUUGCUAAGCCUCACGCUUAAGCAAGUAUUUCAUCUGCAUAAAGGAGGAAGUAACUUACCCUUGAACAAUCGCCUGCUCUAGCAUAUUGGAAAAGGCGUGCAUAGGUUGACUAGUCUAAAAAGAGAGGCUUCCUUAUAAGGGCAUUGUCGCUCGCUCGGAUUCAUUUUCCAGGUCCUACAUGUUCUAGGACUAUAGAUGAUCCAACAUGCCUAUAGUUUUCAUUAUUGUUUUAUGCUUUAGCCUCCUUUUAUAAGCACUUACUUGGCCCAUGCGAGUCGAUUUCAAGAUGUCAACUUUGACUAUCUUUCUCUUCUUACUUUACUUAUCCCUUACAUUACUUUACCUAGUAACUUUGAAAUAGGCAUAUCUUGUCUACCUUCCAUAUACCCUAGCAUUUCUACUAGUUGUUUUCUUGCAUAUAUCCAACCUGAAAUACCAUUGCUUCUUGUAGGUUUUUACUUCUACUUUCUUGACUAUAAUUACCUAUACUUGCCAUCCCGUCUUUCUAUUCCUUUUGAAAGUAAACUUGUGACCCUUCGAAGCUAUGAAAAGACCUAUUAUGUAUAGAGCUUGACAUGCCAACUACUAUAGCUAUAGUAAGUACUUCUAGCUAUUCCUACUUGUUUUUUUCCUACUUGACUAGUGCUGACUUACUUCUUUGCCUAUGAGAAUUCUUAUUAUUCUCCAAACUGUGGUAUCUGAAAUGACCCACUUUCCUGAGCAAAAGAAAGCUUACUACAGCACGGUCUUACGUCCAGGAAUGGAACAUUCCAUCUCUUCUUGUCCACUGGUAUAGAAAGAAUAUGCAUUUUCUUGAUGUUUCAAACUAGGACUUUGGAUUUCUCCUAUAUUAAGUUGUUGGGUACGAAGGAGCUUAUGUUGCGUAUAUAGAUAUUUCCUUAUUAUUAAGUUGUUGAGCAGGAAGCAGAAGAACUUUUCUUCUAUAUUCGAUUCGCUAUUUGGCACAAGGCGAGGAGGAAAGAAUAGAAGAAGCAUCUGACUCUUUCAUGCAUACUCCACCUGGAUGAUAUAGAUCAUACUAUUAGGUAGUCUCCGAAUCAGUGAUCUGUCUUUGAUGACAUCUAUCUGGUACCACGCAUGAAGCUUGCUUCGUUCUGGUUUUUUCUGGUGUGUGAAACAUUAUAGGAUGGGGCGAGCCCCAGAAAGAAAUCCUGGGCAGUGGUUUACUUGAUUUUCUAAGAACUAAGACUGGCGAAGGGAAAGGAUGGUAAAGAUAUUGAAGUACUCACCAAAAACUAGGAUGAACCGACAGCUUCGAAAAAAGAAGAAGAUUAACUUCCCCUACUACUUACUACUCGACGAUUCGACCAUUCAUGGUUGGUGUGGCUCCUAUUCCUCGAUAUGCCGGACCUUCUUCUACACUACCACAAGUUCGUAGCUUGCAAACUCCCGAUUUGCCCAUUAUUUAAUCGCGCCUUUGCUUUGAAAAAAGGUGCUUUCACCACAGCACAGACAUGCCAGUAACUGACGAAUUGGAUGCUCCAGCAGUAGUUCCAGUUCCGAAGGGAAAAAAAAAGGGAAAGUCCCGCUUGUCAACCAUGCCUGAGCCCAAAGGAAAAGCAGUACCAAUCCGCUUCAAAGCUUCAGUCCUAGCUAGCCUAUCUUCGACGUCAGAACCAAUUUCUUCAAUUCAAAAGCUUUCUUCAGCUCGCCCUUGUGCUUACGCCAGCCUUUGUUCACUUGUCUCGGGCUUACUUCUAGACUUGGAUGGACUUCGAUCUUCAUCUUUAGUAAUACCUAACGUUGCUAGGGUCUUCCAUGCUUAUAAAGUAUUACUAAAAAGAAUCUUUUUUCCUAGUGUUUAACUUUUUCUCAUUCUAUUUAUACAACCCAUUUUCCUUGAUACUGGAAUCGAGCUACUUCCAUUUUUUUAGGUAAAGAUCAGGCGGGAAAGCUUACACCACCCAUAUUCUUCUUUAUGUGGCUGACCUAUUUGUUCACUUUUCACAAAUCAUGUAGCAAUUUCGAAAGAGAGAUCAGGAUCAGAGCAAAGAAGCUGCGAAAUGAGGGGAGGAGACUCUGCCUCCAUAGUAUAAGUUGCUAUCCACUUAUGCUUGGUUUGUGCUUUACCACGAAAUCUUGCCUCUCACCAUCAUGAAAGACAGAUGAUGAUGUCGAUUUCUUACUGUCGAGACAGCCUGUCCGAAUCCAAAUCAUUCGACUUCCUCCUUUGCAGUGGCGAGGUCGUUGAUUCCUAUAAAUCAAGAUGUUUUGUUGCCUGCUUCUUUUUAUGGGCCUUCUCUCUUGGAUGGUAUUAUCCACUUGGUAUAUUGUGAAAGUCUCUACAAAGACGAAAGGGCCCCAUGCCUUCUUUGAAAACGAUAUCCCUCUUCAACGCUUCCACUAGCCCUAGACUCGGAAUACUCUGCUUAAGAGAUCCCCCUCUCCGGCCAGAGAGGAUUUGAGUACAACAUUGAUUGCGGAAGAUCUUUGUUCCUAUUAUUUUUAAGCCUAACUAGGCGCGCAGCGGUGAGUGCGAGCUGCUUUCCAGAAAUGCUGGAAAAGAGCCAGUAACGCUAUCAGUGAAUAGAGCUGGUGUAAAGUCCAGCUAAAGUACCAUACAGCCCCACAGGUAAAGAGUAUGAGUGGAGGGAAGUGUUCUGCUCUUACAGGUACUACGGAACUAGUUCCAAAGAACUGCUAGUGAGGAAUGAAAGAGUUUCUAGUGAUAGGUGCUGCUAUGAGUUAGCAUAGCCCCAAAGAAAGUAGUCUGCGAUCCCCUUCGAAGUAAGUGAAAGGGCGGAGCGAGCAAACCGGAUAGCCCCACAGAGUAUCGGCGACGAUUUCCCGCAUACACCGAAUUCAACCGGGAUUCAAUUUGGAGAAGAAUUCAGCAUAGAAGCGACUUUGAUCUUCGACGACCGAGGCCGUUGGAAGUGCAUGAAAUAAGAGAAGCGAGCAAGUAUUGUGAAUAUAAAGAAAGUCCGGGUCACACCCAACCCAAAUAGAGUGCUUGCAACUCAAAGAUGAGCUCGAAAGAAGAGCCCGGCUGGGGAAGUUAUAUCAGUUCAUAAAAAAGUAUGUGAAUGGCAAGGGAACAGGAAGGCUGGAUGAAAGAGGCCUGAAGGACCCCCGCAGUGGAAAUAGGGACCCCGGGACAAGGUAGGCCGAAUAAUAAGGUAAGGGAAGGAAAGGAGACGAACAAUAUCCAUAGAGCCCCCCUAUAAUUCACGUAAUCGCUGGGGGAUAGCGUCGGGAGGGGACACGAACAAAGGACGGCGACAGUAUAGCACCAAAAUGAAGUUCCCGAUCAUCCUUCAGGUCGACAAGAAAAGGCCAAGGGAAGGUAGCGUGAUCAGCUUUUCGGAUCAAGAUUCUGAGGGCAUACAGCGACCUCAUGAUGAUGCGAUAGUUCUUGUCCUGAAAAUAGGAGGAAACAGAGUCAAACGUGUUUUGGUUGAUACAGGGAGUUCGGCGGAUAUAUUAUACAAACGAGCAUUCGAUCAAAUGAACCUAGAGCUGCGUCAUCUAGGUCAGGUACGAACACCCCUAGUGGGAUUCACUGGAGAUACUCUGCAACCGUUAGGCAAAAUUCCCCUAAGGGUCGAGUUCGGCCCGGUCUUCGGCAAUGAUAGACUUUCUGGUAGUUGACGCUCCUUCGGCGUAUAAUGCGAUUCUGGGACGAGGAACGUUGAAUGCGAUAGGGGCGGUAGUAUCUACAUCCCAUCUGAUGAUGAAAUUGAUCCCAACGGAAGCAGGAGUGGGAGUAGAGUCCGGUCACCAUAAAAUGGCGAGGGAAUGUUAUUUGAUGUCUCUGAAGGGGAAGAAGGGGCAUGUGGCAGCAGUUGAGAAGGAAGAGGUGAUAUAAGAGGAUCCAUGGGACGAACCAAGAGAAGGCGAAAAGGUAAACCGUUAGACCCCCGAAGCCAAGCAGAAGGAAAAGAAAAUGAGUGAGCCGACUGAAGAAGUGGAAAAGUGGGAGCCGGGAAAAUUCCUAAACAUUGAUUGCGGUGCGGGUAGAAGAAGGGAAAGGCAGAUGAGUGUGAGGGAGCCCUUUUCACCAUUAUUAAUGAAUUUUUUUCCAUUAGACCUAGCUCUUGAAAAAGCAAUGGAACAUGCAAAUGGGCAGCAACUCUUCUUUUACGCUAGGUAUGCCGGUGAUCUAGUGUUUAAGGUUUUGGAUUUAGGACCUAGAUGUCAUCGAAUGAAUGCUCGGUAUACUUGCUUUCAGAAGGAAGCUAAUCUGAACACUGAAUCCAGAAGAAAGAAGCUUUUCUAUUUUGAGAGAUGAAUUCAAAGAGAGAAGGUUGUAGAAGGUAAGUAAUCCGAUGCGCGUUCAAAUCCAACAAGAACGUCUAAUGAAAUGACGGAAGAUGCAUAUUAUUCUCUCGUAGCUGGGGCUAAGAACGAUCCUCUUAUCCAACUUUCUGUCUGUCCCAAAACCGAACCUUGGUACUGCUCUACUUCAGCAUUCUACGACUGAAUCCAUUCUGGAAAUGAUGACUUGCCCACAGUAGAAGUUAGUGUCAUUUUCCGCUUUUUAGGUGAAAUUGGCUUUACUAGUCUCCUCUCUGUCUCUUUCCACUUCUGUCUUUCUAGUGCAAAUCUCAUAAGUAGAAAGAAAGCGGUAGUUUGAAGUGAGCCGCGCUCUCUCUUUCGGAAUUCUGCACCUAGGUACCACUCUAGAUUUCUUACUGGCUGACUCAAGUGCUAACUCAUAGUGCAUAGCAUGUUCAUAAGCCUUGUUCACACUAUUAGGGUAGGGUGUUGAGCAGUGACCAUAUACUUCACUUCCUCCUUUAAACCACUUAGAAAAGAGGAAAAGAAAAACUUCUCAGUAAGAUUAGGGUUUUCCAAGAUCAGUCCAGUCCGGCCUUUACUUUUUCAAACUGGCUCAUAUACUCCCUUACAGAUCCAACCUGAUGUCAUUUUCUUAAUUCAUCAACUGGGUUACAGAUUUGGAUGCACAGAAACCUAUUCUUGACCUCACUAAUCAAGGUGUCCCUAUUAGGAUGAGGGUUACUGACCACAUAACUCCUGUACCACUCACUAGUUUACAACAUUGAAAUAAGCGAUUCUUUUUGCAAUGUGUCUCUCAGCGUUUUUUUUUCUCCUUUUUCAUUACCCUCUCAAAAAAGAUCGAAAGGAUUCACUCCGGUGCUGCUUGCUGGUGGAGGUUGACUAUCUCCACUAUGAAUAAGUCUUUCUCGAGUAACUGAGACUCAACGUGUAGGCGUUGGAAGCAGAAAUAGGAGAUGGGUCGUUCCAGCUCGGCAAGAGGAUUCCGGAACAUCCAAGUCCUAGCUAUAACACAGACAGGAAAGUUUUUUUCUUUCAUUGCAAUGUCUGGCAUCGUUUAAAAUAGGCUCGCUACAUAGUUGCAGGCUCGCUCGCUCCAUUCUUACGCUCGCUGGCUGGUGAGGCAGAGUUGGUAUGGCACUGGCUGGCUGCUAAUGGUCACUCAGGAUCUACUAUGCGCGAUACGCCGACGACAUUUUGUUUGGGAUUCCCCGGGCCAAAGAGAUAUACCUGUUCCAUUCCAAGUGAAAGACCAGCAGCUGCGCAUACUAUUGAACGCGUGCGGCAGGUUUCAAUUCCACUUUUCCUGGGCAAACUAGAAAACAAGUACCGAUGUCAGGAGAUGGAAGUCAGGUUGACGAGGCAGUGACGUAGGAUAAGGCUCUUUGGUGAACCAGACUUUGUCUAUCUUAGAGAUCAAAUUGGAUGAUAGAUUUUGCUUUUUUUUUCUUGGGAAUGGUCAAAGCCUUUCACGGUUGAGCAAAAGGUUCGAAAACAGAGAUCAAAGACUCUGUCCUCGCUUCGAUAUUGUUUUCAUAUUGAGGGAUUAGUCUGCCAUCAGUGGUAGACUGGGGAAGAAGGCCGAGUGGAUGCUUUCCAGCAAAAGAAAACAUGACGUAGUCAUCAUGCCUAACAGAGAGAUUCGCCUUGGUUCUGUCUAUCGCUCUAUAGUAUAGGGAAAAUGACUCCGUUCUGUCUCCAUUAGCUAAUCAGGCUUGCAUAGGAAGGGGAAGGAAGAGAUUUUCUUGCUUCAAUCUCACGUCCUUUAUAUAUGCUAACCUACCCUAUUCCCUGCAUACUGAUGACUCGCGUUGGCUAACAGCACGUCUUUCAGCAGCUCACUAAAGGAUGGGCUAUUCAUCUCAGUCCUCAUGCUUCCGUCUUCAUAUCCCGCCAGAAAAGAAGAAAGGCGAGUCUUUGCUUUGGCAAAAAGAGAAGGAGCUCUUCUUGCCCAUAUGGGAGUGGAAGCUUCAGUGUAAGCGGAAGCUAGACUAGAAGAGAGAUUCAUCCUAGGCUUUGCUUGGCCCUACUCUAGUUUUGGUGCAGCUAACUAAUCUUUGGGUCGAAUUUCGUGACUUGAUGAAGAGGAAGCCGAGUAUCUUUGGUCUUGAAGAGUCAGGCCAAUCCAACCGCUUGCUCCUGCCCAACUCAGUCUCAGUCGUACCAUAAUGCGCCUGGACUCAACACUUUUCUUGCUCCAAGACCACCCUCUAGCCCUCAUGUCAAAUAGAUGACAGAAUUGUAAACAAUCUUAGAAUGAUUUAAGCUGAGGAACAUAGAGGUCUCUCCCACCAUUUUUGUCAUAUACCUCUGGAAUAGUGUUGAAAUCACACGCCACUAAGCAGGAGCCUAAACCAAGUGGUUUAUCUUAGCGUGCUAGCCGCUGCUUCAUUUCGUAUAGCGAUAACGCUUUCUCUUUCUUAGCGCUCCACCCCGCGGGGAACUCUGGUUGCGCUUUGGUUGGCUUUCUCUUUUUUUCUAUUUUCUCUGACUUGACUCAGCUUGACCUACUUGACUCAGCGGUUAGAGUAUCGCUUUCAUACGGCGAGAGUCAUUGGUUCAAAUCCAAUAGUAGGUAAAACCGGCCGAAACCCCCGCUUUUGCCAGCAUGACAGCAAGCACAGACUGGCAUCAAGGAGUCGAAUGACCAAAGCAUCGGUUGCUUCCACGAGACUAAACAAUCAAUGACCAAUAAAAGACCAACGAAACGACGAGUGAGAAAGAUAAAGAACGCGACGUGGUUCAUUGAAGUAGAGGUUUGAUCGAGGAUUGGAGAGGAGAGGUGGAAUAAAAAGCUCGGGAUGGAUUUUUGAGUCUUUGUGCGAGCCGUAUGCGGUGAGAGUCGCACGUACGGUAAGGAGGGGGGUUCGCGUCUAUACGUGUAGUGUGGUGGUUGGGCCUACCCACCCUAUUUGUUCCAUGAUCUAUGGGUCUACUGGAGCUACCCACUUCGAUCAAUUAGCCAAGAUUUUGACCGGAUACGAAAUCACUGGUGCUCGAUCUAGUGGUAUUUUUAUGGGGAUUCUUUUUAUCGCUGUAGGAUCCCUAUUCAAGAUUACUGCAGUUCCUUUUCGGGCGGCUGUAGGACGGACGGCCCCCUAUAGGUAGUAGGGUAGGAUGGGUGGUACCGCUCAGAUAGCGGCCAAUCCUCCUAACUGCGCGCGGGCCGGGCUUAGAGCGCGUGAAACUCAUCACUACCUCGUAAGGGCGUUGAGACCAUAGCAUGUUACACAAAAGCGCCGCUUUCUCUGGAGUGUUGUCACACAGCUGCCCGACUAGAAGAGCUACUCGCUCUGUAGUGUUGUCACACAAGAUAAGCACGCCGCCCGCCUGCUGGCCGGGCGAAUCGAAGUUAUCUUCCGGUCAACUGUCCGCCCAGUCAAGUGCAAAAAACACAGUGGAAUCACGCAACGCACGCAGCUGGUGUGCUUCCUGCCCACGAGGAAAGAAGAGCGGCAAGGUUCAGAUUUGACUGUUUGCAGCAUGGGAGCUGAUUACCCAAAAAAUCCCUGGGAAAAAAGAAAAGAUAUCUCGGUAACGAAAACCAUAGGAGGCUGUAUUGGCGAGAUCCAAGGGUUCACAGCAGCCCAAAAGAAAAACCGCCUGGAAGUCCGAGGACCUUUAGUACCGUACCGAACCAGCAGCCUUCGCGCCAAGCGACGACCGCCCUUGUCCCUUUCCUUUUUCCAUUCAGCCUACUUCUUAGCUUUGUUCCGUCAGUCUAAGGCAAAGUCCGUGACGAAGAUCUUUCUAUCAAUAGAUAGGAAUGAGUGUUCGUUAUAGGGGAUAGGAUCCAUCUGCUCUCUCUCUCUAUUUUCUUUGAUGCAAUUUAGAGAGAAAGAGCAGUGCGAACUAAAAAAAAAAGAGAAUCGGGAGAUUAAAAGAUACAUAGACAUAUACAGUAAAGGGAUGUAUAUAUUAUUCCUAUAUAUAUCAUCUAUCUAUGAAAAAAGUAAACAGAGUUCGUUUUUGGGUUCCCCGAAUGGAUUGGAUCGUUUCUGCUUCUGCCAACGAAAUGAAGGCCUAGCCCCUUCCGAAUGCUUCUCCGAUCCUGAACGCGAAGAGAAUAAGAUGCAGCUCCCCCUCCCUCUGUCUUUUUCCGCUUUGCUAAUCUUCCCCUCUAACGCGGGCCGGGCUUAGGCGGGCGCGGGAGGAAGAAAGAAAGUCGAAGAGCGUCUUCUCCUUUGUCCUUUUUUCAGUGCAACACAGGAAAGCACCCUCUUUUUGUAAUCUCUGCUGCUUCCCAGAGGCUUUUUUUUGUAUUGAACGCAUGGCGUAGCUAGGACCCCCCCAAUCAUGUUUGAGCCUAUGUUCACCCGGGGCUCAAAAAGGAGAAUUCCGGAAUGCCUGCCGACGUUCAGAUAAGGUGCAUAUCCCUUACCACUAAAGGAAAGGCUCGACGAAGGGGGGGAAGGGUAAGGAAAACGCUUUCGGAGAUUGAUUUGUUUUUCAUCGAAAAGGAAGAAGGCCGAGGGGAUAGCAGCCUUCCUUCGGGCUUUGCCUGCCGACGUUCUAAUAAAGAAUUCCGGCUCGGCCCGGGAAAGCGCUGGCAACAACAUAAAGAAAGGGGUCCAUGUAGCUGCUGCGCCCGCCCACUGAGCAGCAGGUUCGGCAUCUACUACAAUACAAAAGAAAAGAAAAGAACUUAACAAAGUGGAAUGUCCGACUACACCCAAAGAAAAGAGAGAAUCCACUUCAGAUAACCACGUCUCUGCUAGGCAGCGUGUGGAAUGGCCGAGAGCGGACCAAAUGGAUAUAUAAUCCAAGCCGAGAGUGGAGUUACGUGAACAGCCGUCUGAUGGAAAACAACUUUCACGUUCGGUUCAGAGAGCACUUUUUUCGUUGAGAAUAAGUCCUUCCCUUUUGUGUGAAUUCCCCAGCGGCGAAUUAACCAACUUGUGGGGCCCUAUCUAUUCAAUCUCUCGAGCCCCAAGAAAACCCCCCUCUCCCUCGGACUCAAUCUCUCUUUUGACUCUAUAUAUGUGGGCACCUGAUAUCUAUGAGGGUUCACCCACCCCGGUGACAGCAUUCCUUUCUAUUGCGCCUAAAAUCUCUAUUUCUGCAAAUAUGUCACGUGUUUCUAUUGUUGCUUCCUAUGGGGGUACAUUACAACAAAUCUUCUUUUUCUGCAGCAUUGCUUCUAUGAUCUUAGGAGCACUGGCCGCCAUGGCCCAAACGAAAGUAAAAAGACCUCUAGCUCAUAGUUCGAUUGGACAUGUAGGUUAUAUUCGUACUGGUUUCUCAUGUGGAACCAUAGAAGGAAUUCAAUCACUACUAAUUGGUAUAUUUAUUUAUGCAUCAAUGACGAUAGAUGCAUUCGCCAUAGUUCCAGCAUUACGGCAAACCCGUGUCAAAUAUAUAGCGGAUUUGGGCGCUCUAGCCAAAACGAAUCCUAUUUUGGCUAUGACCUUCUCCAUUACAAUGUUCUCAUACGCAGGAAUACCCCCGUUAGCCGGCUUUUGUAGCAAAUUCUAUUUGUUCUUCGCCGCUUUGGGUUGUGGGGCUUACUUCCUAGCCCCAGUGGGAGUAGUGACUAGCGUUAUAGGUCGUUGGGCGGCCGGAAGGUUGCCAUGAGUAAGGUUGGGAGACCGAAGGCUGUUUUCCGUGCACCGGACACGUAGCUUACCGAAUCAGUUGCAACACAGAUGGGAAUGCAUGCUACGAAAGACAGGGUCGAGUCUGAUACAUCAACCGUCGACUCCAUAUCCUUGUACGAGUCCACAAUCACUACACGAGAUGAACCUGGGUUUGGUGAAUGGAAGUUGGCCUUAGGUGUAAUAGGACUCCCAGUUACUGCGCGCGAUCGUAUACUGGGGUGCUCCCCGUCGGUUGUUGGAACGACGCGAGCCGGGCCUCGAUUCCUUUCAUAAAGAUGAAGGGACAGAGGUGACUAAUUCCCCAUCUCAUUUGGGGCGGAAAACGAAUCGACAUCUCGAUGUGAUACAGCCCUUUCCAUUUUCGUUGGGAAAGAACGGCGAAGUCCAUCCGAACCCUCCAAUGAAGAAAUAAGAGGAGAGCAAAGCGCCAAUGGCGCGCGAAGGCGGAAGGGGCACGGAGAAAUAAAGAAGUGUGGAGGAGAAGCAGCUUCGCUUCCUGGGCCCAAAGCAGUGCUUUGUUUCCUGGCCAAAUCAAGGAUUUGGGGCUGAUUGCAAAAGAUAUCUGAAUAGAAAGAUAGAUCCAUCCAUCUAUCCAGAUAUCUAAAAAAGAAUCGAUUUUGAUUUCAUGAAACCUUUGAUUCAAAGAACUGCGCUUAGCCCCCCCGCUCAUGAAACGGCUCUGCUGCAAUGGAUGGCAGAGGGUCCGUAGUACCCGAAGCACUGGAGUGAUCCAGUAGCCGGGAAGGGGCCUAGAAGUGCCUACUACUACACCACACUACACUUGGCUCUACACAUUUACAGAGCUUACCCCUGUCCAGUGUCUGGCAGAACGUUGGGGGCUUCAAUCGUCGACUCGUUAUCCCCAUCUCAGCCCAGGCUAACGGAGCCUGACUUAUUCAGGGGAGAGAGUGGAGCCUAUCGAAGCACUCUUGAGAGUAAGAUCCUUGGCUCCUCUUCAUUCUCUACAGGGGUCUCUGCCCACAUGGAAGCGGGGCAGAGAUGGAUAAGAUCAAACACGGGAAUAAGAAGCAUUUAAAAUGCCUUUUUUAUCAUUUUUAUAGAGGGGGAUGGAUAAAGUGGGCAAAACAGACUCACAUUUUUCAAUCGAAAAGAUGGGUUCCUUUUUCGUCUCGACAAAGAAAGAAUCAUCUUGAAAACGCUCCUAACCCCUUCGUAGGGCCGUGUAUAGUAAGUGAUCCGAACCUGCCCGGAGCGAGCCCCCCCUUAGAGGCAAGUGAAGUUGGUGAGCCGUAUGAUGGGCAACUAUCUCCUGCGGUUCGGAGAGGACUCAGCUGUUAGUUAGUACCCCCUUGGUUUCGGGGUGGACCCUUUCACUCUAUUUUAUUAUAUACGCUUAGCGAAAAGAAUGUUUUUUGAUAGACCUAGGACAUGGAUUCUAUAUGAACCAAUGGAUCGUGACAAGUCGUUACUACUAGCAAUGACUUCCUCUUUCAUUACUUCAUCCUUUCCAUAUCCCUCUCCCUUGUUCGAUCUUACUCAUCAAAUGGCACUCAGUUCAUAUCUGUAAAUUCGAUCAUUUACAAGGUUCAAAGAAAGGGUGGACUGCAGGUAAGCACUAAUUAAAACCUCUGCAUUUCCGUGAUUCAAAAACAAGGGCGUACGUAGCCCAUUGUAGAUUCCAGCCGAGAAGAUUAAGGAAUUGUGACAGCAACCAUGUUACUUGCUAAAUUUUGCCUAUAUCUACUCCAAAACUGGAGGCAUUCAUCGAAAGCUAGCAAGAGUAUUUCAUCCUUAGUGAACUGAGAGAUGUUCUAUCGCUCCGCGCCUUAUUUACUUAUUCAGUCUAAAUACGCUCCUUCGGGCAUAAUAAGCAGAGUCUGGGAGUUAUAGAAAGUAGGUCAAGUAGUGAAGAAGUUGGGUCUUGGGUAAGCAUGUUGGACUAGAUAGAAAGACGCAUUACUUCGGACUUGGGUAACUCUUGACGCCGAUAUAGAUGUGUUUUCUUUUUGCCUAUAAGAAAUCCUCCUUUAUGUAUGACUGGGCUUGUGAGAAGUGGUCUAAUACUAUCUAUUCAGAUAUGUCUCUUCUUAUCUUAUGGAUAAGCUAGGGAGGGCAUAGGUAAUUGCUUGGGGGGGCUAGUCAAUGAAGAAUUGAGUAUCUAAUAAUAAUUUCUUGUGGGCAAGAGUAGGGUUGACUUGGUAGGUAGAACUAUUCUUAUGGCUAAGAAGCUAGGCCGAUAUGCUCAUACUAAGUGCUGUAAUCUCUCAUUCAUGCGCAUUAAGGAAAUUGUAAAGAAGAAAGUAAAACGCUCUACGCCUCGUCGAAUAAGAGUGUUUCCGGAUCAUAUCUAUUCUUCUCGGGUACUCUUUCUUAAUGAGAAAAUCAUAACUUGAUCCGAUCUUUAUGUCGCACAGUGGUGUCCCAGGCUAGGGCUGCAGGUCCAGCAUAAGAAUCUAAACUAAAAAAGUAUGUUUACGUGGUCCAUAAAUAAUGGUGACAGAAAUCCCUCCUACUGCGCCUCAACUUGGACUGGAGCUUUCGGGUCUCUAGGUAUUGAAUUAAAGAACGGGUUUAGCUUUGCUUUGGGGGGAGUCCUGGUGGGGAGAUAUGCUAGCAGGUAAUGGCUCAGCUUCUACUUAAAAAGCGUUUUAAGCGGGUUUCCCUAUUUAUUUGCGGGUCUCUCGUACAAGAUUCUAUCAGUUACAGCGGAUUCAAGGGAUGGAGCCAGAUCUACUAUCCGCUUGCUGUCCCUAAGCUGAUAAUUGCCCGAGCCUAUUUGUUUUUUUCCGGGGAGGGGCACAUAGCGAUAGAUACUUUAGAAACCUAUCACUAAGAAUAAGAAGCGGGCUCACUGAAAACCAAACUGUUCGUAUUUCUUUAAAACGCUGCUGCCCUAGCCGGGGGUCUGUCUAUAGAAGAAGGGAAUCAAUAGGAAGGAGUCUAGCCCGAGUGAAGGGUUGAUUCAACCAAAGCAAGAAACAACCCUAUCUUCUGAGUGAAGGGACAACCCAAUCAUUCCUAAGUACCAGAGCCAUGGCGCGGAGUACCAUUACAUUACCGGCACUUUUCUUUGAAUCACUUCUUUGAUCAUUAAGAUCCUGUUCCCCGAGCAACCCGAUCCGAUAUUCCUUAACUGCUAUCUUUCCUUGCUUUUAAAUAAACAACUACUUCAUUUCAAUUCAUUUGCAAGACCAGGCUUGCUCUCCGAGGUGGCAUCCCCUCCUAAGCGAAAUACUAGAGUAGAGGGCUUCCCGUCUUUACUUGCUUCUGGUUGAUGACAGCUACAUCCUUAGCUGGUUUGACAACCCUUGCUAGCUUCUUACUUUCUUACUUCCUCGCUCGCGCUUGGGGUUCCCCCUAAUCCGAGUGUUCUUCCAAAACAGCUAUCCACCGACUAAUACUUACCUGCCUCCUUACCCGCUUUCCAAAAACCCUAUCUGUCAUUGCAUUGCCGUGGUUUCGCACCUCCUACGCCAAUACUUGCUUAAAUAAAUUCUCUAGGGAAGUAGGGCUUCAAGGAAGUAGACAACCACUUAUCGUUAUCGGGGAGGAUGGAUGGUUGUCCCUUCUUCUCAAUAGAAUCCGAUAGACAAGAAUCGAAAGCAGCUGAUUUAUUCCUCAAGUAAGUCAGUUGAUGAUUCAAUUCCUUCAAGGCAAGAGUGGGGCAUCUAGAUCGAUUCGUUUUCCGGUUGUUAUACCGCGAAUAGAAAGAAUUCUGAUUAUCUGUUGAGGCAAGCUAUUCAUCAUUAACAGGAAAGAUCCCAAAGCUGUUAUUGCUAACAUGGGAUAGCCUGACUCUACGCUACAAUCUCUAUUUUCUUAUGAUAUUGAAUCUGGCUUCUAUUAUUCAAUCUCUAGUUACCGUGGGAAAAGAAAGAGACAAGAGCUCUUAGUCCGACAAGACAAGAGAGGAUAUGCCUCCAAAAGCUUCUUCAAUAGCAGUGGAUUGAAUUCAUCUGCACACUGAUAAUUCACCAAAAACAAGAGGAAAGAGAGCAGUGGAUGAUUUAACACUAAGCCAAUCUUGAACAGCAGAGGGUUCAUCUCUAUCUUUAGACUUGGGAUGGGAAAAACUUCAGUUGUUGGUUGGAUUACUGGCUGAAACAAUAGACCUGUUGGUUAGAAAAGCCAUUAUUUCACAACUGUUAAGGAUUACUUCAGGAGGACCUAUUAAUAGUGCUUUGAUCCCUGCUUAGUGUUUUCAAAAGAUAGUUGGAAAGGUAGGUCUAUUUCUUCUUUAUCUUUGUAGAUCAACCUAGCUUUGUACAUGCUAUUGCUUCUACAAUUCACAAGAGUCAUUUCUCCCCAAAAAUAAAUAAGGUUCACUCCAGGUUCUUAAUAGGCAGUAGGCCCCUAAGUCAAAACUACCAUAACUUCUUUCUUACAAUCCGAUUACUAUUUGAUCGAGAGAUAGGCACAUUUCUCCAUGAUAUAAACUAUCCAAUCCACCUCUUCUAUUAUGAAAUAUAAACCAGACAUCGUCGGCGUAAGAACAAGACGGAUACUUCUCCUCCACCCUUGGAACGAGUAGUAGCUUCUAGUUUCGCAGGAAUGACUAGAACGCUCAGAUAUGGAAUUCUUUUAGGCUAGCUCCGGGCUUGCUGUUACAAGCGAUUCGAAUAGUUUUCCUGUGCUAGUUGUGUUGUACAGUACUAUACUACAACUACAUUUCUUUCCUAUUGCUUACCCGGUCUUAUAGCUCUACUUUUGAAACCGAACGAGUAUUGCUAGUUGUUACAAACAAACCCACCAAGCUAUCUCAUCCUCCUCCCCCGGGUUUCCUUCCCGCGACCUGUGCUAGUAGUAUGUCUCCGUUGCUAUUUACUUUCUCGAAUAGACUAGUUGGACAGCUAUCUACGCAUUUACCAGUGCUACUUUAACGAAUCGGGUAGUUGGACAGCAGGAACUCUUUUUUCUUACUACUCGUCCAGUACUAGCAUCCUUUGCCUUCUCUAUCAUUCCAGAGCUUCUCAGCAGACAAUCUCAGCCCCCUAGUUUAAGUCUACGUCCUCAGGGGCGCCCUUUACUUGGUUGAGAUCUAACCACCUUAUGAUAGCACCCCAAUAUUGACGAUCAUAGAUCCAGGCGGGCCCCCCUACCCAGAGACAUUAUAGCUCAUCGGUCUAUCAAGAUAAUAAAAUUCAUUAAUGAAAUUCCUGAGGAGAAAAGCUUUGUCUGGGCUCAAAUUCCAAUACCAUUGAUCGAGGAUAGGGUUUUGAAGGAGGAGAUGCAAGAGGGGUCACCAUUGUUUACUUUUCAUGCCUACUUGCCGGCGGAAGCGAGUUACGGCUUUGCUUCUUUCGUGAUUCACUUGGAAUUCACUUUCUUUCUUUGCAUUCAAUUCUAACUUUGGGAUUCCAGAACAUUCAAGAAAGAAGGUCAAAGGACUCAGGCUUUAAUGCCAAAGUACUGGGCAGAGCGUACUUACCUACUUAGACAAGAGGGAUACUUAUAGAUCUCUAUGAGCGUAAGGCAAAGUGGGCAAGACUACUUCCACAACUACAUUUUCGCCAUUUUUGUUAUAGCCCUUGCGGCUGCUGAAGCAGCUAUUGGACUAUCCAUUCUUUCUUCCAUCCAUCGUAACAGGAAAUCAACUCGUAUCAAUCAAUCCAAUUUUUGGAAUAAUUAGACAUAGAAUCCCCUAAACAAAGGGGCAUAUAUAAUAAUAAGAAACAUUAAGAUGAAUAGAAAUCAAAUCUUAUUUUCUUAUUAGUGUUUAAUAAUAUCCUUUUUUUUAGUAGGUUAUUUCAGAGUAUUGUUUUUUACUUAUUGAAUAUUGCAUUUUUGCAAUUCAUUGAUAUUGCAAUAAUUUAUAUUGAAAAGAUGAUAGCUAAUUUAUUGGCUAAUUCGAAUUAGUAUGUAGAAUUCGUAUAAUUAUAACUGUUGAAGCCUUAAAUUCAAGUCUCUUGGCUUUCUAAGAUCAGAGGAGGAAAAGAAUGAAGGUGUGGGCGGGAAGGAGGAGGCAAGGCCCCCUCAAUGUGUAUUCGACUACUCAUUACGGAACCACCGAUUGAUCCGAUUAGACUUCCCGCGGGGUAGCACGGGGAACUUGCUGAAUCAACUCCUUGGAAUCGGAGGCCUGACUGAGGGUCAAUCCUAUGGUAACCUCAACCUAGGAAUGCCUGUUUCACUUCCUUGACAGAGCCAACUGAGAUGCUCUGUCUCGAUGUUGACCUAACAUGGAUUGAUUAGAAAUUCUGAAGGGUCUCAUCCUGAUCUCGCAAAGGAUCAGCAAUAGCUGUGUGUACUCGAGGACUCUUAGGGAAAGAAAAGCACUUUUCUCUCUCAGCAGUUAGACCGGCUAUGGGCGGGUUGGUUAUAUACUGCGCCUUCCUUCUUUCGAACCUUUUGGUAUGUAUUGCCCCAGAAUAGAAUAGAUCAGAUCCACCGGACCAGAAACUCAAUUCCGCACUGCUGCUGAGUCGUCGGGCUUAUCCACCUCAGGGAUUCGUGGAAUUUCCGUUUUUGAAUUGCGUUGGGGGAAAUCUACCAAAGCUAGGCAGAUAGAUAGACUCCUUUCCCGCUGCUAAGGGAGAGCAAGAAACUAAAUCACAUGACCAGCGCCCUUUUUUUUGCGGGUACUAAGAGUCCUCUCACUACCAACCAGCAGACAUCAUCAUCUGGCUGGGUCUUGCCGGUAUCAACAACGAGAAAGAAGAACCAAAUGGAAACAGCAACUAACUAUGGCUCUUGGCCCAGACAACGUCCUAGGCGUAGGGGAGAUCAAAACAAGAAGUCACGCCUAGACGACGACGCCCGUCCUGGGCUGCAGUAAGUAGAUCGAGAGGUCGUUCCGCCCCUUGUCCCCGAAGAUGGGUAAUAUGUUCUCAUACAAUGUUGCUCCAACUUUUUUCUAGAGGGCCUAGCUGGCGAGCGAUCCCAGUCCGCGGCAGAGAACAAGACAGCAAGCGAGCGUACCUUUGUUCGCUUCUUUUCCACCAAGCACAGAAGUUUAAGGAGAACUGUAGGUCGGUGGCUACCUAAGGAAACUCCGAUUCGAUCCGCCCCCCGGCUGGGAGGCAUCUACCUCAUCCCGAUCACAAGGAGAGGUUCACCAUGAUGGGGGGGUCAGGUACUUGAAUUCUUUUCGUUCCGGAAAGAAUUCAAUGCAUAGGGGACCAUCCUUUUUUUUGCGGCAUGCUCUCUGAUUUACGGAUUCGCAGGGGGCCGAGGGCCAACCUUAGUUGACUGACAAUGACAAAGGCUUGCGAAACAAAGUAGCGCCUUUGAAAUGGAAUCUUAAUUAAGUAGUCGUCUAUCAGUGGUGCGAAGCAGCUUUGCCCCGGGGAGCGAAAGGUUAUACCUUUGUAAGCGAACAGCGGUUCUUCUAUGUAGGGUAUUCCUCCUUUACUCUCUUAAUUAACGUCGAGCUAAGUGACUUUGUGUAGCGUAGUAGAAUGAAGGCUACGUACGCACCGACACUCUCUUAUCCCUAAGCCUCUUCUCUAACUCGCUCGCCUACAAAAAAUAGUAGGCGAGGCACUCAGCCGCUGACUUUGACUGUACUGUAGUGUAGUGUAGUAUACUUUCGUCGCCUUUUCUUUUAGAACCCUUUCUCAUGUUCUUUCAUUCAUCAAGUAGGCGAACCGUCAGGUCCUUAGUAGCGUUGACAAAGAAGAAGAGCCAAAAAGAAAGCUAGAAUUUCCAUUCCAAUAGUGAGACCAGCUUGACAAGCUACCUUUCGGGUGCGAAGAUCAUUUUUUAUGACUUCCACUUCUCGAUCCCGGCCCGGAAAAGUGACCGACCCAAUGAAAGAAAGGGUUUAUGAGCCCUAGCCCUGUAAGCCCACACCUGUGUAGAGUAGAUCGUUCAACACCUGCGGCACAAACCCAUUUUUGACCAAUUGGUCCGUAUAUCAUAGGCGACCGAACGGCCGCCCCCCGUCUUACUAGACCAACCUGCUAUAAUUAUUCCAUAAACACCUAGCGAAGAUAUGGCAAACAAAUAAAGUAGCCCUAUGUUCGGAUCUGACAAUACCAUACCAUAAUCAAAAGGUACAACGGCCCAAGCGACCAGACUUAACAUAAAUGUAGCCACUGGAGCCAUUCUAAAAAGGGAGAAAUUAGCACUACUUGGUGAAAUAGGUUCUUUUAGAAUCAAUUUAAAACCAUCUGCUAGAGGUUGUAACAAUCCGAACGAUCCCACUACAUCAGGACCCUUUCGACGUUGCACAAAAGCCAUUACUUUACGUUCAGCUAGCACUAAAAAGGCUACUCCUAGUAGAAGUGGUAGAAUUAAACAAAGUAUUUCCGCUGGAACAGCUAUGUACGUUUUCGAUUUUCUAUUCACUCAUGAUCGGGCCUGACCUGGUCGACCCGAUCAAACUAUUGAACUUAUGAUCUGGCCUGGUUGACCCAAUCAUGAUAUUGAAGGAUGGGACCUUUUCUCGAUAAACUCCGGAUCCCGAGAAGUUUUGAAGAUGGUGCUCCUGUUACGUUACUUCGAAUGGAAUCCUCACUUGACUAAGCAUAAGCGAAAAACGUGGCUGAGAGUAAGCAAUCCCCUUUCCUAGUGGUUGAGUCAUGAUCAGAAAUAUUGCGAAAGAAAGUGAAAUGUCCUAUCGUCGUCCCAAUUUGGGUAAUCCACGAUGUCUUCAUUUUAUGUACCCAUCUUUACUCGUUUUCGGUGUAUCGAUAGUUCGUUGUACUACACUUUGAACUAACCUAGAGUAGAGGCCGUGCUUAGGAAAAAAUCGAUAUCAGUGAAGUAAUCCCGGAACUCUAGAAAUCGUGAAGAAUUUCUUCCAUUUUGUUCAAUAUCGCGAAUAUAGCGGAAAAGGGCCCCCUCUAGAACAUUCCUUUGAAUGGAAUUGUUCAUUGGGUUCGACUUGUUGUUCGAAAAAAUCGAAAGCAGUCUCUCGUAUGUUAUUGUAAGGUGAUUCAUUCAUAAUAUUUAUUAUGUGCGGUUUCAAGAUGCUAAAAAAGUAUAUUUUGUAAUCGGCUUUUGAGCUCCAUUAUGUGUACUUCAUCAAUUUAGGAAUUAUGGACUUGGCGGUAGUGGUCAAUACUAACUGCACCGUCUAAAUGCUCCCUGACCAAGUUAGCGUACUCGCCAGGGUUGAGUUGAGGGCCCGUGCGCUAAUUGGGCUUCGAGGUUGGCUUGGCUAUACGCGAAAAAAGCUCGCUUUCUACUGAUCUGCGGCCUGUUCUGUCCUAAACAGUUCCUGAAUGUUAUUUGUUUCAUAGGAAGAUUCCAAAAGCACAUUGAUGCCGAAAGAAUCUUCGGAACCGGUGGAGAGGCUAUUCUGAUUGAAGGCUAGACAAAUAACAUGACUGAGGUAUGUAAAUCAAACCAGUGAAAUAGCUUUAUAAUAUUAGAUAGAUAUAGAAUAUCAAAAGCAAAAGCCUGAUAAUGGGUUUCAAACACGAAAGAAGAAAAGAAAAAAAGAAAAUUAUAGCUUUCUUUUUUUUUGGUGCGUGCUUUUCGCCUGCCUUCCCGACCACGGAUAGGCUACGGGGCUUUGCACUUCGGCCCCUGUGAAUACCACAUCAAGGUGACAGGAUUCGAACCUAUGGCCCUCUGUACCCAAAACAGAUGCGCUGACCAGACUGCGCUACACCUCGUCUCCCCCCCGGAACAUAUGGUAUGGAUCUACCCGAUCGAAAAAGACUCGAACCGCAGUCGCCCACCCCGCGGCACAGGGAGGCGAGAACCACCGCUUUUAGGAAAUAAGCCUACAAUUUUAUUUGAUUCUCGUCUCGUUUCACUUGCAUUUUCUUUCGGAAUGACUUGAUCGUUCUGAGAGUGGAAUCGAACCACUCACUCCGGAAGGAUUUAGAGUCCAAAGGGCCCAGCGAAAGAAGUCCCACGCCAGCAGCCUGCCAGAACCAUUAAUACAGGGUUUGAUCCACUGAACACCCACACAAUCUCGAUUUGACAGAUCAUCGCCAUCUCUUUGGACAUGCAUGUGUUAAGCAAAUGGACUGAACUGAAUGAAGAGUGAUGUCACAUCGCAUUUUCGAUCUUAGGCGAACGAUGGGUUACCGGGUCUACGACCUCGCAAGGCACUACUGUAGACCUCUUUGGGCCAGACGCUUUCUCAAUCAAAAAUGGAAAGAAGGAGUGAGUCUAUCACCUACGUCAUUUCUCAAGCAAAAAUGGAAGCAUUAAGUCAUCGUUCCGUCAUACAACAUCUAAGGUCAUCCCUUACGACUUCCCUACAUCACCCUUCUAAGCUCCUUUGCCCUAUGACAAAAGUCUACUUUGAAUGAAUGAUCAUUUUACGGUUCGAUUCCGGCUCGUGACAUGAAGAAGAAGUCCCAAACAGGGAUCAGAUGAGUUUGCACAGCGUUACUUUUUGUUCUUCGUUGACGGAAAAUCAAACGGUUCCCGGUCUUUUCAGAAGACUAUGCUUACUUUCUUUUCUCUUACCGGUCUUUUCAAUCAAGGAAAUGUAUUCCGUUCCUCGAAUCGGGACUUUCUUUGUCGAGGAUCUCUGGUACUCCAUCGAGUUUCCGUUUCUUCUUCUAAUGGCUGUGUCCGUCUAAGGUGGCUGGCUAUUUGAGCGAUUUAAGUAUCGCGGUUGUCUUGAGCUCUGGAUUGAUGGACGGGGCUGGGUUCAAUUUCAACUCGGAGAUAGCCGGGUCUAUAGCUAUAGUAAGAGCCGCUUUGUGAACAGCAUCGGAUAACAUAGCAAGGGUAGCCGCAAUAGAGCAAUUAUGCCUUAAGCCCAAAACUCUUCCUUUCGGGGAAGGAAGAAAAGACUUUUCUUAUUCCAAGCCAGCUACGGGACAAGUGAAACGGGCAGUUAGUUCAGUGAGGACAGCAGUUCCAGCAAAGACAGUGGAAUGGUAAAGCUGUUCAUUCUCAACGGGAAAGGAUUUCUCUAUUGCAACGGGGCUAGUUUCAACAAGGUGAGCAAAGCUAGAUACUUAGGCUUGUCCAGUUGUUCCACCAACCCCUGCUCCCGACCCAGGUACAUUCUUCUUGGCAGCUCAAGACCUUUCUUGUUCCUUGCUCCCGUGGAUCGAUACUAGUUACUUACCUUUAAUCUUAGCUUAGUGUCUUUUACCUAACCUACUCGCUCGCCGAGCUUUUUUUAUCUUGGUUAUUGGCUUUUUUACUCAAGUUAGAGCUUUUCUUUCCUGGCUUUUUCACUCGAGUUGUUCGCUUGGCUUUAGCUCAUUUUUUUGUCCAUUUCUUCUCUUUACAGAUCCCCUCGAAGUAUCCAGAAGAAUGGCAAUGCAAAAUAAUAGCAAUAGUCGUCUCGUAGGUGCUGGUGAAAGAAUAGCUUAUGGGGCUGGAGUCAAAGGAGCUUUCAUAGACAUAGAAAUCAUAAUAGAAAGAGCAGGCCUGCGAGCAGCGAGUGCCCUUUGUAAGUUGCGAGCCUGCCUGUCAAACCAUAGGCGCCUUACCGCCCCCCCUUUCUUUUUUGAAUUAGAAAGAAGGGGAUGAAAGACAAAGAAAGAGAUCAGGUUAUUUAUGAUCGGAGAAAAGGAAGGGGCGUGGUUGAUGUGUCACUGGGAACCCGUAGGAAGGGGAGACGACCGGCCUCAUUCACAUCUGAAAUCGCCAACAUGAACACAAACGAAAUCGUCGAAUUUCGUAUAGAAAGAAAAGGAACCACUUCUAUUCUCUUCUCUUUUCUUAGGUAUAUGAAGAAUUGCUUUUUGGUCCCUUUCGUCCAGUGGUUAGGACAUCGUCUUUUCAUGUCGAAGACACGGGUUCGAUUCCCGUAAGGGAUAUUACUUCAUCCUGGCCUUCAAAUCGUUGGUGCUGAUUAUCAUAUAAUCUCCUUGCUUUGGAGUGAAGAAAAGAAGUUCGAUCAGUUCAUUCAAUUAGGAAGCGUCAGACUAGGCCUUUCUUUCAACGAAUGUCUCAUUCUAAUCUACCUACCCGGAUCCCUUUGCUACUAAGCGAGCCAACUAUCUAUCGACAGACCCAUCAGCUUUGCACUUAACUAACCCAUUUAUUUCCAACAGUUUGACGCCCCAUUCCUCGUUUUCCCACUUGUACUUCUAUGCCUUGCCCCAUAGAGAGGAGUCUUCUUUCUUCGGAAAAACGGCUGAAUUCGAUUAAGUAUUCCCAUAGAGAAAAAAGCCCACUAAUAACUGGAGCUGGAGGUAGUAGCCCUUCCUCUUUGGUCUAGUUGACCGCAGCACCCAUUGCCGAAAGCAGCUCAUACGGGGGUAUUUCCUUGGCCAACGCUUCUAGUAGGAGGCAUAUUCCUUUCUCCCGAGGGUGAGGUUUCUCACUUUUGCCUAUGGCUGGCAUAACCAAAUCUAGAGCGGAGUGAGCCAAUCCAUUUGUAACCGUUUCAAAGUCUUCUGCGGCAUCUUCUGGAUCAGAAUCUCCUGCUCAACCGAGAAUGAAUUCAUUUUCAUUGUAUUAUGUGGCAGUCCCACUACUUUCAACCAUGGAAGCGAAUCGAUGAUCCUGUCCAGAGUAUCUUUAUGAAGAAUAUCCUAGCCUAGUCAUAGCUUUCUUUGUAAAUGAUCUCUCCUCUGCAUCGCUGGAAAAGUUCUCAACCGGAUUAUCGGAGAACAACCGCACUCAACCAAGAACUUCCCCUUCCCCCAUUUCCCUGUCUUCGCUAUUUUGCUUUUCUACUGCUUGCUCCCCGAGCUCCCUAUCCGAGUAAGUCCUACCUUCCUGGUUGGCAAGUAGUAAACCCUACUUCCCUUUCAAAUCCUUGAUUUGAUCAUCUUCAUUCCAUGGUGGACGGAGGAAAACUAGUUACAAAUGUUCUUUGCUCGUGAUACUUUGAAUUGAAAGAGGAACGCUUGCAACGAUAGCCCUUGUCAAGCAAAGCAUCCUAGUGUGAAAAAGCAAGAAAAUGCACUGACUGGCCCUGCCUUCAGCCGUACUCUCCUUUCAUCUGGGUGGGUACUAGUUUGAAAGCAGGAACUCGGAAAGGAGGCACGGUUUUAGCAAGAAGCAAGGAAUUCCAAUUCAUAGGAAAGCCAGCCCUUCGAAGAAAACGGAAGUGCUAGCAACGAAAGCAGCAGGGCCACGAAUCGGAUUAACAGAUAGGGAUCAGGUUGUUGUUGAAGUUCAGUAAAGAGCAGGGCCAAGCCAAGCCGGAUUAGCAGAAGAAAAAAAGAAAGAGAAGGGAUACCCUUGCAUCCCUUCUCUUUCCAUUUUCAAUAUUACAGAUUAUCUAAUCUUUGUUGCUGCUUAGGACUAGGCGAACAUCAGAUGAGAUGAAAGCUAGUACUACCUCAUACGAUACGGUGAAGAAAUUCUAAUCUGCUCUAGAAAACCACUUUUCAUGUUCCAGAUAUAGCACGUAGGUUGUGACUCCACAUGGGGAGCUGAGGGACAUAACAUGAUAAUAGAAGGUCAUCCUAGGUAGAGCUGUAGCACAGAUCCACGGAGCGGGAGGUAAGAGGAAAAGAAAAGAAUACCACCAUAAAAGAAAAUUGUGCCCUCUUGAGCCCUAAACCUAGGAGCAAUGGUUUCUCUCCUUCCCAAACUGCAACCGCAACCAGUUCUAAUUCAAACAGUGUGGUGGAGUUCAAUCAGAAACUCUCCUUCAUCCCUCUUCAAAUGCAUUCCUCACUACGAGAUUGAAUAUGUUUUCCCAGCCUCCCACCAGUAGGCGAAUCCCUCCAACCAAUGACUACACUACCUUGGUUAUCCGCUUUCAUGUCUUGGAUUGAGCUUUCUAACUCUUAUUAUAGUUGGGUGGGCGGAAAGAAAGGACAAGAUUCCUGCUUCGUUCAAAGUCCUAGUCCUGUCUCCUGAUAUCUCGCCCGCUAUUUCUAUCUCCGCUAAACCUAGUCACUUGGCUAGCUAUACUUCUAUAGGAACUAUCUAAGCUAUACUUUACUUGACAUGACUGCCUAUCCUGGAACUAAAAGUCUUAAAUACGUCUCUCUUGGCUACCCGUGACUUGCGUUGACCUAUCCCUACUACUUGGUUAUUAGCUUACCCUUUUAUACCUAUUAGAAACCCUAGCUAGCUUGUAAACACCUAUCUCGUGCUUUACUUCUAUACUGACCUAAACGUGAACUGAACAAUAUGCCUACCUUUUUUAUGUUUCUCAACAAUAAGCAUCCCGUGGUGACAACAAACCAUAUGCCAACAAACAACUCCUUAAAAUGCUUAUAUGUAUACAGCUUGGCCUUGCUAUUCACAAAUGUCUAUCAGCUUCUCCUGCUUCUAUACUUGCCUAUCUGUGACAUGACCUAUUCCUACUUGCUUUGUCAACUACUUUACGAUACUUAACUUAACUUUACGAUACUUUACUUUAUCCCCAGACCUAUAAACAAUGGGUCUCAAUUCGGGAGGAAGAACCGGUAAAUUGUACAUACGAAUGUCAAUCUUCAUUUAAUACACUGGUAGGGGUCGAUCAGGCAAAUCCCAAAGCCCCGAACUGCUCUACUGAUCUUCUCUCUCUUCAGACUCACUGAACCAGACUCCUUUUGCACUGAGAACACAAUUAAGAACCCUCCUUCUCACAUCACAAGAAGGCAAACCUUGUACGUUGAUCGAAUCUUCUUUCGCAUCCAGAAGAGAGGCUGUGGGCUAUCCGAGAGAGUGGUUCAGGUGACUACCGGAGUCAUUGAUUAAGCAGGUCAGAUGGGCUUAGUAGGGCUCGAACCUACAAUAUCACCGUUAUGAGCGGUACGUUUCAACCAAUUAAACUAUAAGCCCAAUCGGAUCUCUACAUGCCGGGAAGAGCGGACAGAAAGAGGAGACCCUUUGCUCUAUCUCCUUCUUCCUCUUCCCGGGGCCCCGGAGGGCAAGCCCUAUUAAAGAAGCUAAGUGACUUUCGUCACUCAAGUAGUGAGUUUGAGAGUGGCCGUUAGGGCGACCACUUGUACUUCUAGGCCUUGGCGACCUAUAGUCUUGUUACGCAACACAGCUUCACUCGAUUCAGUAAAUCAAUAGUUCAAACCAGCCCACUAAUAGCUUAGAUAGUGGCCCUUCCACUUUGGUUUGGUAUAGUUGACCCUACCUAUUGACUCAAGGUAAGACCUCUGACUCAAGGUUCAUAGGAAGGGGGAACCCAGACGUAGUGGGAUGUAGGCUUCAGUUGUUUUGGUACUUUUGCACUACCUACGUCUUAUUAUUUAUUUUGUAACCGGCUUUUCACCGGCAGGUCAGUAGGCCUUUUAGAAGGCGAACAAACGAAAGUUCUCCGCGGGCGCUAGCGCUAUCUUGUUCGCUUUUGUCAACUGAAGUCGCGCGUAGCGCCAACUAACUGAUAGCUGAUAGAGCGCGGAGCCCCGAGUCUAAGCGAGCAGAGCCAUUUCUUUGUCGUCAAAAGAAAAAAAAAGUACUAAAGGCGAAGGGCAUUCUGUUGUACAGCUACUUUGGUUUUGGUAUAGUUACAAAGGUAACCGGUAGGUGACUGUUGAAUCGACAGUAGUUACGAAAGGGGGAAAUAGCUCAGUUGGUUAGAGUGCUGGUCUGUCACGCCAGAAGUCGCGGGUUCGAACCCCGUUUUCCCCGCACGAUCUUCCUCUUCCUGCCCGACUCAUUUUGUCUUCACUGGAAGCUGCUGAUCCCAGCGUAGCAUUCAAGACAAUUGUUCCUUCUUCGGUCUCCCUCCACCCCCUUCGUUUGUUGUGGGUCGCGUCUCACCGCAGGCACUUAAUGAAAAUGAAUGAGUGAAGAUCUUCCUUCCCCCCUUGUGUCUUACCAAGGACUGAGUUCCCACUUGUGGCGAAAAAAAAGUAUACCAUCCCACCCGGCCUCCCCCCGGGGGGUUAAGGUUCCUCUCGGAGACUGCCAGUCUACAAGAAGCUGGCAGAGCUUUAGCCAUUGGACCACAUCCAUCCAUCCUCCUACCUAAACAGUGACGCCUUUUCUUGUUCGUUCUUCGAAUUACGCUAGUGGAGACUAAUUCCUUCCGGCUAAUGAAGAUACUACCCCAGUCUUCCCAUUCAUUCCCAGUGGAUCCUUUUCAUUGAACGAACCAAGUUCACCUAUACGAGAGUGAGGAAUAGAAAUCCUACAAUCAACUUCCCACUUUUUAUGUCCCGUUUGACGAUUCUGCUGCGUCUUUAGAAAAGAAAAAGGAGAAGGACAGGGUCAGAAAAGCGAUAACUAUCAAUUCGAAUUCAGAAUGAAUCAAAUCUCCCCAAGUAGGAUUCGAACCUACGACCAGUCAGUUAACAGCCGACCGCUCUACCACUGAGCUACUGAGGAAGAACGGACUUAAGGAAGCUGACUCUCGUUCUUUGGACCAACCAACCGAAAAGAAAAAAAGUUAGUCACUUUUUCUCUUUUCCGGGAGAAAGGGUGACGAUAGCAAUCCCCUUUGCCUCCCCGGCCGGGGAGCCCCCAGGACAGGACAAGGGGGGCGGCGGGGAUUAAUAAAGAAUGGGUUGGCAAAUAUCUCACUUAAUGGUGGGAGGGGAGUAUUUAGUCUUAGUCUGCCUUUAGGUUAGGGUUUUAUUUGAAAUCUAAAUAGAAAUGCCUCCUAGAAAUGAAAUAGCUGAAUUCUUUAUCCUUAAAAGACUGGAAUCCCUCCAACCAAUGACUACUCAACCUUUAUCACAAUCUCAACUGCUUUCCACAGAAAGUAUUACCUGAGGUUGAACAUUUAUCCCUUCAACCUGAUUGCCUUAAACAUUCAUAGCUAACAGUUGACAUCGUCUUUCCUUAAUAAAAGAAGUAAACUAUUUAACGGUUUUAGUUUGUCAGCUUUCACCACUUCUGUUUUGUCUUCCUCGACUAUACAUUCUCUUACUCCAAAAGGGUCUAACCCAGACAGAGAUUACUUUUCGAUAACACACCUAGUUCGGGGGUUGAUUAACAGGAAAGCCCGCGGCCUACCACUACGAAUUUAUAGCUAUAAAGGGUCACAGUAUGAAACUGCUACCCAUUUGAUGCACAAGGAUGCUAUGGUUAAAGCUAAUAUCUACUCAGCUGUUCCCCGACUUAGGCUAUAUAAUCCAUCUUAGGUACAGUAACCUAGACUCGAACUCACUAUACAGGAAACCAACCGUUCAACGAAAUGUGUGCUCAAUUUAUUAGAAUACGCUUGUAAAUCCUCUUCUAAAUUCUUACUGUAAAAGAAUAAGGGAAACAGUCAUUGUUGAAUCUGCAUGGAACCCUAUAUGAAUAAUCAUUAUUGUAUUCUACCAAACAUCUUAUGGGGUUGGUAAAACCAACGCAUUGGUAGCUAUAAAGCUUGCUACCAUGAUGGCAGUGCCGACACUCGCUUCAUAGCAACAUUAUUAUCCAUGUUCUCGGCUUGGUUAACGUUAAAAACCUCCGUAAAGGAAAGGUUGGAUCAUUCAUAAAUGUACUAAGAUAAGAACAGUAUUCACUAUGUCUUUAUUGAUCAAGAAAGUCACCCUCUUGUAACCAUUAAUAACGGCUUCUGGGUUCUUAAAAGCAUUCAAAUUUGCCAAUGGGUGAGCUAUUUCUUGGGGGAUAAUAAAAGGGUUAUCACACUGAACAUACCUGUACCAAACUACAACUCCUAUCCCCAUUAAUACAAGGAUAUUAAACAUACCCCAGACAAACUUAUUGUUUGAUUUGUUAAAAGUGCAAGUUCUAACUUGCGUUAUAGCACUAGAAAAUACUGUAUUGUAUCCAACAAAAUACCUUUCAAUCCUCGGCCCACUUCAGUUUUCGUGAUAAAAACUCAUUAUGGGGAUAGUCUGCCCCUUCAUAUAUAGUAUCAAUAACAGGAUCUCUUAUUGGAUCGUCUCUAAGAUCUCCUAACCUCUCCCAUGCAUUUUUAGCUACUAAACGAAUGUUUGUAUUUUUUUGAGAUAAUAUCUCACCGUCGUAAAUAAGGGUUUGACCGCAGCAUGUUAAAACAUGAGGCAAUUCAUGAAACUCUUCUAUCAAAUCAUAUACAUUCGAGACUCCAUAUAGGUCUAUCUAUAUAGUAUAGUAACUGAAAGCAGUCUCAUUGGUGUAUUCCAUUUGUGGUAAUACUUUAUAUUCAUUAUGGAAAACUCUAUCGCACAGCUUCUUAGCAAGUAAAGAUUGCUUAUACAUGUUGAUUUUAGCAAAGCUGUUAAGAAUGCUCUCUUCAUCAGUUUGCAACAUAUGUUUGAUAUUGCUGUAGUUUUGGGUAAGUCCGACCUUGAAGAAUAAUCCGACCAUGAGGAGUAUGGAGUGUUUGCCAUGUUUUGUAUCUUUUCAGUUGUUCUAUUUAUGGAUUUAUUGGGAUUUUCCAUGAGUUUAGUUGUAUCUACCCGAUUGUGGUAUCCCCACCUCUAUCCUUGUAAUUGGUCAGAGAGAUACAACUCUAUUAAAAGAAAAUAACCCGAGAUUUUGACCCUAAAGAAAAAGAAGUGUCUCUAUUUAGAGAUUUAUCUACUUAGAUUUAGAUUUAGAUUAAAAAAUAAUACUCCUUCUAUAUUAUUCUAGAAUAUGUAUCCCAAUCCAUCUCGAGUAAUUUGUAUCAAUACCUAUUCGGUAGAUCCUUUUUUCUGUGCCAGGAACCAGAUUUGAACUGGUGACACGAGGAUUUUCAGUCCUCUGCUCUACCAACUGAGCUAUCCUGACCAUUUCUUGUGCAUCAUCCUAGUAGAGUACGUACUUGUAUCUAUGUGGGACUAAAAAAGAAAAAAGUAUUCUAAAAUUGGACUUAGUAAAUGUCAGGAUAAUGAUAAUGACUUACUUAAUAAUAGGGAUUACUUGCCUAUACUAUACUAUAAUAUGUUCAUUUGUAUGAAUGGGAUAAGAUCCAAAGAAGUAAGUUCGGAUCCGUUUGUGAAAGAGUAGAAUAAGAAAGAUAGUGAAUCUUGUUUGAACCAUUAAUGAAAAAUAGAGGUUGGUACAAUAGUAUAGUAUAGUUAGGAAGUAAAAUGGGCUUUUUAUUGGGGAUAGAGGGACUUGACUUGAACCCUCACGAUUUUGAAUAGAAAGUCGACGGAUUUUCCUCUUACUAUAAAUUUCAUUGUUGUCGGUAUUGACAUGUAGAAUGGGAUUCUCUCUUUAUUCUCGUCAGACUUGAACCUAACGAAGAAAGAAUGAGGAAGAAAAAGAUAUCGUGAUGUACGUCUAAAAACGGAAACUUAAGAACGCUUUUACCAAACCAAGAAAGCGUAUCACUUUUCAAUUGAUUGGAUCAUCAUAAGAUCGACUGUGUUUCACCUCCCAACCCACACCGGGUUAUGUUCCUCAAUUCCAACAAGGGUAUAAUCAGCCGCCCCGGCACAUCGACCGGCUCAACCCAUGACGAGCCACCUUCACCAAAGCAGCUACAACCUCCCUAUUAAAGUGACCCCCGGACCUAUACCAUACCCUUUUAGAAUCUCCGCAAAUUGCCAAUUACCAUUCCCAGGCUAGACCGAUUAAAGAAACUAAAUUCAUACCCAUCCUCUGGUCUAAAGAAGAGUUUUUUUUACUUUACUUAACUUUACAUUAGAGACCUAAUUCAAGGCGCCGCAUCUCAGCCCUUCUCAAUAGAAUCCAUGUGCCAUUGCCUGAAUGUCAAUCAGCCCCUCCUGUCCGAAAAGAAGCAUAUCCGAAUAAAGCAAGGUAACCCACAAAGCAUUUUUAGCUAUUAAGGACUGACUUCAAAAGGCUCAAAAAAACUGGAAUCAGUUGGAGGAAACUAAGGGCCAGGUUCACAUUAUCAGUGAGCGCGGAUAAGAACGUUUCCUGGAAUUCCACAUCCCAUAUUGACUCUACCAUCCCGGCACGUUGGCCACUAAGUCCAAUCUGACCUAUCUCAAAUAAGAUCUUUUAGGAUAAAUUUUAUAGGCAUCCCUCGCACUUUGUUUCGCUAGCAGCAGCCCGGACUCGUAUGCCAGUGCUCGCUAUCCAGCCAGUCUAAAGAGUUCGCCUAGAAAGAACUUCUCACUUCCAGGCUUAGCGGCUGACCUAUGAACCACUUCUACUGGUGGCUGCUACUGCUAUCAAUCGUAUAAUAGACUGACUCCUUUUUCGCAAAGCGGAAAGAAACAUCCCAAGUCAACAUUGCCAAAAGUGGACCACUUCUGCUUGAUACUUGCUUGCCAAUCCUUUACUCUUUUUGUUCCGCCCUGGCAUCUUUACCCGCCUACCAGAAAUGUGUAUCACAAGGUAUGAUGGGAUUAGAACAGUUCCAUGUCCAUGCAUUAAAUUAAAUGCCGCUCCAAUCGAUGAAGGGCACAAGAUCUCGUCCUUGACAUAGGAAAGCUCAAUCUCUUAAAGACAUAGCAUUGAAAGAGUGAGUAAGAAGCAUGAAAUCCAGGCUUAUCCUUUCUAUGACUAUGAACCAAGACUUAUUUAUAAAAUAAAUAGGUUUCUAAAAUCAAUAGGUGAGCUCCCUAGAGGAGUAUUUUCUGUCCCUCGACCUUUGUCUUCAGACUACUUUUUCUAUUUCAUACAGACGACGAAAAAGAACUCGAUUUUCCAGGGAAGGACAGCUGGAGGAUAGGAUCCUUUUUUCCGACAUUUAGACGAUAAAGUAACUGCUUUUCUCACUAUUCUCAGAAUGAGGGAUUGGGAUUGACCGGGACCUAUUCUCUGGGAACUUCCGCCUCCUUAGCCAAUCCACCUUAUUCUUGAUAGUUCGGUAUGAAUGGUAUUCUUUUUAGUCUUAAUCCUAAUACUUCUAUCAUGGUAUUAAAUACCCUAGUACUGUUAGGAGAAUGCCCAAUAGCCCUUGAGCAUGGAAGGAAUGAUACGAAAAUAGCGAAUUUGCUUAUUAGGAGUAGAAGCACUUUUCGAUAGUAAGAUAGAUAUAGAUCUAAAGGGCCUAGCAGUUCUUACAAUACCAGUAGUAAUAGAUAGGAUACCUUAUGGAGAUACCUUGAAAAAAAAAGACUAGUUAGAGUUUCUCAAAAAAGCUUAGGAAAGCAGGUUUAGGAAAGGAAGUUUCACCAGUGUCUAAGUAAGAAAAGUCAAGUUAGUCAUCUAAGGAAAGCCUUGGGCGAAAGAAAAACCCUUUUCUCUGCGCAUAUUCCCUUUCUAGAGUAUUAUACUGUCAAUAACUAUCCUUUAGUUUCCUAAAUCCCUUUUGCCUAAAGUAUAAUAUCUGAAGUAGUAGAUGCUACUGAAAGAGGUAUGUCAUAAUCAUAAGUAGUUACUUCUUCCAUUUUGACUGUAAUAGAGUUCAAGUAGUUGAUAGCGCCAGUCUAAGUAGUUAUCUCUGUUCUCUUUUGGAGAUGUAGUAAACUAUGCGUAAGCUGUAUUUGACUAUGGAUAAGGAAUAGUUCUUGCCUAUCUAUCCGGAGUAUUUGCCUAUUCCUAAGUAGUUAUUCACUAUCCAUAACCUUUAUCAGUAUCUGACCUCUUGGGCAAGCCAAAAUCAGUAAUUCUUAAAAGCUAGUAUCUUUACCUCUUUCUUUCCUCCGUCUAAGGCCAGUCAUUUUCCUUCUCUGCGGUUGCUUAUGGUGAGUGCUAAUUCCUUCCAAUUGCAGUCCUUCGAGGUUAUAUCCUAUCCUGGUAUAUGAAAGAGAAGAUCAAUUCCUUAGGAGACAGGUAUCGAUGCUUGCCAGCAGGAGAAAGAUCACUAGGUUCAGUCUCUGAUCUGAUCAAUAGGGUUCCCUAGGUACAUUCCGUUUUCUGGAAAUCCUGCAGGGAUAGUAGCUCCCUUUUCGAGGGCAAAAAAACUCGUUAGGCUAUCCGAGAUUUUCUCUUUUUUCCAGCUUUUUGGAGUUCAAAUAAGGAGUGCCCGGCCAUCUAAAGUGCCAGUAGUCUAAGUUCCCCUCCAGGCUGCAGGGUAAAGGGCAGACACAGGUUCAGAGCGAGGGGAAAGGAUCAAGGGUGCGUAGUAUGCUUCUUACCCGCCUUAUCUGCUAGGUCUAGGAUUGGUUUUGUUAACUAGAGAUCUUUUCCUGGACGUUUACACCUAUUCCAUUUUUAAGCUAAGCUCAUUUUCGAGUACUAAGCAUAGCAUAUAUAUUACUUGCUACUUGCCAAUAUGUAGAUAAGUGAGUGUAAAAAGUCAAUGUCCGACCGUGGCUAUUGAAUCGUCGAGGUUGUGUUAGUGAGCUGCUCUUUGAGUCUACCUUUUACCCAAGGAUGUAGUUGUCUAUGCAUAAAGAUUGGAAUUUCCCAUCUUUUUCAGCUCUGCUCCCAAAAGAGAAAGGAGACUGAACACAUUUCUAUACCCGGACGAUCAAUUCAAUUUAAGUAUACGCAUACCUUUUCCCACGAUUCAGGAAUAGCCAUAGAGGACUACGUUUUAUAGACGUACGAAUCCUACGAUACGCGCAAAAGCUAUGAAACCAUUAGGAAGGGCACAGCAGCCCCAGGCCGGCUCCUUCUUUUACCUUGAAAAACAGAUAGGAACGGCAAAUCCUUGUUGAAGAAGAGAGGUGAGCAAGAGUGAAGAGUAGAGCGCGCAUGGGAAGUGCGGUCGCUAUGAACGAAGUGGGAUUAGAUAUGGAUCUUCGAAAUAAGAGUCUUUCUACUUUCUAUAAGCUAUAAGUGAAUUAUUGAUCAAGAGAUAUGUGAAACUAUGCUCUUAGAACACCUUCUUCCAUGCUAUUGAAGCAGGCGAACAGGCGAGUGAGUGAAGAGAGAAGCCAUGCCUCUUUCGAGGUGAGGCAAGCGAUGAACGAGUAGAUGCUGCCCUUAGACCUAUUCUCUCUUUCGGUAGCAGACACCGUGAUGGGCUAGGCUAGGAAACCUUAUUCGAUACGAUAGGACAGGUAAACAAAGCAAGGCCUGGGUCGAGAGCCAAUUUCAUAUUCUCCGGUUCCAUUCCUGAUCUUCCUGUCAUCGUAUCUUGUGUAAGAAUCGCUUUCAGGCUUCUUAUCGCUUUCUCAUCAGUGGCAGUUUUGUCUCCCGUCCCUACCGAACUAUACUAUUAGUAACUGAUCAACUUACUGUUGGAGUUCUUAAGCAUAUCUUUUUCCAUUAUUAGUUCUAUCUUCCGAGUGGACUAAGGCAUCAAUCUGAACUAUAAGCCCUAUCGCUUGGGAAUAAAUGCUUCCCUAGCUGCUUGCCGGAGAAAAACGAAGCCUUAGAAAUUGUAAAUGAAUCCCUAAAAGCGGAGAAAGGCUUAAACCUAUUCAUCUAUCCUAUCCCUCGCUUGACUCUUCUCGGAAAAGGUUCUCGUUCCCAUGAAUCUUGAUCUGCCUCCUGGCAUUGAUAGCGAUUGAUCGAAUUCCUACUCUGGUUUGAGAAGCUUUUCAGUUUUCCUUAUCACUGAAAAGAAUUCAAAAUACGUAUAUUUGGUACUAAAUAAACCGCCUUCGCUGGCUAAUCCCUAUGUCUUGGUACUCUACCCUCCCAUUCAUAAGAGAGUGGUAGUUGUCACCGGAAGCAGGUGUGAGUUGAGUAAGUCUUGUCAACAACGCUUCGCACAACUAAAUACUAACACACUGUUUACUUCUGUACUUCUCCACCGCCAAAACACAAUGACUGAUGCAAUUCAUACAGGCACGAGCGAAAAACGAGCUGAACGAGUGAUCAGGUGCUUCGACCUCUCUUUCUACGGUUGGUUUCUGACAUCGAUCGAGAUUCAACAUUCAGUAGGUUUGCUUUGACGAGUUAAAGGUGGAAGCUUCGAAGCAUCAGUGAAGAGAGUGACCCGGAGCCCAUCCUUCCUGUACGCAUUUCUGCCUUAUUUUGAAAAGCAGCACGGGGACUUCAUCUGCCCAUGAUUGAUUCCCGGCUAUGAUUUAUAAAAAAUCUUCGCUUCAAAAGCUUUCAUUUCAUUUUCUUCAAAGGCACAUGCACUAGGUUACUUACGGAAUCUCAAAGAAAGAGUCGUCCAGGAGCACUUCGUUAGAUUUGCAUGUGUUAAGCAUAUAGCUGAAGUAGCCUAAGCGCUUCAACCUGCUCGCUCUUACAAGACGAAUCUCUUUCUAUACGCAAUUGAAACUAGAGUCUACUCCUUUCUGGUCUGAAAUCUCAGUGGAGACGGUAAAGAUUAGGUGCCUUUUUUCUUGACUAUCCAUCCCAUUCAAAGCUUAUCACACUUCUCCUUCCGAUUCUUUUUCUUUUACUCCGCACUUUUGCUCUUUCGAGCCAAAAUGAAUGGGUCUUAGGGUGACUCCUCUUCUCCAUGAGUAGGUAAACUCAUGUACCACGCAGAGCCCCAACAGUUUACCCUCUUUUCUAUUAUUUUCCUCCACUAAUUUUAGAAUCCGCACAUAAUUGCGGAGUAUUUGUAGUAGGUAGAUAGAGGCAACGACACUUAUACUCAGUAAUAUAGAAAAAAACUUAGCAUUAUCCGUCGCUGUCUGGUACACAUAAUGAAGAAACUCGAUCAUGGAAAAGAUUGAUUGAUUUUGAAGCUCUGCUCCCAAAAGAGAAAGGGAGACUUAAAGAUUGUGGGUUUGGUUUUUCCAAACAAAAGAUAAAUAUUGGAUAAGAAGUUCAACAAUAAAACUUUCCUUCAGUAGGCUCGCUCCCGGUGGAGCCGCCAGCCCGCUCAGAAGUGGAUUCGAACCCCCGACACCGUGGUUCGUAGCCACGUGCUCUAAUCCUCAGAGCUACAGGCCCACCCCGUCUCCACAGGUCCCGGGGAUACCCCCCACCCUCACCUUUCUGAGGACUAUAAAGCCUUCUCGAAUUAGGUCUCUGGGUUCUAAUAAGAAGGCCUCUCGAAUUUGUUCUACGGUAGAAGCUUCUACCAAAGUUGUAGACCCGGAUACUAAUCUUUCACUCACUGAAAAGUGAAAACCUGUGACUAUAUCGUCCUGAAGACGGAUGCGACGGGAAGAAGUGGCAUUUAGAAGUGUUGCUGACUUGACAUUUAGGUUUCGGCAUAACAAAGCUUGCACUGUCUUUUCGCACUUAGGCGCACAGCGUGCCGCUGGUAAUGAUUCUACUACUUUUACGGUGCUGCAAAUUCGCAAGCUGAUCCGUAGAUUAAGUAAUCGUUGUUGUUCAUUGGAUUCCUCCAGAAUGACUUCGUUAGGAUUGAAGAAUUGCUGCAAUGAUUCCUGAAUAGACUCGAUUCUCCCGUCGAGAGUUUCUUUGAAAGUCUUACCUAAACUCUUCCGACUUAAUAUGAGAAAGCCUAUAAAACAACGAGCUACUAUCAUUUCUUCAUUAUAGAUUGAGAUCUUCUUCGGACUUGAUGCACAAAUAGAUGGAAUAGCAGCAAAUAGCAUAUUUAUACCCUUCAUAUCCAUUCCACUAAAUCUCAUUGUGACUCUCCACUUUUAUGAUGAAGCUCUGCUCCAAGAGAAAGGGAGACUUUUUUUGUGGUUGGUUUUUCCAAAAAAAGAACAUUCGAACAAAUAGACUUGAUUCCAUGACAAGCAAAAAUGCUAGCUUCCCAGUAACUGUAACGCAUACACUGGAGCGUUUGUCCCAUUGACGAAGGCCAAUGAAACUAUUCUACUAAUUUUCUGAGGAGCAACUUGACAUUUCUUCAUGCAGCUCAAAAGCUCUAGCGGAAUCGCCGCAGCAUCCUGAUAUUUUCAUAUUCUAUAUGUGACCACAUCAGGGAUUAACCCUGGAUCUCUUAGCCCACUGAAGAUUUCCUCAGCUGAAGAUAUGCGUCCUUGCCCACAAAUUCAAUAAGCGAAUUGAAAGAUAGGACAGUUGGAUCAACUCGGAAAUCUCCUCACCUCAAAUGAGUUCCUUAUCACUGCAUCAGAUGCCACGCAUGAGAUUGUCCUUACCAAUAUCUUUACGCGCACCCAGCUUUGGUUACCCACACCACCAAUGCAACUAAUUUCUGAUCCCAACUUCAUUCCUUUUAUUUAUCCGCGUUAUAUCAUUCGGGUAAUCUUAUCUCCACCUUCGUCAGAAGGCUUUGAAGUCGUGUUCCAACUGAACGGACCCACAUUCGGAUAUUGCAAAGUACACGGCAAUGCUUGGGCUGGCUACUAAUUCAAGGAUGAUGAGUAGGAUAUUCACUCCAUGCUCUUAGGGAGUUCUUUAUGCUGUGCGGUUACCGCCUUGCCACUAUAGAUCUCGUUCCUGAGAUGAAAUUCACUGUUCUCAGUGUAGACUAUGACACUGCCCCAUAAUGACCAAGGGAUGAAACCGGCUUUUACAUAACUCAGCAGUUCCUUUGUGUACUUGCAGACGCUGGUGACGAUCUGUUGUUAGUUCUCAUGAGCACAGAAACUGAUAAAGUAAUAAUUUACCGCGGGGUUAUAAAAUGGGUGAAGCCCUCAAGCCUGGGAUUCAGUGGAAGAAGUGAAAUCAGUUCUCGCUUUGAGACUUCCAGAUUGCACCGCAAGUAACGAUGGAAUGCAAGAAAGAAGACUCAGGAAUGAAAUCAAUCAAACCUCCUACUCAUACUACCCCCUCUUCCCGAUAAGCCCUGUCUUCUUCUUCGCCAUCGACUUUAACACGUAGUCCUGCCCGUGUGAAAGCUGUCAACACACCCCGCUCACUACGACGGUUCGACAACCCUACUACCAUUCCCGUAAGGUGGGCGGGCUUCAUGUAAGGUGGCCCUCUUCCGUAUUGAUAACGUAGAUUUGAAGCACCUAGAAGGAGGAAAGUCACGAAGUCAUCAGUAGGAGUAGUGAAAGCAAUACGAAUCAAUGAAUUGAGGGCAGUCGAAGCAGACAGUAAAUUACUUGAAAUAAAGAUAAAUAAGUGCUCGAGCAAUUGAUUAUUAAGUAAGUAGGCGGCGUAGAAGGGGCGGUUCUACUUAAAUGAAAUGAAUGGCUCGUUCAUAAAUCCACUCGCUUGGCAGCAGUCCAUUCCUACCGUACUCCGGCUAUUCUAUCUGUCUGUGUAUCGCGUAGAGCACGUACUAUGAAUCCAAGUUCCCUAGUGUCAGACUCAACUCAGUCUGGUAGUGUCCCUGGUCCUAUCGAAGCAGCUACUUCAUCCCUGGUGUAAGGGCUUGUAGCUUUCAAUGUGUUCUUUCUUGCAGUAAAGUAAGGAACGAUUGAUCUCUCUUUUUUGAGGGACCAUAGGCCUUAGGCUUAGUCCUAGAAGGUUGAAUGCUUUCGCUACGCCCCGCAUAAUGAAACCUAUGUCUUAGAAUUUUGAAUUCGCUUAUAUAAGCAAUUAUAAGAUCCUUCCUCUAUCUCAUAGUCAAGUACGGAGUAGGAAUCAAUAACAAUUGAAUAAGACAUAAUUAUUGCUGCAUGCAUGUUCACCUAAAGCAUUUCUUACCACUUAAGUGAACGAGGGGGAUAUCAGUAUUUUGACUGACGGCUGUUGUCUAAUUAUUGAAAUAGAAACACUCCCUUCCAAAUGCUAUUGCCAUUCUCCAUUCCGGUCUGUAGCAACGUACUUAGCGCACUAGUUCAAUUUUUUGAUUCACUCUUCGCAUUGAUAAAUCAAACAAACUAUGACAAAUUAAAGGAGAGGGAGGGCACUCUAACCAGGCUAUAUUUUCACUGCUUCAUGGAUUUUCGUUAUUGGGUCUCACCCCGGGAGAGAUUUUCUGCAUCAGCGAUCAUGCCCCCCUUAUUCUAGCGGAGGAACAGCUUCAUCAGAUUCAUUCCCUUGCUAAUCCGCCUUCAAGUACAGGAAAGGCUCCUGAAUUGCUACCUAAUAAUAGAUGACUUCAUUUUACGGAAUACCUGCAACGAGGUUAAGGCGUUAACAAAGAGAGGCCAUAGAUAGGCACAGUCUUCCCAUCCCAUACUGGGAGUCAACAGCUUAGAUGAAAUCCAAAGGCUUCUUAUUAUUCACCGCUAGGAUCUCUACCCGUUAUCCAGGAUGGGCAAAUGAAUGGACUCUCCCUCCCCUCAAUAAUAGUCGUAUCAAGAGACAGAGGUGAGUUAGCAAUUUCAGAUAGCUCGGUUGCGGGUACAGUUGCACUGAAUACUCCUCUGCUUCCCCAAGGGAAUCGAGUGGAUUAAAGCACUCCACUCCGUAGUACAAAGAAAUUCACAGCACUGAUUUGUGACAGUACCAUGCUAGCACAGUGAAUUUUGUGCUUCCAUUCUAAUCUAAUUACAGAAGAAAUGAUGCUGGAAGAAAUGAGCUUUUCUGCUGUAGUUUAUUGAACUAAGGCACUCUGCACAUAAGUCACACCUAACCGGCUAUAUGUUUCUUGAUCGCCGAUAUCUCCUCCCCACCCAGCAUUUGCUAGCUUGCCAAGCUUCCCUCACGAGACUGUGAAAAGCAUAUAGGAAGGCAGAACAAAGACAGGUGGGACCUCAAUGAUGAGUAUGCUUGCUUCGCCUCCACUGCAAGACAAUAGCUUGGGCCAUAGCCAAUAACCAGUUUCCAUCCUAGCUUUUCGCGACAAUCCAUGAUAUCUUGCUGAAUGCAUUGCUUCGGAUCUCUAUGCUCUGCUACAGUGCUCUUCCGUCCAUUCGAUUCUUUUCCUGCCAGUCAGACCCCCCAUUUCAUGUAGUCAAGGACUCAAGGGAGUUAGUUCUAGGUGGGCCGCCCCAAGAGAACCAUUCGCAGCAACGAUGGUCAUAUAGGAUUUCCGGUACCAAAGGUGACAUCGGCGACUGAAGAAAGACUAUUUAGCAAAGGAUUGACGGGGCUAGUCUACAGAACAGAUUCAGACCCAAUGAGGUAUAAUUCAUAGAAUAAAAGAGCUUUGAUUGUCUUGCCUAUGAAACAACCUAGGAUUCUCUUUUCAUUUGAUGUCAUAGACUCUACUCGAGCCAGGAAUCGAUUUGUAAUUUCAGUGAAGUUCAAAGCUGUAUUGUAUGGAGAAAUGGUGAAUUCCCAGUGGUAAGCCCAAGUUAUGAUAAAUAGAAAAUCAAUGCGCUGGUUUAUUCCAAUAUUUAAGACGUGGAUGAGGGCGCGCGAAUAUCGAAAGUUCUUCGAGGGAAGAGUUCGGAGAACAACAACAUGCUUUCUUUGAAAAUCCAAAAGCCCAUAUAUAUCAUAUCUUCUUUGCAUUUAGAUCGCUGUGUGUUUCGCGUGUGGCAGGGUUGGGGUUCAUUGGCAUCAUGACUCCCUUUUUGGAUAGGGGAAUAAGAGAAUUUCCAGGUCGUAGUGAGACUGCAUCGUUCGAAGACGCAUGUUCCUCUAUUUCUUCUAAUCUAAAGAGGUCAUUCAUUAGUGUGGCGUGGGUUCUCCCAAUCAUUAGAAGAAGAAUCCAACAAUGUAUGUUCAAAAGGGGGCUGGGAUUAGGUCUCAUUUAAGACAGAUCCUUAAACAGAUAUGGCUAUAACCCUUCCUUAGACUUAGAGUGACUUGAGUGAAAGUGAUAGCUUCUCCUACUUUCGAAACAGAACGACUAGGUGGAGUAUAUUGCCUAUCUUUUGUGUAUUCUCCCGCAUAUCGAUUUCAUGAUUGUCGUCUACUUCCCUCUCCUGACUUGAUUCUCUAAUGCGAGUAUGGCGCUUCUCUCUCCCGUCCGGUCUACCUUAUUUUAGCGCAUCCUCUCUCUCCCCUUCUUGGCUCUUUCGAGUUGCGACUCUUCUCCAAAAAACCCAAGGAUAUGCAAUUCCCAUUAUGUGUGAGCAUGCGUCCUUCAUAGAGAUAAUUAGGUGGUUUGGCAAUCAGUAAAUUCUCAUUCGGAUGAGGAAGAUGACUUGUUCGGAGGAAGGAAAAGAAAGAGAAAAAGGGUUUUUCUUAAAAGAGAAAGUCUGGCACAUGCAUAUGCAUAAGAAAAGCGGGGCUAUUCUCUAGAAUGCCUAUUCCGUCCUGUUCUGCAAAUCGAUUUCUCAAAUCUCCCCCGCUACUUUAAUCCGAUGCUUGACCUGCUUCCUGAAACGAAAGACUGCUCCACGAACAUCUCAACAAAGCUUGCCCAAAGGACGAGAACCCCUUGACUGGCACUGCUGACCUUCCACCGGCGUAUCCACGAACAGAAGCUGCUGUUGGUACCUUGCAAUCGUAUCCCGGCACCUUGACUGUCCUAUCUGCUUGCCAAAUAGAACUUUCCGAUGGCCAACUCCAAUUAUUUUAUUGAGUUCGCACCUCCAACCUCACCGGAAUCAGUGGUAGCUGCUCCAAAGUAGUUCUGAAAGCGAAAGAAGAAUCGGCUUCUGUGUCAGGGUCAUCUAGAGAGUCGAAAGUAGAGUUUCAAGCAAGAGUGCGGCGCGAACCGGCAGAUCUUAUGAGAUGAGAAUCGAAGAAUUUCAUAGUUAGUGGGGCCAGGAAAACAUUCCUUGUAAUAGGUUACCCGAAGUAGAAGUGCCAGCUAGAAUAGAAAUCACUCGUAUAAUAUAAGAGUUCUGUUCUCACUUCCUGAUACGACCGAUACGAAAGAAAGCAUCUUCGUCAGAAACCCCGUUUGGAUGAUAGCUGAUUUGACCUCGAGAGAAAGGGGGAAGAUUUGAUCCAUUUGAAAGCCAGCGCAGCGCUAUCUCAGUGAAUGGGAUUCGCUUAGGCAAAUAGGCUCCUCAAUCCAUUACGAAGCCAGCAAAGAAAACGCUAUUGGAGAGUUCCAAAGCAAUCCAAUUCUCACUUCUGCUGCUCUGCAGCUUACCUAAGAGUUCUCACGCCUAGUGAAGAUCGGAAUCGGAAAGGGAAGAACGUUAUUCUAUGUUCCAGGCAGAACGUCUGUAGAUGCUAGGUCAAUUCCAGAGCCAGAGAUAGAAAGACAGCUUGAUUCGAACCAACCAAUAGCCUGCCUCUACUCACUGUUGACAAAGGAGGAAGGUUUUCCCUCGGUCCAGUAGAUUGCCGUAGUCAAAAGUCCAUCUCGCUAUAUGGCAAAAGUCGUGUUUUUCUAUUUCCCUUGACAAGAAUCCAGGCAGUAAUCACAUCAUUAGCAUUGAUCUACGCAUUUCGAGAAAAUAAGACGGGGCUACUUCACUUCCUAAUUAAUAAAGUAGGAGCGAGUACGGAGGUACUAGACCGUGAUUCUGGUCCUGAUGCGGACACACCUGUCGACAACAGAGAAGGGAUUCAAUUGAGAGCGGAUAGCAAGAUCGAAUGAAUGGAUACUCUGAGAUAGAACGAUAAAAAGAAAAUUUGAUUAAUCCUACAAAAGCCUUACAAGGCAGGUAAACUUUAUGCAGUAUCUGCUACAAAAAGAAGGUUAGAGAACAGGUUCCAUCUACUUUAUCCGCUUUUGGGCAUGAAGAACAUGCUUCUUUCUCAAUUUAUAGGAAUCGUUAACCUUUUCAUUGGAUUGGUUUUUUUAUGCAGUAGAGAAGCCGUUUCCUUUGAACUUGCUUGGUCCAUCGGACAGAUAUAGACAUGGAGAAGCUUUUCAAUGUAAAUCUUUCACUACUUUGUUUGGACCUUGCUUCUUCACUUAAUGCUUGCUUUCCGUCUUGCCUUUGCUGGGCCUACGAUAGGCUGUACUCCAAUACGAAAUAAGAUUGUACAUGAAGGUUGGUGAAAAGCAAAAGAAGCAAUUGGUUCUCAAAUGCCGUGACGUCACCUAGCUUUAUUCUAAAUUUAUCAUUCUAUUGGUAUGUAUAGUGUCUUUCAUCUGCUUUUUCAUUCAUUCUGCCCACAGCCGUUAGGUAUUAUGACAAAAGGAACCAGCAUGUUGCGGAGCAGCCAAGUAAACCAAGAAAUGACUCAAGUAAUCCAAGGGCAGAGCAACGUAAUCCAACGGAGGGGCUACGUGAUCCAACAGAAGAGCUACGUAAACAAGGAACACAUGAACCUGCUAAGGAUCCAUUCCACCUGCCAAGUAGACCAAUCACAAGAGCUCGGGCCAAGAAAUUCAAUGAAGUAAUCCAUAUCCAUAUGCUGAUUCAGCAAGCCAAGCAAGAUGUGGUGGAGAAUGCGCUAACGCGCAACGGCUUUCGCGCUAGUUGCUCAAUCCGUUGCUUGUUUGGUAAGAUUACCUUGGGAAGUCUCAGGGACUGACUGAACCGAAUGUAUAGCGUCAAGAUAAGAAGCACGCACUCCUACUAGACAUGGAAGGAGUAAACCUCAAAUAUGCUUUCUUCCCUUAGGUAUGUUUCUAGAUUCUAGUCCGAAGUCGGUCGUUGAUAGAUUUAUUUCUUUUGCUUGCUCUCCGUUACUUUCCCUUCCUAUAUUUAGAAAUCGAUGUAAAGACAAUAAGAAAGUGGUUGAGACAGAAGAUUCUUGGUAGUUUAUUGGCUCUAAGUACAAUGGGUACGUAAGUUAUGUGUUUUGUUUCAUGCUCCUUGGUGAUUUUUCAUCAAUAUGAUUUAUUGCCCAUCGAGAACUAACUCUUAGUAGGUACUCAACGUUGAAAUCACACCAUCCGAAAGCAGAAAAUCCAUCCCAUUAACGGAAUAUAUGUGACACAGCUACCUUGUUCAAGGAGAUACCAUUCCCAAACCAUAAGCAAGGAAGGGAAAAUGGUGGGUUGUGGCUCCUAAAGUUUGGGUAUGACUCCACUCCAUUACAGGUACUGGUACUGGCUGCAAACUGGUUCUUGGGUUAAUUAUGAUAGUUGUUGACGACAUAGAAGGUUUUUCACACCAGUAUCUACAGUACUUGAUGCUAGGAUGACUGGAGUCAUGGAGCUUGUCAGGUUUCCAGAUCCAGGUGCCUAUCUUAUUUAGAUACUUCAGCUUAUGCGGCACAUCUCUUGCAGCCUAUGCCGGCCUCAGAUCUAACUAAAUCUAAAUGAGCCAAUGUUUCUAAAUCAAAAUGCAAGGUUGAAGGAAGGGGAAAGUAGAGCAUAAUAUGCAAGCGCCGCUUAUGGGAAUAUCUUAGCCAGUUGAAAGAAGUGCCAGAAAGUAUCUUCUAGUGACUUCCUUUGAUCUUCACUAAAAAACAAGCUUCUUAAGUAUUUAUUUCAAAGAAGCAAGCAAUAUGACAUUUUCUGUGUCUUCCAUUGGCAGCACUAUGGAAGAAUGAAGUAUUUGCAUCUCCCUUAUAGAGAUUGGCUUCAAGCAAGGCAGUGAACCCGCACUGAUCGAAUGAAUUCUUCUUUAAAAGCUCAAAUCCAAUGCUUUCAUGCCCCAUCCUGUGAUCUAGUUGCCCUUUCUCGUCACUAUUCUAUUCUAUAUCGAAUCGAGAAAGCUUUACUUCACUUCUAUUUGCUUUGCUUUGCCUAAGAGAAAAAGAGAUUCCCAUUGGCCCCGGGCCUAUAUCACUAUAUCAUGUUUGCUUUCAAGCAAGAGUUCAACGAGAAAACGAAUCUAUAGAUGAAGCGGAAGAUCCUCCUACGAGAAAAGAGAUCGAAUCCUGCAUAGUGCCAGGCCAUGAAGUAAAAGAAUGCUUUCCCUUGGGCCCAUUUCAUCCUAUUUAUCUAUGUCAAAUCAAGGCAGAACGUCCGUAGAUGCUAGUGCAUUAGUAUUAGUUGGGCAAGGCAGCUCAGGGCUAGCAACUGAGCGAAAGACACCGGAAAGUGCUUUAAAGGUGCCGGGAUACGAUUGCAAGGUACCAGCAGUAGCAAGUUGCAAGUAGAUCAUCUCUCUUUCUUUCUACUCGCGGGAGUGGUGUUUCGGGUCAGGCUAAAGACAUCGAACUGCGGAUCAGUCGUGAUAGAAACCCCUUUCUAGAAUAGAAAGCGGAAAGGAUGCGCCGGCUCGCCCCGCCGGGAGAGGCUGAAAGGCAGAAAGGAAACAUAGGAACCACCAAUCUAGUCAUUGCUUCUCUUCUCCCAACUCCUGAGAACUAAUAACAGGAUGAAACCGGAGCCAGACCCAGUUUAGAUAAGGUAUGUCUCUGCUCGACCAUACUUCUGGAUCCCUUCUGCCCUUGCACUCGAGGACCAUUUCCUGGCGCAGAGAGACCUGAUUGACUGCAUUUCCAGCUGGGCAAGCAAUUCCAUGAAAAGAAGAGAUGACCGGUUGCGGGGAGGCCAAGGCCAGAGGAUUGUGCAGUGCCGGAUCUAUCUCUUUCCAAAAUAUCAUAGAGAAAUAAAAGAAAUGAGGUGUUAGAUCUUGAUUCUCCGCAAAAGUUAGGGGACCAAUAGAGGUCCGCAAUAGUGCCCCGAAAUGGGAGCCGCAGACCCCGCAACCUGUCCAGCUGUAGUAGGAGAUUCCAGUAUGAAGCACAUCAUUGCGUUGAUUCUACGAUUCCAUGAUUCAAACAUGACUGAUGUUCAGUCAUUCGCUACUCAAUAAAUUGUGGGGCUUCAUGGUUGCAACUAUGAGAGUGGAGAAGAUCCCAGUUAUGGACUUUUUUAAUAUGUCUAGGUUUCACGGUAUUCUUAUGAUGAAACAUAUUAUUGCCAAUAGGCAUGAAUGAGUACUGAAGCUAUUAAAGAGAAAAGUUUACGUUUAUGAGUUUUAAGUUCUGAUACCCGGUCUUUCCUACUUUUGUGAUCUGGUGUGAUCGACUUGUGGAGGGAAGUACUUAAUACGCGUUUCAAGAACAACCCAGGGAAAGAAGACUGGUGAGAUAUGGAAUGGAAAAGGUUGGAAAAAGGGGUACUAAUAAAAGUGAAAGGCCAGGCUUAUAGCUAAGAAAUUUACUUAAUAACACGACCCCUUACUCAGUUUGCCUUACUCGAAAGAAGCACGAGCGUCACCCUAGCCAGCAUUCUUUUUAUUUGGAUUUGGAUUUAGUAGAAUCCAAGCCAUCUUACUCAUUGAUUAGUAGAGGUCAAUUCAAUGCUCUAAUAAGCUUGCGAGAAAGCCUAAGUGAAGUUCAGUCUCUUUUUUAGUCUGUCUCUUUUCAGUUUUUAAGCAAGUGACCAUAGGGCAAUGGAAAGAUCUGAUACGGCCGGCGUUAUAGGCCUUGUAGGUUGCAACUCCUUCUAAGAUAAUAAAACGUAACCACGAGGGAGAUUACGAAUAUUCCAAGCAUAUACAUCUUAGGCCAGUAAGCUAAGGAUAGAUGAAAUCCAGUAAGACAGCCAAGCCAGAAGCAAACGAGUUAUCAAGUGGCGAGAUAAAGCUUUGUAUAGCUGCUGUCUUUUUCAUAUAUACAUAUGUAGAAAGGGGUAUAGCUGAGGAGUUUUGAAUUCGAAGAGCAGGCAUAUUGAGAAUAAGCGAGUAGUUUUAUUUCUUACCUCACUACUGUUUCAAGUGCUUUUGCCUUCUAGCGAGUGUGAGUUCCCCCUAGGUAGGGCGGGCUAUAGACUAAAAGAUAUCUGUCAAUGAUAGAGCAGUAGAUUUCUUUCUUUUAAGAGUUCUCUUGCUUGUUUUGAUUCUGUUUAUUGUAUUCUGAAGUUCGUUCAUCACCUUACUUUUCGUGUCCAUCUAGGACUGUUGGUUUAUACAUGGAUCCUAUUCUAGACUAGAAUAGAACGCGUAUCUACGACUUUCCCAUCCAAGUAAGCCACGGUGAAGGAAGGUUAAAUCUUGUCUAAUAUAUAUAAACUUGACCUUUGUUGGUUCAUACAUACCUUUUCAUUCCUGCUAGUAAGGCAUUCCAGGUUUGAUCAGUGCUUUUCUCGAGGAAGAUCAAGAUCCAGCUCUAACCAUAGUCGGUUCUGCCGGUUUAAGUUUCAGGGCAAGUUUCUUGUGUGGGUGGAUACGGUUUCAUUCUGACCUUUGAUUGUUGACUUCGGGCAAGGUCAAGUCAUGGGAUAUAGUUCAAAAAGUGCCAGAAGGCAGCUACGUCUGAGUUGGAUAUGGAAGCUGGGUGAAGUAAGACCAAUAGAGAUGAACUAUUGAUAUUGACCUGGCUAGCGCUAACGCUUUGCAAGGGAGAUGGGUCCGCUUGAAAUCGCUAGAGUGAGAAGAUCUGCUAAUGCAUAUGCUAAUAGGCCUGGUUCAACCAAAGCAUUUCUUCAUGCCCGAUUCUACUUAUGAUUUUUCUGAGUGCUAAUACUUCAACUACUAUUGUGGCCGGGUCUAGUUCUGCUUGAAUCGAAAUAGCAUCGAAUGACGUUCUGCCUGGAAUUGACCUUGCUUCUACUUCUUCCGCACCUGCGACUGUAUGCGAACGUAAACCGGCACGGGAUUCUUUUCCACCCGCUUCUAACUUCUUCCUUGAAUCGAACUAGUUUUUAUUCCUGAACUCCGGAAAUCGUAUCCCUUGGGCAACCCAUUUAUGUAAAGUAAAUAUUCUACAUCUGACUUGAUACAAACCUGCACCACCAGCUUCUUCCUUUAUACCAGUUCGAGGCGAGGAUUGAUUGCUUGAUCUCAAAAACUCCUAGUUAAUGUGCAUCAACAUUGGAGUCGGUAGCUUCGUCUUCUGCCUCAGGUUUAAAAUCACUUAUUCCUAGCCGCCUAUCCUAUCCAUGCGCCGCAAUAGAGGAAAGAGCAGCAAAGAAAUCAAAAGCGUGAAAAUGUCUCGAUAUCGAUAUGUUAGAUGGAGCUCAAUCAAUAGGUGCCGGAUUUCUUAUUUCUCAGAGCUGAGGUCAACCUUGCCAACUCUAGUUCUUCCUCGGCCAAGUAAUGUAGAUUUCCUUGGGAAUUCUAGUGAUCUCUUUCUUCUUCAGCUACUGCUACGAACGUAUUUAGUUUAGAACGAGUAACUACUCGAGGAACUAGGCCAUGGUUUCCGUUAGUCUAAGUAGAUCAAAUCUUGUUGGCAAGAGGACUACUACUGGGAUGGGAUUAUUCUAUUACUAAUUGAUGACCUGGGGGGCUACUCUUCUUUCUCCACUACAUAUAUUUAUUUACUGACCUGUUGAUAGCGGGGGCAGUAAAGAGGAGAGGAGGAAAAAGAAGUAGAGUUAGGUUCUGUUCUUGUGUGUAAGCCCUCGGUCGAUUCGUCUGCUCAUUCACAGCGUAUGAUUCUUAUCCAAUUGCUUCUUCUGAAAACGCGGCGUCGGUUAAUCUUUCUUAUUCUCCCUUCGGGGCUCCUCAUGUUGCUACUAAUAGAAACAGUUCGGACCUUGCUCAUACAAUCCUCGGGACUACUAUUGGUUAAUCUUUGUCCUCCCUAGGGAAAGACGAUACUUUUUGGGAAAGACAGGGUUAGCGCUGCCUGGGUUGAGCCAUUCCUAACAACUCAUCCAGCUUGACUAGCUUGCAUUAAGAGUAGUUCAUUUCCUAUAAAGUGUAGCGAGUUUUCUACCUUUUCACAUAACCGAGAAAAAAGGCAAAGUUACCCUACUACAUGUAUUAGCUAGUUUUGUCUAGUCAACAUCUAACGCUCAUUUCACUAUGGGAUUUAUUUACUCCGAUUGCUUCUACUCUCUUACAGCUGGGUGCGCCUAUAAGGAAGACUUUUCAUAGAUUGACUUUGGACAGGCAAGUUGAACUAUCAGGCUUCACUAACACAAGUAAGAACAAGUAGAAAACUCCGUAUUAAGGGCUGACUUUCCUUUUGACCUAGUUCUUAGCACUAGUGAUUAGCACAAAGGAGGAGAGAAAAAAGGAUUGAAUAAGCGAGCACCAGCAUUGACUUUCUUGCUUUAACUAACCUGACGCCUGGCCCUUUUGCUCUAGGCUCUACUCCUUGUCAUUGAUUUCUAGCUAGCUUUCCCACUCGCAUAAAAGGAAUGAAUCGAGGGUAUUUACUUGCAUUUCUUUGUCCUACUUGGGUUGGGCUUUAAGAAGAGAGGAUUUAUUAGCACGACGAGCAUCGCAUGCUAACCGGGGGAUUGAAUAGGAUAUCAUAGAAUGUAGCAUAUUGUCUUAACUUAUAGGGUAGGGUCUUUCCUAUAGCAAAUCCUCAGUUUCUGUCCAGAGUCCGCCCUUUAGGUGAUGGAUCAUCUUUAUAGAGAGACUAACAAUAAGACUAGAUUAGAUCGUGUGCUUCUUUAUAGACGGUGGGCUUAGGUGGAUCUCCCUCAUCUACCUAGACUAGAUUAGAGUGCUCUUAUCCUAACCUUAGAGCCUAGUUUUUUACGUGAACUCUUGGGCAUUAUCGCAUUCAUGAUGACUUAUGGGCAUAACCAGACGAAGUUAAGAGCUACCUAUUGUGCAUUAGGUUUUCCUCUAGGAUCCGGUUGUAGGGAAAAAGCAUUGGUGUAUGAGCCUACUGUACCGACUCUCCUCAUACUUAUGGAGCAAGAUCCUGUCCCUUUCUUAUAACAGCUCAAGUCAGGAGGGGGAGUAUAACACAUACCCCUCGUAGGCGGUGGCUAGUUUGAGAACUAAUUGCUCAUGGCGAGCUUGUUGGAUCUUCUUAUCCAAUCUAUCUACAAGAUCGGUCAAUCUAAACUUUGUCUUAUAUUCCUAUCUCUUGAAUUCAACUCUGAGCAGAUCGUAGACAGCAUGAGGAUUAACAUUUAGGAACGAUGGCAUUAAAAGACCGGUUGAAUUCACCCUUUCCUCCUUCCAUCAAACUCUGGAUCCGGGCUCUCCUCCACUAUCGUUCCGGGUUGAUGAAAGCUCCAACUCCCUAUCCUAUUUCACCUCGCUUCGGGUUUGCUUUCUUGUUAGCAUGUUUGAAUCAGCAUAAGUGGAGUGCAUUGUUUCUUCAGCGUUUUUCACAAUUUUAUGUUGUGUGAAAGUGCAGAAAGAGAUUGAGAAUUUCCAACUGUGCUUGGCUUAUUUCUUAUUUGAAAGUGAGAGUGCUUACUCUUCAAACUCAGACUCACUCAGACCAAGCCUACAAAAAAACAGGGAUCUCACCUCUCCCCAAAAAGACAUCAACUAUAUGAAUGCAUUCUUUGCCACCAAGACACACACCAAGGGUAGCGAGAACUCCUGGUGGACACAGGAAAAAAAUAUGCAACCAACCCGAAGAUGAGGAUGUGAACCGCAUUACUUCGAUCAAUAGACUUUGAAGUAAAGUGAAGCGAAGUGACUUUGUGAAUUCCACUCGUCUAUAUAUGAGAUUUGUGGGUAGCCUUCAAUCUCUUCAACUAUAUAGGCUCACAUCAAUAGAGAAAAUCUCUAUCUUCUCUACUAAGAGACUUCUUUUUCUUUCUAGAGAUUCCUCUUUCCUAUAUAUAUAGAAUAUACAAGUUGGGUUCGAACCAACGACUCCACCCUCAUAUGGAUUGUGAUGCGCGCUCCUUGCUUAUCCCAGGCUAGGCUACCAAUGAGAUCCCACUCACUGGCUUUGGUUAGUUAUAGUCAAUCCAUACCGCCUUCCUAAGGUUAGAUCAGAUGGCUUGGUUUCAUUUCUGAAUAAAGAGGAGGCUCGGGAGAGUGAAUCUCGUACCUGGCUGGCUUUGAUGCGGGUUCCAGGUCAUUCAGCUGCUGCUACUUACUUGAUGCGUGUACUUCCAGGUUGGAGUUCUUUUACUUUCAAGUUAAUCUACUUAUUGGACUGGACUGAGUUCUUCGAAUAGUUUAUUUAUGCGAGUUCAUUGAAAGACUUAGUGGACCCAGUGAAUUAACUUACUCAUCGGGAUUUUUAUAUUGAACCGGUGUGUUGAGUAAAUGACUAGUUUAGUUGGGUAGAAAGGAAUGGUAGCACAGUGCUACAUGAACGACUAUAACAAGUAGCUUUUUCUGGUGAUAAGGAAGGCACUAGUUGGCUCAGCAGUAGUUAGUUAAGCAGGUUCCAAGGCAGGCGAGACAGUGGAAUGCCUAGGGACAGCUUGAUAUGCACCAAGGAAAGUUGGAGCGAAAUGGGCUGGUGGCUCAGUUGCUACAGGACUAGUGAAACGAACAGUCAGCUCAGUCAAGAGCAGGUAAUUUGUUGGGACAGCCAAGCAAACAGAUGUGCUAUUUUGUUUUUCCCUUGCAUCAACAACUAUCCCUAGCUUUCCUGGACCGGGUAUAUACUCCUCUUUGUCCAGUAGCUCAGUAAGUUGGAACGCGUAUUCCAAUCCAAGGAAGAAAAGCAGUGACUCUCUGAAACUAGUCAGUGCUCGCUACAGUUGCUUACUACUUGCUCGGGUCAGGCAACAGUGGAGAUUCCAGAGAAUCUUAUGAUUUUGGGCCCUAUAUAUUUCUUUCAGGGUUCGGCCAAAUAUUACGAAGGAAACGGAGAACUAUUGCUCGCCUAGAUGGCAUUCCAAAAUGAAUGGCGAGGAGACACUCAACCUUUUUGGUAUACCUUGAGUAAUCCCAACCAAUAGGUGCUGGCUGGUCACAUUGAAUUACUAGGGCUUCUCUCUCUCAAUCAUUUCAUUUCCGUCUCGUAGAUCUGCUUCCAGAGGCCACAGGCACGAAGUGUUUGUACAACUAUUUAAAUGCUAUUAAACUCUUUCUUCAUGCAUGUUGGGUACAAGACAAUGAUUAGAAUCGACUACUGUUAGGCGUGCACGUAUCAUUCCUGUCAACUUAUUCCAUAAGGGUAGCUUCACCAGCAAGCACGGGUGAGAAUGGGUGUAUAAAGUCAUUGACAAGGAGAAGAAGCCGCUUCUGUCAGGGGAUUGGAUUACCCAUGAGUCCAUCUAUGCGGAAAUGCAAUAUUUUAAGCGAUCCUCUACUCUCUAAAGCAAGCCACUGAGCUCUGUCAGGUCAGGUAACAUAAGACUAACUAGCAAAUGCGAUACAAAUCUAUGCACCAACGAUUCGAACUUAAAAUCUUAGACGUAUGUUAACAUGAAAGGAGGGGCCUGCCUAUUAAGCAUUCUAUUCCAUUUCGUGGAAAUGCAUGCCAGGGAUUGGCCACCCACAAGCACUUCUCCUCCAUUGGCGAUGUGGGUGAGUUGAGACUGAAAAAAGGGGCUCUUAAGGGUUCCAAUUCAGAUUUAAGGUCUACGGCUGAAUAGAAAUAGCAGUAUAACUCCCUAUAAUCCGUGCUGUAUUUCCCGUCAGUUUCUUUCUGUCCUACGGAACAUGAGUUUUGUAUGGAAAAAGGGCUUGCUUGCCCAUAGGUAAAAAGACUCAAGGUAUACUUUAGGCGUUAAAAGCUGGCUUAUUACUUGGAAGAAUGACAUAAGCUAAUAAGAUGGGCUUACAAAUUUCAUUGUAGUGAUAGAAAUCUUCCUUUCAGUGAUUCACCUACCUGGAUUUCCCGCCCUGUCAUCUCACUAGUCAAUGGAAAGAAACCUUUGUCAAGAGUCUGCAAGCACAAGAGUGACUACAACUUUUACUUUACCUUAUAAUUUAAACUUUGACUUAUAAAUAACUCUUAGGAAAGCCAGCCCCUUAUUAGUACUCCAGAGAGCUACUUCACCCAGAAUAAAGAGAAGGUUCGAAGAAACUAAUGCAUAAAGACCAGGGGCAGGAGUAUAGAGAGUACAGCGAAGAAGCGUGUGAGUGGUUUGGACGGAGUGGCAGAAAGGAAGAACCCUCAUCUCUUGGACUAAACUCGUACUUUGCGAGAGGCAAUACGCAGGAGUAGGAAUUCCGAUCGGACUUGCUUCUGGGAUGGGAGUGCGGACUGCUUUUCUUAGUUACUUUCUUUUUGGUAUUUCGUAUUUUCAGAUGCGUCUUCUUCUUUCUCAGAUGGCCCGCAUGUAGGUCCAGUGUGCUGCUUUCUUAAGCUGAGUCGUAGCCCUUGACCAACCAGUUAGCCUGUCCCUGCCUUCUCACAGUGGAUUUCUCAACAAUCUCUUCUCUCAAAGAAGGAAUGGAGAGCUCUGUCCUCUCCCUUUUCCUAUGCGCGCGUUCAUAGUGAUAUGAGUGAAUCGAUGUGUAUUUAUGAGGAUCAAACCCUAGAGUGAUUCUAUCGUAGAUUAGGUCUCUGGAUCCGGUGUGCCUUGGCCUGACAGCAAGCUGAACAACUUUGCUGAUCAUCUGGCUUGACUGGGAUUCUCCUCUCAUAGAACAGAUGACUGAUGACUUUGUUGGAGGGAUGGCCUAAACAAACGUUUAUGCCAGAGUGCUUCGGUUGAAGAAAAAACAGAAGGUGAAGCUUGCUCUGUGAUGAAUUGGGCCUUCCUUCAGCUUCCACAUCCUGCUUUGAAUUCAAGAGUCCUUCUUUUCUUGAAUUGGUCUGGUCGGUCAGUGGUUUGUUUUCUGGGCCUGAAUCCCGAUCCCCUAUUAGAACCUUCUCAAGCAAACCCUCGUAAUCCUUUUACAUCUCUUAGUCUAGCCCAUGCAUACCUUGCUUUACCCAUCGUUACUUAUCGUUCAACUUAGAGCUCGAUAGCAAAUUCUUCGAGAGUCUCUUGUUCCAUCUACUAUCCUUUCUGAAGAUAAUAGAGUAACAGUGCUCCAUAGAGAGAGAAAGAAGACACAGUAAUGGUAAGCCAUUGUAGGGAUCAGCCUAGAAGGAGAAUCAUUAAUUCUUGUUUUCAUGAUAUGAUGAAACGAUUCAAUCAUGAUUGGGGUGUGGGUAAUUAUCUUCUUUUUUUUUUCAUAAGAUGCGGUAUUCUUGUAGUGGUUCUCGAGGGCAAAGGGGGGGAUUUGGGUAAAGCCAGUGGUGGUGAUUGUGUCAUCCGUUCUCUUCUUAAUAACUCCCAUCUCCCGAGGCCUAGCUUCGUAUUAUUUUCUUCAUUCAAAGCAACCCAUUACUUUUGCUACUACUACCACUAGUCUAGCUGUUGUCUAUUUGCAACCAUAUAAUUUUUCUAAGAGUACAUGAGAUCGUAUUGUAUUUUGGGUUUGCACUAGCGAUAAGGUAAAUCAAAAUUCUGGCUGGGGGCUGGUUUGAGAGAAGUUUGCUACUCCGGCAGCCUUCCAAUGACCUUAAUGAAACGGGACGAGUCGCAAUGAAUCACUACGAAAAUAGAAAUAUAUGCACUAAUAAAAUAUAGUCAAGCGAGGAGCCUACGAGUUGAUUGAAGAAAGGCACGAGGCGCGGAGCGUCAGGCUUUUGAGAAGUAGUGGAAUUGCUUACCUAGGAAGAAGUAGUAGUAGGAGAAGUCAGAUCUCUUUGAAUAGGUGGUCCGCUUGCUUGGAAAGAAAAGCAAAGUAAGACGCCCUACUUGUACUAAUAACUAGAAGAAAUCAAUGGAUUGAAGAACAAAGCAAAACACUGAUAGUAGAACUAUGGGAGAAAGAAAAGAAGCUUGGUUCACAUCUGGUAAGCGAAAGAGUGAAGUGAACUAGGCGUUGAGUUCACUAUACGGAUUAGCUCAUUCGAAAUCUAUAUAGAGUAUCUCAAUUCAGCUCACUUGGUAGAGUUUUGAGUGAGGGAACCCCGGGGCUGUAGUCAUCCAGUUCACAAAGUCUUGAGUUUCUCCAAAUGAUAUAGAUAGAAAGAAUGGCGAUCUACUAAUAUAUUAUACUUACUCUAUAUAAGGGAUUUCUACUAGGAAAAUCCUCUUUUCAUUCCAAAAUAUAUACUUGAUUCAGAGAUGAUCAAAGACUCCUACCCUAACGCGUGACUCUAAAAAAUCCAACUGAUCUGAGGGUUUUUUCUCCAGUACAAGCAACACAUUGGUAAUAGCAUACUUCCUGCAAUACGAAGGGAAUGAUAAAAAUACCUCACCAACCAAUAAAAAUCCCUAACCUAAUUGGGAAUACUCUCAAAGGACGGACAAUCCGAGUUAAGACGGCCUUCCGAGAAGCACUAUUAGGGAAUACGCGGGAGGGACAUAUGUCGUAGUUCCACAACGCGGAGUUCUAAUGUGGGGAUUGGUCGAAGAGGUUUUAUUAGCUAGAAAGGCGCAAGUCUCAGAGCUGAGCUCACCGCUUCGCGCCUCAGAGGGUGUCCAGACCCGGCAGAAGAUAUAGGCAAUGUGAAAUGUUCGGCUACUAAAUGAAGGAGUUCAGGCUAAGAUAUUAUCGGUUCAGAAGCGCCUGGGUAUGGGUAGAUCAGCAAGCCCGCUUACCGAACUGUUUCAAAAGAACUCGUAAGAAGCUUUACAGCAGCUCAAAGAACCUAUGUAUACGGCCCAGUCCUUGCCAUGCCCGAUCUUCACCCUUAACCAUUUAAUAAGCUUAUGCCAGUGAGGUGUGGAUGCAAUGGAAAGACCCAUAUCGACCGUCUUACGACAAAGAAAAUCUUGCUAUUAAGAGGAAAAGAAAUGGAGCUAGGGUCAAGUUCCAGAGGGGUCUCCAAACAGCCUCACACUACACCAUCACGUGGGAGCUCCUCCACUCCUGUGGAAAGGGCAUGUCUUACUAUAGAUAGUAGGUCAGCUCAAUCACUUUCAUCAAAUUCCCUUGCUUAAGUACAAAAGCAAACUCCCCAGGUUCAAAAGCAACGGCCAUGGGGUCAGGUCACUAUACUCGUCAAGGUUGUCGGAGGUCUGUGAGUCAUACGACUGUGGUACUGGCACUUUUCAAACUGAGACUCACUAAAUAUUACGCUUCUGCUCGCAAAGUAGGCCAGCCAAUAAAACCCAUCUCGUAGGACUCGCUUAGCUAAGGUUCUGGCUCCUUGAUGGCUGCCACAAAUCCCUUCGUGAAUCUCAUUUUCAUUCAUAUUUUGCAAAUACUUCAUUCGAUAUAUUUUUUUAGCUAGCGAUGACAAUGUCAAACAUACCCCGAUAUCCACAUUGUAUCUAGUCCAAUAAAUUGAUUUAGCCCGAAGCAUCACAUCACCUAAAAGACUGAUAUCCAGCUCCAUAUAAUCCAACAAUUGGGCUCUAUUCUCCUGAAGAGAAGACACUUGAACUUCGUCAUGUGCUAUUGAGCCUUUUGAACCUAAGUGCGGACAUAAAGUCUUAGCCAAUGUUUCUAGACUAUUAGGGAGUUGAGUGUAUGAAUCUCGUAGAUGGAACACCAAUUUCUUAUUCCCCCUUUUUUUCCUAUAAAUUGAUAACUGGUAAAGCUUCUUGUUCCUCAUCAGCGGUUUGAUGGUGUACUCGACCAUAUGACUGGCUAAAAACUUCAUUAAGUCGAUCGGAUCGAGAAAUUAGAUUCGAAAAGUAAACUGUUUUCACGCCCUUGUGAGUAGAUCCCAGUUUGGCUAUACGCUCUAUAAAAUCUACCAACAUUUUAGUACUCCUUUCUUCAAGGGAAGGUAUUAUCAAAUUGUAAUCUUCAAAAAAAUAUGUGUCUAUUUGAUCAUCCAUGGCAGCCACAUCAUCCCCCGGAUUCACCACUAAGAGCCCCGCAGCAUAAGGUACAAGCACAUUAUUUAGUAUAACAGUCUCUAUAUCGGCUACAAUGAAAGGAAAACAUUUCUGUUUCUUCUGCUUCAAUGCCGUGAUACACUCAGGAUGUUUACGAUACCUACCCGGAGCUCUUGCUCUAACUUCUCGUGGUUCACCCCUAGCUAUGCCCGCUUCUAUUAAAUUCCAAAUUAUGCUUGCAAUUUCAUCGGAGCUAGGCAACUCUUUGUCAGUGAUUUCAUGCCUACCAAGCAGGUACACUCUAAUGUAUACACCCUUUCAGAAAAUAAAUCCUUCUCGUAUUCUGCUGCUUUUUUGAUUCAUUUUUUCUCAAUAAUAGCAUAGACAUCCAUGUUGGGCGCAGCAUUCCCACUUGAAUCUUCCAAAGAGAAAUAGCAUGACCUAUGAUAAAGGGCACAGGUUCUCCGCUUGCUCUUCUCAUGUUAUAUCCAAUAGUAAACUUCCCAUAUAACAAUUCUGUAUUGUACACGUACUUUUUUAUUUGAGUAGUUUCAUUAGGAACGGAACUUGUAAUUGUAAUAGAAGCCAGAUUUUCUAGUCAGAAUACGGUCGGGGGAAGACUAUCACUGACCGAGCUUCUCUACACUGACCUUUCUUCUGGUCAAGUUCGCAGCUCUUCGAAGAAAUCCGAUUCUUUUCCUAGGAGAAGAGAUUGAUUCUAGUUAUCUUUCUUUCAAAGCCAUCCAUGCAUAGAGAAGACUGGGCCCAAAGCAUUGUAGGUGAGCGAGUAAUCUCUGGAAUAUAAGAAGAGAUAGAGAUGGUUCUUUUGGCUCAUCAAAUGGGACUCGGACUUUGCAGAAAGAGAGUAAUGUUUCCUCCUUUCUCACUCGCCUGGCUGGUCUAUUUAUUGCUAUUAGGUCCUAAUAGAGAAGAAGCUUUUUCCUGCGAAGAUCAAGUUGAACGGUGAGUUCUAAAGGUUUUCCUGAUGUACCAGUGUCUGUGUCACUUUCCAAGUAGUCCUUUCUUAUUUCUUCAAAGAAAGAUUCCCAUUUAGAAUAAGGAAAGUCAAAUAGGGAAGGAAAGGCUAAAAGAACCAAUUUUUCUUGUUUUACCACUUCAGCUACAGCGAUCAAGGGUUCGUGUUAAGUUUCGAACUUGUGAAGAAUUGCCAGUGGGAGACUGUUUCUUUCUCUAAUUCCAUAGUCUUUCAGCCAACAAAGCACUCUAAUUUAUGUAUUAGAAAUACUAUUUGCUCGUAGCCUAGAGGUGUAGACAGGAAUGCUAUGUCAAGGCUAGGUUAGGUGCCUGGGAAAGCCUAGGAUAGGAGCUCUUGGGCACAUUACCCCUGCUACAGUUGAGACGGUCCCAGUCUUUUCUCUUUUUAGGUAAUUAGGAUCAUUAAGAGGUGCUUAGAGGGGUGAUACCAGAACGAAUAGUUAUUCUCACUUUAGGUCAUAUGGUGUAGCUGAAAGAUCUACAAGUGUUUACCGUGAUUCAUCUUGAAUUCCAAUUAUGUCCCUGCAUUUCUGGUGUCCUUCUUGCUUCACUUCUUCUACUUGGACGGGGGAAGCCACUGGAGUCCCCGCCUCUAGUUGAGGGGCUUCCGGGACCCCCUCGAUUUGUGGGGCUUCCGGGUUGACCGGAGGAUGAUGACUCCCCCGUUUCCAAAUUCGCUUUUGGGGUAAGUCAAGAAUUUCAUCUUCCCUCGGUCGUUUACCAAGUGAGGUCUGUUCCCCCCUUAAUCUUCUGCACGUGGCCGUGCCUACUAAAAUAAUAGUACAAAUAGCACAGAGUAGUACUGACGUUUCAAAUGAACUAAGUAAAAUAUUGUUCUCCAUACUUAAGAAAGCAUGAUUGUAGCUCCGCUUCUUGCUUUGCUCUAAGCAGAAAGACUUAUCUGAAAUCGCAGGUUGGGUUUUCCAACCAAAAGAAAGACAUGGGAGUCUUUGUGCAUCUUCUUCUUCGUAACCCAAGGACCGACGAACAGAAAUUGAAACAACGCAACCGUACUAUACUAUCUAUUUACGAUAAUUUGAUUGCUGACAACAUCACGCUUCUCUUUCUUAUUCUUUUUUAUAUAACUGUCACUUUACCGGGCCGGAAAAGUGACACCGUCACGUCUCAGGGUCGUAUGCCUGGAACAAGAAGGGUCGUCGUACAAUUUCCAUUUCGGCGAUUACAAAAAAGAAGGAGGCGAGCUCCCUAUCCCUCUUUGUCUUUCCACUUCCGGAACAAACACUUCGUAAAAUUAUUUUGAGUCCCGGCCCGGUUUUUCCCCACUAACCAAUUACGUUACGACCACUGAACAAACUUGGUUGACGAACAUGGUUUAUGCGCCGCUAAUCUAGCGGCUUGUCGAGCAUUUGACAAACUCACACCAUCCAUUUCAAAUGGGAUUUGUCCCGUGGACACACGAGCAAUCCAACCCGUAGGAUUUCCUUUUCCUCUUCCCAUUCGAACUUCUGCGGGUUUCCCCGUAAUAGGAAGAUCUGCGAGAACUCUUACCCAUAUCUUACAAUUUCUUCGGAAUUGUCCGCUCAUAGCACGACGGAAUUGUCCGAUUGUAGCCCGACGCGCUGCUUCAAUGGCUCGAUAUGAAAGACGACCAGCUCUACUACUUUUGGUGCCAUAUCUUCCAAAACCAAGUUGUGUACCAUCCGGUUCGCGACCCCUACUACAUCUGCAUUUACUAUAUUUACUAUAUUUCGUACGUUUCGGAUAUAGCACGUCCCUUCUUAUUUUGACUAUAUGAGAUCCGCACUUUGACACCUGAAAUUCCGUCACGAGUAGAUACUUCCGCAGGAGCAUAAUCGAUUUUCUGGUUAAAUACAUUACAAGAUGUUUUUCCAUACUUUCCGCAUUCAGUUCUAGCUAUUUCCGCACCCCCUAAUCGACCAGAACAACAAAUACGUAUCCCCUCCACCCCUUUUGGCAUUAUUAAUGGAAUAUCCUUAACUAUUUUACUAAAAAUGGAACGAAAUGAGAUUGGAUUGUUCCUCAGUUGAAAAGAGAUGUCUUGAGCAAUCAGAGAAGCACUUUGAUAAACUGAUUUGAUCUUUACCGACUCAAUUAAGGUAUUAGUGUUUGUUCUAUUAGACAAAAAAGAUCGCAUUUUUUGCACUUCGUUCAAAUAAGAGUUGUACCCGUACGGAAUUCUCCUCUUUCUCAGUAUGAUCUCUAUCAUCAUCUCUAUUCCCUUUAUCAAUUUGCCUAUCCUACCUAGGUCUAUGAAUUUCUCUAUCAAUUCCAUUACCUUAUCCUUACCCAUGAGGUUCCUACAUUUGAUCCUUAAUUGACCUAGGAGUUGUUCCCGGGCAUACUCAUAAAAUGGGUUAUUAUACACCCCAACCCCAUCCCUUGAAAAAAAAAAGGUAGCACCGAAGAAAGGAAAGAGCGAGAUGGUGGUUUUUGUUGUUCCCGCGAAGCGAAGAUCAUUCGCUUGGCGAAUGAAGUGGAUCAACCUCUUUUUGGCUCGGGCCAAACACUUUUUAUCGCUGGUCGAGCUUUCUACAAAAAAAGCGAUGCGAGAGCGUAUUCUCUUAUCUAAGCUUCCUCCCUUCGCUCCCCCCAUCGUAGAUGGUUCAGCCACACCCGGUGCCACGAAAUGAUUGAGAACUACGACGGGGUCGAAAUGCAUUUUGUUCUUUGUAUUAAAAAAGUAUUGCAUGACCGAAUAAUUCAAGGAGGGGCGCACAGCGGGGAGGGUCCUUUUUAGUAGAUGACUCGUCGGGCCGUCAGAGCGGGACUUCUUUGGUAAAAAAAAGAACUUGAAUAACUUUGUUUUUAUGAAGGAGUCGUCAUUUUCUAUCAGGAAGGCUAUGUCAUUUACAACCCCGGCGUAUUUCGGAUGCUUGAAGGCCCCGCUCACCCGAAGUGAUUUAGAAAAAUUCUUCUUUCUCGAUGGUGAUCGGUCAUGGUAUCCAUAACGUUGCAUCUUUUUCGGCCAAAUCCUGAUUUCGUUUUGCUUCUCCCGGUCGAUCGACUCGACUCUUUUCCCUGCCCCCCGGCCUCUCACUUCGUUUCGUUCUUCCUCUGUACCCUCGCUUGAAUGAAGACACCCGAUCGGCCCGACUUUCCCAAAUGCCCACCACCGGCCCUUAUCCUUUCCGGGUCUUGAUUUGUCGCGUCGUUUUAGUCGUAGUGGUCGACGGGGAAGAAAGAAAUGAAUGAAUGUCCUUUUGGGAAAAUGUAGAAUAAUACACCUACCGAGACGAAAGCCAAAGGUGAGUCUCGUAGGUGGACGUAUCGAACUGAAAUAAGAUCUAAGAUUGACAUCUUGAUACAAUGAUUUACCAUAAUAAUAAAUAGAGUCAAUGGUGACAGAGCCGUGGGAAAAGCCGCUUCUUUUUUGCGGCGGGGGCUUCCAUUCACCAGCGCAGACUACAUACACGUGCUCUCUGAACCGUGCUAGAUAGUCACCCAUCACACGGCUCUCAAACCCAACCUGUGGUGGAUCCCGGGGGACAAAGCAAAGUAAAAGCGCUUGAUCCUUUGCCCCAUACUUGGAGAUCUUCCUCCCCGCCGAUCAAGCAGCAACGCUGCUCGUGAUAGGCUUAGCUUAAGCCGCUAACGUUCGGUUCGGAUAAGUAAGAAAGUCCCUUCGGUCGGUUCGCUCAGGUGGUCUUCCCUUAUUUUCCCUAACGUUCAGAGUUGUUCUGGUUUUAGAAAGGAGCACCGCCAAGUCCACUAGGGGCGCCCUGAAUGAAUAAGAAAUGGACAGCUGAGGCAUAUCUCAGUAGCUUGCAUGAAAAAUAGAAGAUAAUAAGUUAGAUGUCGAUUACACACCUGAGGUUGGUAAGAACUGAGGGACAAUGCCCCCCUCGCAGGGCCCAUCAGCGAAGCAACUGCUACUUAAUCGGGCGGUUUGCUUUCGUGCAAGGCCCCCGCUGCUGGAACAGGCGGUUGUCAUUUUCAAGUAAACGCCCCACCCCAGAAGGACGCCCUCGCUCUAUUGGCAAAACGCUUCGAAAGAAGAACGUAUCGCCAAGGCCCCGACCGGCCGGCCCGCCCCCUUUCUUUGCCCGCCGGCCGCCUAGCUCGUUAUUCUUUGAGAUCUGGAUAGAGUCUCGCUUCGGGGCGGGGGAAGCAUGGAUUCGAUAGAUCUAUCGAAUCCAUGCUGCAAGCAGCAAGCGUAGGCUAAAAAGGCAAUAGUCUAACGUUGGGGUAGGGCGCGCCAAAACAACCGGGGGCCCCGGAGGGGUCAGUACAAAAGUACUAUAUUCUUUCCACUUACUUUCAUUGGCUAGCUGCCUUUUGUAGCGCGCGUACUCUGAUCCUCUUCUACGAAUCUACAACUCUCUUUACUGAGCGAGACUUCAUCUAUAUCCCUAAAAGUGGAUUUUGAUUCCCAUUUUUUCUUUGAAUGACAGCUUCAACUAGGCUCCACCUUAGAGAGGGUUUUCGGUUUUUUUUAAUCAAGAUAGGGUCAGGGGCGCGUCGGAACGGUAGCUGCAAGGUCUCAUCCGAGAGUCCAAUCUCUUUGUACUGUGCUUUUAUGUCUUUGAAUAAAAAAGAAAGAAGGGGGUCGAUUUAGGCUCCUUCCCUUCCACUGCAUAGCUGCGCUAUCAGGUACUACGAGCCCUCUGCCCCACGCAUCUAACCAGCUCGCGUGGUUCACCGGUUCCACCGAAAACUCUCAUUUGUUGAAGCGGAGCAUAGUGCGGCGCCGAGCGAAAAAGGUCUCUUUUUUCGGUUUAUUCACUGAUCUGAAAUGAAACUUAGCACUUGUUUUUUUCUUGAUUCCUGGGGCUAGGCGUUCGCAGAAUCAGUCUAUCCGAACCGCAGACGCACUUUUAAGAUCAGUGACGGCCUCUCCAGCGGAGCUGGGCGCCGGGGCCCUGGAUGCGCUAGCGAUCGGCACAUUAGGGGAGUAGAGUACUUGCCCGGGUUUCUCGGCCUGGUAUCCUUAUCCUCGCGUUCAUGAUAUCUACAUUCAACUGUGCCCCGGAGACACGGUCGAAGCACGCCCGCCCCGUGUGCGUCUUUCACGACAUGCUCUGGUCCCGGGUUUCUUCCUGUGGUCUUCUAGCGUUAGAAGAAGUCGUGUCCGUCCCGGACAUCUGCAACGUCCUCUCACGCCUUUGGGGGGACAAACAAAGAUCAGGAAAAGACGGACCGAACCCAUUCGGUGACUUUCGCGGUCGCCCUCAC